UAUGUAAGGACAAGUUACUAAACUACUUGGAAGACAUGGUGGGCACUCGUGUUACCAUAAGGCAAGAAAUCAAGAUUAAGAAAGUUCAGUCCAUAUGAGUUUGGAUUUGUCGCAAACCUUGGUUUUGGCAAAUUCACAUGGAUAGGAACUCAUACACCAUAAAAUCUAAGUGUCAUAAGAUUCCCUCCUUCAUGAAAAUGACUGUGAGGAAAUGCUUUCACUAAGAGAGAUUUUAAGAAGAUAGCAAUUGUGAAAAUUGUAUUCUCAAAUUCGAUUAUGGUUACGACAUCCCUUUCCAUAGUUCGAAUUGUGAGAUUUGGCAAUUAGUCUAACAUUUGGGACUUAUUGAUAUAAGUUCUGAAUUGUUUAGACACACAUAUGAGCUAUCUAAGGCAAAGGUGUAUAAGGUUAAGAAGCUUAGAUAAAGGCUUAUCGAAGCAUCUGGUAUUAGAAAUAUGAAUUUCAGAAAUUCAAUAGGCAUUGUUUUCUGAAAGUUCAUUUGUUUUCUGAAUACAUGUCAAAGCUAGUGGGAGCAUAAGUGUUAUGCUUAUAUGAUAAUAAUCAUCAUGAUAGUGGGAGCAUAAAUGUUGUGCUUGUAUGAUUAUUAAGGCAAGUAUUGCAAGUUAGCAAUAUUAAUUAUAGAAAACAAGAGUUAUACUUUGCAAAGUCGUAAGGGUUGAAAAGUUGUUUUGCUAUAAUUAAGGGAGAGAAUAUUGUACUUCGUUUCAAAAUCUAAAGCUUAGAUUGAGAAAUUUUAAUAAAUUUAGUCAAAGGAUACAUAGUGUGUUCUUAAAUUUCGAUUAUGAUUACGGUAUCCCUCUUCAUAGUUCGAAUUGUAAGAACGUGACACAUAAAAUAUUAUGGCAGAAGAUUGAUAAAGUAUCAUAUCUUUAUGUAAGACAUUAUGCAUCGUGUCCCAUACGCUUCGGGUAUAGGAUCGAUUGCAAGUGCUAUAAUAUUUGACCAUUCUAAAAUUUUCCAAAUGUCUAGCGCAUUUAGAGGGAAAAAGGACAAGAAUCGGUUUUGACUAAGAUAAUUAAACAACUAUCAAAGGACGAUCCAAAGCUCGCUGAGGAUUGGUCGCUUGUGAGUAGUUGGAAGUAUGGUAUUGGAUGGACCAUAUCGACAUUAUUAUGAAUAGAUAAGAUUCUAUUAAGAAUGAGUUGUCAUAUGGCAAAUAUGGAAAUGUUUCCAUAUUGGGAGUUGGAUAUUGAGAAUCUAUAUCUAGAUUAGAAACUAUUAUGCAAGAAGGAUGUUCAAAGGAAUGUACUUUGAGUGAGAGACAUCAUAUCUAUAGAAUUGUUUCUGAUAGAGAUUGGCCAAGUCUUGAUGAUUUUGAGCUAUGACUUUACGAAAGAAUCAUUGCAUAAAAUGUUAGAAUCUAGCAUAAGUAACAAGAAUUUGAUAUUCUUAUACUUAUGAUAAGGAUUGGGAGUUGUGAAAUGAGUAUGAUUGGAAAUGUGUUCAUUUGAUCUAUUUCACAAAGUAAGGACCGUAGGUAAACAUUGUGUGCAUGUUAAGAGCAUGGGACAAUUUUUGUAAUAAUUCAAGUAAGAAGUUGAUUACCCGAAACAACAAAUAAUGAGUAAUCAAUAUGGUGAUUAAAUAAAAUGUUUUAUUUAUACCCAGAGUUUGAGGCCAUAUGGGAUUAGUAUUAUUCUUGUGUUUCACUUUGCAUGUUUUGACUUCCUGAAUAAUUAAAUUGGUUCAGAACAAUCAAAUUAUUCGAACGGACCACAGUCGUUCAUAUGUUGGAAGUAGGUAUGAAUGAAGACUGUCGUGAAUUGGUGUGUGGAUUGUCUAAAGUGUAUUAGACAUAAGCAAAUGUUUGCUACGACGUUCAUGAGUUCUUUUGAAUAUGAUUUGAGCAUUGGAUUAAACCCACGCUCACUUGUAUCACUUCAUGGAUUUUAUCACGGGUGAUUGGUGAGACGAUAACAUCUUAUAUUCUUGAAACCGAGAUGUGUGAAUUGUAUCUUGCGAGUCGGUUACACAUUGAUAAUAUGUAAACGCACCAGUAACUUGGUGUCAUAAAACAUAUUGUUGUGUGUGAUUCAGUGAGUGAGUACAAGCAAGCAUUGAAUCAAAGUUUAUCCGUUCCUUUUAUCCUAAGUAGAAUGAAAGCGAUAUCUGUAGGCACCUCGAUGAUUUAGUGAUUUCACCUAAGCGCUUGGCCAAGUCGGGACUAAUUUGAUGUGUUCAAUUGUAGUCUGUUGUCAGUCGUCAUAAAUCGGAAAUCGAGAAACAACACAAAGACAGAGAGAAUGAUUUAAAUCCAUGUAUCACAUCUAUGCGAUAUCAAGAAUGGAGGAAUAUGAUCCCUUAUCUAAAGGACGCGUAUCUAAUGAGAUCAGAGUUGAUAGCGGCUUUUGAAAGCUACGAUUGCAGAUCGGGAUCUAAAGUCAUACGCAGAAUAGUUAUUAGUCUUAUCCAAGUGGGAGACUGUUGGAUUAUUGUCUAAGUCCAUAACUAUUUUGGUAUGUACUUGACCCGAUGGUGCAUGGUCCUUUUGGGUUGCCUUCACCAAAGCAACUUGAUAGGAUGAAUUAUGGAGAGAAAGGAUUAAUUAUGAUUUAUUAAUAUAUUAUGAGAAUAAUAUAUUAAAGGAGAAAUCAUAUUGUUUAAUUAAUAUUAGUCAAGAAUUAAUUGAUAAUUAAUUUUGUGGCUAAAAGAGAUUAAUUAAACUUAAGGGACUGGAACUGUAAUUAUAAGAUAAUUGCAUUUGGGCUAUGGAUUACCUUGGAAUAAUAGGUUGGACGAAUUCUAUGGGGAAACCCAUUAGAAAUCGUCCAAGGGAUAUUCUAAAAGAGUCCAUGGGCUGCUUAGGGCUUAAGCAGUCAAAUUAGGGUUUCCUAGUUGAAAACCCUAAUAGCCUACAUGUAUUUAUAGUACCCUUAAGCCCCAAAAACGUGGUUUAGAGUUCCACUAGGGUUUCUGGACGUUUUGGGCAGCCUCCUCUCUCCUUAUUCUUCAUCCUCUUGCUCUUGGUGUUUGUGAGCCAUUAGAGGAGCGAAAAUUGUGACUCUAAGCUUUCUAAAGUCAUUACAAGGAGGAUUUGAGAUUGUUAUUGCUACAUAACAAUGAAAGGUAAUUGUCUAAACCCUAAUUUUAGUUUAUAAUUUGUUAAAUCUAAGAUUGUAAGUCUUGGAUACAUUGCAUGUACAAUAGAGAAACUUAGAUCCAAGCAUUAGGGUUUGCAUGAGCACAUAAGAUGUUCUUUUGGCUAAAACCCUUCACUUCUAUGACCCAAUUUCAUAUUUAAGGGACCCUCAAUGGCUUUUAAGUGCUACUGGGCCUGAGUGGCCCAUUAGCAUUGCCAGUAAGGUCUAAGUAAAUCAAAUGCGAAAUGGUCCAGCAUGUCCUUCGUAUAACCAAUAGCCAUAAAUAAUAUGCGGGAAUAGUAGGAUCUUGUAAUCCUCUUCUCCUCGUUUAUUAGGCCUAUUGUCAAUCCAAGUAAAUAAAUACGGGUCGAUAAUCAAUAUUAAUCAAAGUCAAUUGGGAUUUAGUGAGUAAUAACGGGUGGCACCAACGUGUGUCGGUCGUAGUCUGUAUUUAUAAUCAAAGUCUCCUGGAGGGAGAGCGAGACUUUGUGUAUAGUUCUAUAUGAGGGUGACUCCCCCACACCUCAAAUGUUCGCUACAGUUAGACUCGGCCAGUCUAGGGUGACAAAAUCUUAAGAUCAAUUCUGGCGUUCACCAGAGUGCCAAGACAGACGAACUAGUCAUUAUCAUGCAUGGUUAUAACGACUCACAUAAAUAAAUCCAAUAUAAAUCAAGUAAUUAAGGUAAAUCAAAAUCAUUCACGUGAUGGGAUAACAAUUCGAACCGUUGUAUGAUAUUUUUUUUGGUCGGAAAACAUCGGGUUUUCCGGGGAAGUUCAACAUUUUUCACUGGUACUUUUAAUACAAAGUUUUUCAAUUAUACACGUUUUGAAAUCAUUAUGCAUAUAUAUACGGAUCUUCACACUUUUAUAUAAACAAUGGUCUUUCAGAAAAUAUCGGAUUUUCUGGGUUGUUUUCUUACAAACUACACAAAACAUUUUCAUAUCAAACCUGCUUAUGAACUCACCAACAUUCCAUAUGUUAACCGUUUUCAAAAUAACUUGUAUUCUCAGGUAACAGGUAGGCCGAGGAGUAGUACCGAGUAUGUUAUACGGAUCUUCACACUUUUAUAUAAACAAUGGUCUUUCAGAAAAUAUCGGAUUUUCUGGGUUGUUUUCUUACAAACUACACAAAACAUUUUCAUAUCAAACCUGCUUAUGAACUCACCAACAUUCCAUAUGUUAACCGUUUUCAAAAUAACUUGUAUUCUCAGGUAACAGGUAGGCCGAGGAGUAGUACCGAGUAUGUUUGUGUGUUGUGCUUUUGAAAAUCUAUCAAACAUUUUAUGUUAUGGAUUUGUAAUGUUAAAACAAUGUACUUGAUGUGAACAAUGUCAGUUGUAAAAUAUUGAUGCAUUGUGAUGUUUAUGUUAUGAUUCAUGUAUAUUCAUUGUGAUGAUAUUCAAAUUUAGUCACGUGAGCCGUCGAACGUUUCUACAGUCUGGUUCGGGGGUGUGACACAUACCAAUUAAUCUAUCUUUUAAAUGAUUUUAAAUGCUUUUAUGGGGGGGGGGGAUACAAGUAGAAAACAUGUAGUUAUAUAAUCAAUCACAUGUGAUUUAUAAAUGUGUUUCUGAUAUGGGCAUAUUUAGUUAUAAAAUUCAUGCAUUAUCUUAAUGCUUUAUAUUGAUUUUAUCUCAUUUAAUGAACAAAAGGUGCUUAAUUAGUUUAGAAUUUCAUUUUUCAGCAACAAUGACGUGCUCGGAUAGAAAAGGAAGCGGAACUAGCGAUUGGAGGCUUGGAUCUUGGAUUUUGAAGAAAGAAGGAUGUUGCUGGACAACUUGACCCAUCGUCAGUGUUUUGGCCAUAUAUCAUGAACCGUAACUCCGAUUAAUGAGAUUCAAAAAGUUCUCCAAACUAGACACAAUUUCGGACGACUUUCGUGUUUUGAGAAAAUGUUGAUUCCAAGAGAACUCGACGAGUUGGGCCUAAACUCGACGAGUUGGUUAGAAUGUUCCCGAUUUGAAGAUGCCUUGUCGUACACGCUGUAUACGCGGAUUAUCAAAAAAAAAACUCGACGAGUUUGUGGUGAAAACUCGUCGAGUUGGCCCUGUUUUCAGAAUUUAUAUAUAGAAACACUUCUCAUUUGAACCCUAACUUUUUCUGGAGGCUAACUGCAACUAUUGAAGACUAGAAGUGUUCUUGAAGUUUCAAUUUUCGAGAUUGCAACCUAAUAGACAAUUUAGAAGAGAAUCAAAGGCAAAUAAUCAUUCUUCUUUUCUUAAUCUUUGUUUUCAACCAUGUUUGAAUCAUUAGAUUUUGAUUUUAGAUUAUUACUUGCUGUAGAUAUGAGCUAAAAGCUUUUUACUUCUGUUUGGAUGAGAUAAUCUUAUGAUCAUGGUUUGAUUGAGUGGUUGGAUUAAUAUUAAUUUGUUUAUUCAUCUUGUUAAGCUUGUUAAAGAUCCUCAUGUAUUGAUGAUAAAUGUUUUAUUUCAUUAAGUAAGUUAUUGAGUUGCAUGAACAUCUUCUUGAUUACUUGAUUCAUAUAGUUUUGUGAAUACAAGAUUGUAUGUCUAGGAAUAGUGAACAUGAAACUAAGGUUAAAUAGAAAAUAUGUAAAUCAAUGUGUGAGCAUGUGUGAUGAACAACCACAUAUGAGUUGAUUGAAUUGAACAAAUUUGAUUAGCUAUUAUUACAAGUCUUACUUGAUAUGAACUGAAUACUAGGAAACUUGUUAGUUUAAUCUACUGGCCAUUGUUUGAAUUAACUUGUCUACUAAAGGAUUGGUAAUAGUGAACAUGAACCCAAUCACAUUAGGAAUCAGUAACCAUUGACAUAUUGAUCCAUUGCACUUGCCACGAAAUCAACCAUAGGAAUAACUGAAUCAAAUUUGAACAUAAGUCUCUUUUAUCAUUGAAUCUAGUUGUCCUUUCUUAUUCUUCUUAGUUGUUAAUUGUCUUUGUUGGAGUGUUAAUUGAUUAUUUAAGUUUCUAGUCUUGCAAAACUAGAUAAACCUCAUCUUUUAUUACUUGUUUUAUUUAAAUAAUAUUAGCAUUCAUUUUAAUUGUUUACCGUUCCCUGUGUUCGAUACCCUACUUACCUGAACUAAACUGCUAAACGAUAGGUACACUGCAUUUCGUGUGUUUGUCUUUGUGUUUAAGUUAGUAGGAUUAAAACUAGUUUGCUUAACACACAUCAGUUUCAAACAAAGGAUUUCUUAUACUUUAAACUGUCUUGUCAACCAAACUACUUGUAAAUCAUUUUAUAAAUUGACAUCAAGUCAUCAAUAAUUAUUAUUAAACUCUUCAAAUGUUUUACAAAACUUCUUUUUUAAACUUAUAUAUUGUCAAAUGCAUGUCUAUGUAUGUAUAUUUAUAUAAGUAAUGUUUAAAGGACUUAGGACUGAUAACUCACUUUAUUUCCUUUUCCUUGUUUGGAUGUGGCCUUAGAGUAUCGAUUAUUUGUCUGAAUGUCGUCUAAAUAUUAGUUAUAUAUUAUGUAUACAUAUGUAGAUAUAAAAGUACUAUCAAUUGGUUCAAUAUCUUUGGGUAGCAAAGGUAUACCUUCAUUCAUUCAAACUACAGAAAUUACUAGUAAAUUAUAAUAGGUAUAGUUUAGGAGAAUACUAUCAUAUACAAACACUAUAGCGAGAAACAAUACUUACUAUAAAGAGAAACAUAUAGAGAAUACUAUAAUGAGAAACAAUACAUACUAUAAAGAGAAACAGACGAAGAAUGCUAUAACGAGAAACAAUACAUACUAUAAAGAGAAACAAAUAGAGAAUACUAUAUGUUGGGCUUAUAAUGUUGCGUCUUGGGCUCGUCUCUAUUAGCCCAGUUUUGGUAUCCGGUUUGGGCCUGUCCAACCGUGAUUGUUUUUAUUCUAGGGUUUUAGUAUUUAAGGUGCAUGCAUGCAUCCUUAGUUGGUAACGCUUUCAUUAUUUUCUUAUCAAAGUAUUGUAAGCCCUAGCUCGCCUCUACAGUGGAAGUUCUUUAUCGAGCUCUGCUGAGGCAUGACUACAUUUAAAUCAUAAGCUUCAUAUUGAUUCUAUAUUGUGUUCUUAAUCGUAUUGUGAUUGAAUUGUUUGUUCUUUAUCAAUAUACCUGUGAAAGAUCUAAACGAUCUAGAGAUUAAUUCUCAUUAAUUGGUAUCAGAGCAGGAGACUGUGAGAUUCAUACACAUCUCUUUUGUUGAAGAAAUUAUUAGGGUUUUCCAUAUUAAUUGAGCCAUCAUUCCAAAUUGGUGUAUCUCAUUAAUUGUCGAUCUCACUCUAACGAUAAAUUACAAGUAUGAUCUUAAACAGGUUAUCGAUCAAACAUCAUCACAAUGUCUAUGGAUGAUUCGCAAACCAAUCUAAUCAACAUCUCCAACAGCAUUGGAUCAACAAAAGGAUUCCAAUCUUAUACACUCAGGACUAUGAAGUUUGGACGCAUCACUUCGAAGAUUAUGUAAUCGACUCAGAGGAUAAUGGGUACUUGAUCUGGGAAGCAAUCACAAUUGGUCUGUUUGCUCACUCAAGCACUUCAAAGAUUGUCAAAACUCAAAAGGAGUACAAUGAACUCGUGAAUGAUGUGAAAGACAUUCCUCAAGACGAGAAACAAAAGUUUCAGUGCAACAUUAAAGCCUUAAGAAUGAUUAGGUUUGCUUUACAAUCAGAUACGUUUCAAUUGGUGAGUUCAUGUGGUACAGCAAAAGAAAUAUGGGAUAGGUUAAAGGAAUUGUACUCUACUAAUGAAGAUCUGGAACGUUCGAUUCAAACCUUGUUGCUUUCUGAAUUUGGUGAUUUCAAACAGAAACCCGAAGAGAAACUUAUUCAGGCCUUUGAUCAGUUUAAUCAUCUUCUCAGUAAGAUGAUAAAGCACGGGAUCGAAAGGAAGGUUAUUGAGCAGAAGGUUACCUUCAUGAACGAUCUUAGACCCGAAUGGAUGGCAGUUGUGUCCACAGUGAAGGCACAAAAACAGUUCAAAUCAUACUCUCUGGCGAAACUGGUUGGAAUUUUGAAGUCCCAUGAAAGUGCGGUGUCAAAGGAAACAAACGUGGUUUCUGGUUUGGGGUCGUUAGCUCUUAUUUCAAAAGGAAAAGGUGUUGUUGAAGAAGAAGAAGAAUUAGAUCUUGCUGACUAUGAUCUAACUGGUGAAGAGUAUGCUCUGAUGGUUUCCAAUCCAAGAAAGUUUAUCAAAAGAAAGUUCCCAACCAACAAGAACCGAAACUGGCAGGGAAGUUAUUGUUUUGAAAAGGUGAAGGAGGAACCGAAGUUGGGUUCAAAGUCAGAAGUAUCCAAGAAGGAGACGAAGAUUGGUGGUGACUCAGGUUUUGAUUGCCAUUAUUGUGGAGGCAAGAAUCAUUUUGCCAAAGACUGCAUGCUGAAGAAAAAGGCUGAAAAGGUUGAUGAAGAUGAUGAGGAAGCGAACCUCAUGAGACGAUUGGAGGAGAUCAAGAAAAGGAAAUCAGCAGCUAACAAUAACACCAUGAAUGCUUUGAUUGUACAAGAUACAGGUGACAAUGAUGAAUUUGGUAGAGUGCAGGUGUGGUCCACAGAUUCAGAGGACGAAGAAGUGAGAAAGCCGAAUAAUGGAAAGGCUAUGCUGGUGAAAGAAGAAAAUGUUGCGGGAAGAUGUUUGAUGGUGACAAAAGGUGUAUCAUAGAUGCGAGGAUACACAAUAGAUGGUGGGCUGAAAGAUGAGAAGGAGCGAGAGGAUAGGUGUUUCGCUGCGAAACCUAUCAGUACACAGAUCAACGAAUGUGAUGAGUUGAUCAAGAAGGUACAAAAUAUUCUAACUUCUCUGAAAAUUCCUAUUACUAACUACAAAAAGAAACUGAAUAGCUUAAAACCUAAAUUUUCUAGUUUAAGUAGUAGUCUUACCCAAACUCGUGUCACAAACUCUAACCUGACUGAUCAAAUAAGCAGGAUAUCGUCAAAGAGUGAGGAGAGGAGGAUCUAGAUUGAGCAGAAGGAGAAAGAAUUAAUUAGGUCUAGGGAUGAAUCAAUCUAUUUGCAACGAGACAAUCUUAAGCUUUUAAAACAACGAAACGUUUUUUGUUUGAUUGCGAAAAGACUAUAUUUUAAUAUCACUCAGUUACAUCUCGAUUGUGAAAUAGGAAAGAAGAUGCAUCGCAUGAUUUUACCCUUCCCUGAGUUAAAGGGGGAUGAAGUCGAUGUCGAAGCUUACAACUGCGAAAAUGCUAUAUCUUCUGACAAAAUCUCUCCUGCCUACAAAAUUGGUCUUCACAAAAUAGAGUCCUACAUAAAGUCAAAAGACCAUAAGGACAUGCUCAAAAAUCUGUUAGAUGAAAAUGAUAAAUUGAAACUAAGAACCGAAACUGUACAUAAAUUUGACUCGUCGAAUGCCAAAUUAAGUUCAGAAAAUAAAAUUGAUGUUGAAACUGCAUCUGAACUUAAUGAGGAUCAUGACAUGAGUGAAAUCUCUGUAGAGGACGUGGUGGACUGUUCUGAAUUUGUCAAAAGCGAACCCGAACCUAAUAAAAAUCUGAUCUCUGAAAACUCCGUUGAGUUCGCUCGCUCAUCAACAGAAAAAACCAAAAUCCUCAAGGAAAAAGUUGUUGUAUAUCAAAAGGUUCAAACCACUCCAAAUCAAGUCUACACAGUUCAGGGAGUUAUACCUCAACAAACAGCAGAACUGACAACAAUGGUAGAAGAAGAUAAUGCAAAUGGAUGUGAGGAGUUCUUCUGGUCAGCACCAAUAGAUAAUGCUGAUGAAACAAAAGGCCUAUCUCAGAAAACCUCAUGGAGAGUGAAGGGUAGGUAUAUGCCGGAACCACUUAAUGAGCCUACAAGAUAUAAUGUACCAAGCACAAGUAGUACCAAAACAUCUUUGGGCGAACCAGUGAUAACGUCCAGUGAGACAUGUUUGUCAAAGAGCGAAAGCCAUGCUCAAGUACCAAAGAAAAAGGCCAAUAUUCAUAAAAAUCCAAAACAUGUAGCAGAACGAAAACACCAACGUAAUCUGAGAUACAACAAGAAUCUCUCAGAAAGAAAACAGUUUUGGCGAUAUCAGAAUCCUCAUUACGUAAGGUAUGAAAAGACACAUAAGUCACGAGGAGAACCAAGAAGCAACCGAAAGGAAGGUUUCGGUCCUCGACAUGAAAGCAACCGAAAGGAGGUUUUCGGUCCUCAGCAGGUAAGGAACCGAAAGAAAGUUUUUGGUCCUCAACAUAAUAGCAGUCGAAAGGAUGGGUUAAGUCCCAGGUUCAAUCAGACGAACCGAAGGGAAGAAUGUUCCCGUUUUCAACCAAGGAAGAGCAAUAAUCGACGAUCUAAUAUUGCUUCUAAACCUUAUUCUCCUCAUUCUCAUUCUAAUUCUUAUUCUUCAAAAGAUAUAAAGGGGAAAGGAAAGCUCUUUUCAGAAGACAACAAAUGCCCGAAAGAGAUCCAAAAGCAUGCAGACGUCAAAAUUUCAAAUCGUACGUCUAAAUCAAAUCAAUCUAAGUCAAACGAAAUUAAAGUUUUUACAAUAAAAAGAAAAGAUGAAACAACUCUAAGAAAAAGAACUUAUAUGGUUGAUGUUUCUCUUACUAUUCCCUGUCCUGUAAAAGGCUCACAAGGACCCAAGAAACUUUGGGUUCCAAAAUCUGCUUGACAUUUUGUAGGUUAUACAUGACGAGCAGUUUGACGAAGAAUGGUACAUUGAUAGUGGUUGCUCGCGUCACAUGACAGGACGAAGGGAAGAACUGAGGGAGUUUUGGUCUCUCAAGGAUGGUGGAACAGUGAAGUACGACAACAAUUUGUUUGGAACUAUCAAAGGCAUGGAAUGAUUAUGAAUGGUGAUUUCUCAAUCAGAAAGGUCGCAUGCGUUGAAGGAUUGCAACACAACUUCAUCAAUGUCUCACAACUUGUAGUUGGGACUGGAUUGAAGGUCUCCUUUGAUGAUGAAGGAUCAGAGAUAGUCGAAAAGAAGUCAAAUAACAUACUGCUGAAGUCGAAGCAAAAAGGGGAAAUGUAUCCUUUAAAUCUCAAUCUAAUUCGAGGGAAACCAACAGUCUGCUUGCUAACGAAGGCACACUCAGAAGAAAGCUGGUUAUGGCAUCGAAGGCUCUUUCAUCUCAAUUUCAAAGAUAUCAACAAGUUGGUAUUGGGAGAUCAUGUUAGAGGUCUUCCAGUUCUCAUGUUCGACAAAAAACAUUUAUGUGCAGCUUGUGAAAUAGGAAAGCAAAGUCGACAAAGUCAUCAUUCUAUUAUCAACACAAAUGUGAUAGAACCAUUAGAGCUAUUACAUAUCGAUCUAUGUGGUCCCUCCUCUAUUGAAAGCAUUGGUGGGAACAAGUACAUUAUUGUCAUAGUUGACGACUUCUCUCGCUUCUCAUGGGUAUUUUUAUUGAAGAAAAAAUUAGAGGCAACUCCUAAGCUCAAGCUCUUCAUAAAGCAAGUAGAGGUUCAACUGCGAAAAGUGGUUCGUAACGUAAGAAGCGACAAUGGCUUGGAAUUUAAGAACAAGGAUUUCAAAGAUUUUCUGGCUGAGAAGGGAACAACUCACAAUUUCUCUGCUCCAUAUACUCCACAACAGAAUGGAAUCGUCGAAAGGCAAAACCGAUCUCUGUGCGAAGCGGCUCGAACUAUGCUAAACUUCACUUCCUUGCCUCUAUAUAUCUGGGCUGAUGCUAUUGCUGGUGCAUGUUACACUCAUAAUAGAUCGUAUCUAAACAUGUGAUUCUCUAAUCACUCCUUAAUAGAUCUUGAACAACCGUAAGCCUAAUGUGAAGUUCUUUCACGUGUUUGGUUCAAGAUGCUUCGUCUUCAACUCAAAGGAGAAUCGAAACAAGUUCGAUGCUAAGGCUGAUGAAGGGAUCUUUUUGGGCUACUCCUUGCACUCUAAGGCAUAUAGAGUUCUGAAUAAACGCUCAAAGAAGAUUGAAGAGACAUACUAUGUCACUUUUGAUGACAGAUAUGUCAAGAAGUUAAAGACACCUGAAGAUGCAAUGUAGGAUAUCUUUCCAAAGUCUAGUCAAGUUACUGUGCCUAUCUCAAAUAUUUUUGAGAAAUAUAUGCUUCUCUUUGAUGAACCUGAAAAAGCUAUCGACUCUAAAUCUAAGGUUGAAGAUAACAAAGUCGACAGUUUGAAGCAAAUUAUUGAUGAUGCUGCACAGAAGAUGGCAGCCGAGCAACCAAAUGCAACCGAAAGGCCUGACUCAAGCGAACCUUCUAGUGACUAUUCUUCUAUCCAGGGGGAGGGUUCGUCUCUACCAAGUGAUUAAGGUUCUUCAUUUCAGGGGGAGAAUUCAUCGUCAGAAUCAUCUAGCUCAAGCGAAAGCCCAAACGAAGGGGAACGUUAUGAUCUAGAAAUUGAAAUAGUGUCAUCAUUCAAGGGGGAGAAUACAAAUGUUAAUAAUGAUGAUACACAAUCAGAAUUAGAAGAAGAUGUCAAUGCAGAACUGGAUCCCUCUUGUGAUCCAAAUUACCCACCUCUCAUUAAAUGGACCAAAUACCAUCCUAAAAGUCAAAUCAUUGGGGAAUCUUUGGAAAAGGUAUUAACUCGAUCACAGAUCAAAGCAAAAUAAGCAUCACUAUUCUCUCAAUUAGAAUUUUGCAUGUUCAAAUCUUUUGUCUCCAAAGUUGAACUGAAGACCGUGAAUUCAGCUCUUGACCAUUCUGAUUGGGUUCAAGCCAUGCAAGAUGAGCUGAACAAGUUUGAAAGGAACAAAGUAUGGCGUCUAAUUCCAACUCCAAAGGAUGCUUCGGUUGUCGGUCUCAAAUGGGUAUUCAGAAAUAUGAUGGAUAAGGAGGGGAAUUUGAUUCGUAACAAGGUCCGGUUGGUCGUAAAAGGAUACUGCCAAGAGGAAGGUAUAGAUUAUGAAGAGACCUUCGCUCCAGUUGCAAGAUUAGAGUCGGUUCGAAUCUUUCUUGCUUAUGCUGCACACAAAAACUUUGAAGUCUAUCAAAUGGACGUAAAGUGUGCCUUUCUCAACGGAGAAGUUGAAGAAACUGUGUACGUUGAGCAACCGCCAGGCUUCGUGAACGAUAAGCAUCCAGAUCACUGCUACAUUUUAGACAAAGCAGUAUAUGGCUUGAAGCAGGCUCCUAGAGCAUGGUAUGAAACUCUCACUUGAUUCUUAAAAAUGUCCAAAUUUAAACAAGGUUCGGUUGACCCAACCUUCUUUCGUAAGAGAGAAGGUAACCACCUUACGAUAGUCCAAAUUUAUGUUGAUGACAUCAUCUUCGGCUCCAAGAAUCCUAGCUUAACAGCUGAAUUCAGGAAGUUGAUGGAAACUAAAUUUAGAUGAGCUCAAUGAGUCCAAUUAACUUUUUCCUUGGCUUAAAUAUUAGACAGGGACCCGAAGACAUUUUUAUCAAUCAGGAGGCAUAUGCAAAUUGCUUGCCAAGUUUGGCAUGAUGGGAGACUGCAAAGUGAAAGUCCCUAUGGAUUUUGGAACUAAGUGUAACACCGUAAAUUUCAAAACAAUUUUUCAUUUAAAAAUAAUCGUUUAAUUCUUAAAAACACUUUUCUUAAAAUCUCAUUCAUAAUCGAAUUACAAAAACAUAACUCCAUUUUCACUUGCAUAAUAAACCAGGAUCCUCAAAACAUGACUCUUUCUCUGGUGUGUACAAUCGAGCCGGUGCCGUCCCGUGAUCCUGAGAGAGACUUGAAACACAUAACACAAAACACUGUAAGCACGAAGCUUAGCGAGUUCCCCAAAAUACCACACAUAACACAUAUUAGCCACUCGAGGCUAUAACUUUGUGGAUCCGUGGACCCUACUCUGUGAACCUUCCGGUUCCAACUUUGGGAACCUUCCAGUUCUAACUCUGUAAACAUGAACAACAUAAAUCACAUAAAAAUAAUGUACUACAACACAUAACAUACAUAGCAUACAAAUACUCUGUCACAUAACUCUGGUUACCUAAUCAAGGUUAAGUAUAGUGAGAAGACUCACCUGGCAAGCAGGAAGCAGAUAUCCUCACGCUUGCAUCUCGAACUCGCCACCAUCUAUCACAUAAGGCAAAUGCUCNAUUAACACUAUCCCAAAAAUGGUUGACUAAUUCUACAAAGUCGACACCGGUCAACUCUGGUCAAUGGUCAACGGUCAACCCAACUCGCCGAGUCUAGCGUGGACUCGCCGAGUCCCUACGGGGAACCGAUUCCUCUGAAUCCCUUCCGAAUUACCGAGUCACUCACCCAACUCGGUUACUCAACCCCUGAUUCGAAAACACGGAACAGCUCGCUCCAACUCGUCGAGUCUGCCAAUGGACUCAACGAGUGCAUUCCAUGCACAACCCCAAACGACCUUCUGAGGUCAGAUCUGUUCCACUAACUCAUAGAUCCAGUCUUUCCAAGCUUAUUUAUCACGUAAAGUUUAUGUCUUGGCGCUCAUAUCACACCUAUUGACUCAUAAAUGGUGUUUUAACCUCAAAUACAAUGAUCCCAAACCAAAACCUCCAUAGACUCAUAUAAAGCUUGGACAAAGAGGCACUCUGGACCUCCAUGGGUCCAGAUCCAGAACCUAACUCGCUUAAGGGACCAUGGGAGCACUAGAUCUAGUCACAAAAGGGCUCAAUAAGCCCUAAAUCAACAUGAACAUCACCUCAACAGAAAAUGGUUCGAAAAUAGUACCUCAAACGUGAUGUUCUGGACCUCAGAUCUUUAGGAAGUUAACCCUCUUGCUUCCUCUUGGCUAUAGCUUCCUUUCCUUUGCUAGAAAACACUUCCAAGGUCGACAAUGGCUCCUUCUGUCACUCCAAACGCUCAAGCUCACUAGGGUUUCGCUCUGGGGGCUGGUGAGCACAAAUGACGGCCAUAAGGCCCCUUUAAAUAGGUCCCAAACCCGAGAAAUUAGGGUUUCAUUAAACAGCGCGGACUCGCCGAGUCCACCAAUGCGACUCGUCGAGUCCGGUCAUUAAUCUGGGUGAGAAAUCGCGUCUCUACUCGGCGAGUCUACGCACCAACUCGCCGAGUUCUUCCACAAAACUCAAAAUAAAAUGAAUAAAUAUAAUACCUGAAAUUCCGGAUGUUACAAUUCUCCCCCACUUGAAUCCGACUUCGCCCUCGAAGUCUCAUUCCUGAAAUAGCUCUGGAUGCUGCUCCUGCAUCUCCCGCUCUGGCUCCUAGGUCAACUCGAAUCCCUUCCGAUGUUGCCACUGAACCUGUACCAGAGGCACCUCCUUGUUCCUCAGAACCUUGAUCUUUCGAUCCACAAUCGCAAUUGGUCUCUCCACGUAGUUCAGGCUCGCAUCCACCUGAAUGUCCUCUAACGGCACUACCGCCGACUCGUUGGCUAUACACUUCCUCAACUGAGACACGUGGAAGGUAUUAUGAAUUCGCUCCAACUCCGCAGGUAGCUCCAGGCGAUACGCUACCCUGCCUACCCUCGCGAUUACUCUGAACGGUCCAAUAUACCGGGGCCCUAGCUUGCCCCUCUUCCUGAAUCGAAUCACUCCUUUCCAAGGAGAUACCUUCAGGAGAACAUAAUCACCGACCUGGAACUCAAGAUCCGAUCGCCACCUAUCCGCAUAACUCUUUUGGCGGCUCUGAGCGGUCCACAACCUCUGCAUGACCUGUUGUAUCUGCUCUGACGUAUGAAGCACGAUCUCUGUACAUCCCAUCACACGUUGCACUACCUCUCCCCAUCAAAUGGGGUCCGAUACCUCCUUCCCUAUAACAACUCAAAGGGGCAUACUGAUGCACUAAUGAUGGUUGUUGUUGUAGGAAAACUCUGCCAAGGGCAAAUAUGGGCCACAAUUUCCCCCCGAAAUCUAAUACACAAGCCCGAAGCAUAUCCACUGGAACCAUAGAUACAUCAUACAUCACUAGUCAUCUUAAACCCAAGACUCUAAAUAACUCCGAAAUCGAGACGCUAUACGCGGAAACCACGGAACACCAUCACAGAGCAUCACAAUGUCCUGCCUCUACCACUGAUUUCCUUACUCCCAGCACCAUACACAUACAACAAUACAUUUCCUCUGAAACCCUUUCCACUACUGCUCAAAAUCCAAGCAAAAAUACACAUCCCAGCCCGUACUCGACAAUCUUCUACCCAUAUUUCAACCCAAAAGUUCUCAACCGCCCAUACCAUCAUUACGAGUCUUCCACUUGAAACGACUCUGACCACCACCAGAUUCCUGACCAUUGACCACCAGUCGUGGAGACACCCAUCCUUCUCUCAGACAUAUACCACAUGCAUUAUCUCGCCCUACACCUUUCCUUGAUCACCAAUGACCCUGAUCUCAUGAAUUCAAGUCGUAGGAUUCUGUAUCCAACCCCUAACCGCUCUUGCACAAAUCUCUGGUUCUCUUAAUAAACCACCCGGUUCUCCCCCACUUAGGUUUUGAACCAUCACUAUCUGACACAUCAACAAUCUCGCAAACUAUUUUCACCAGCAAUAAUGCACCUACCCCUGGAAAGUGCUACGCAACACCCGAUCAUCUCCUUUAAGGAAAUCAAUCGAUCUUAUAUACUCUAAACCUCAGAUGAAAUCCUCAAGAACUUAUCGUCAUGACUGCCUCUAGUCGUUCCAAGUCUCGUACCAAUCCAAUACCAAACAACUCAACUGUCCAAUAACAUCACUGACUCAUAGACUGGACCACGAAAUCAUCAUACUCCCCCACCUUGACUCAUCAACAUACGUUCCAACACAUGGAUCAUCCCAAGAACAGGGACCCACUCCCAUAUUCAAUACCCAACAUAGAUAGAAAAACCACUGCACUGAUAAAAUCGAUUGGACUCCCCACUGAUACCUCUACAAUACACCCUACUAUACUCAAAUAGGUGUAACGUGGUCCUCGACUAUCUCAAUCCCAACUGACUAUCUGCUCAUGGUAAAUCACUGCUUCGCGGCACACAUGCUACCUUAUACUCUGAUGGAAAAUCAUCAUCAAUGACAACCUGCAGGGUUUACCCCCAAACCCAAAACUUAAACAUCAUGCCUCUCAUGUUUCGCGCACGAACAUAAAUAGCACCACCCAGGUCAUAGAAGGUGACAUCUCCUCUGUCGACUGAUUACUCAAAUCAGACCAAAAUUCUCCCCUCCCUGUGACUCCUUACCAAGAUAUUCUGAAAGGCUAUCAACCUCUCUCUCAAGGGAUGCCUCUUCGAACUCAAUCAUGACCCACUGGCCUAAAACCCAUAGCGUCCAAUCUCUACCUCAUCAAUCAUGACCAGAUAACCGGAGAACUACAAGCAUCAUUCACUACGAACCAUGGUACUCAUCCCAUGACAUCUCUUCUCAAUAUGCUCCGGUGUAUGGUACCCGAACCAUAACAUCACUCCUCCAUCUGCUCCGAUGUAUGGUACUCGAACCAUAACAUCACUCCUCAAUCCGCUCCGAUGUAUGGUACUCGAACCAUAACAUCACUCCUCAAUCCGCUCCGAUGUAUGGUACCCGAACCAUAACAUCACUCCUCAAUCCGCUCCGAUGUAUGGUACUCGAACCAUAACAUCACUCCUCAAUCCGCUCCGAUGUAUGGUACUCGAACCAAAACAUCACUCCUCAAUCCGCUCCGAUGUAUGGUACUCGAACCAUAACAUCACUCCUCAAUCCGCUCCGAUGUAUGGUACUCGAACCAUAACAUCACUCCUCAAUCCGCUCCGAUGUAUGGUACUCGAACCAUAACAUCACUCCUCAAUCCGCUCCGAUGUAUGGUACUCGAACCAUAACAUCACUCCUCAAUCCGCUCCGAUGUAUGGUUCUCGAACCAUAACAUCACUCCUCAAUCCGCUCCGAUGUAUGGUACUCGAACCAUAAUGUCACUCCUCAAUCCACUUUGAUGUAUGGUACUCGAACCAUAACAUCACUCCUCCAUCUGCUCCGAUGUAUGGCACUCGAACCAUAACAUCACUCCUCCAUUUGCUCCGAUGUAUGGUACUCGAACCAUAACAUCACUCCUCAACCCGCUCAUUAGAACCUUCAGAAUACUCCUUGUAUCAAGUAUGGGUCCUCUGCUUUCAGUAGUACGGGCCCAUACUACCUGCCACAUCUACCCAUACUUUCCACACGGACUAUCCCAGAGUUCCUAAGUAGCUGCUUGACCUUCUCGUUCACCAAUUCCAUCGCGCGUGCUCGCUCCCCAGCGAAAUUCCCUACUCUACCAGCGCACUCAUCUGGCUAAGGUUACUUCCUAGGCUCUUCCUAGAUUCCCAUACUUCACUGCCAUCAGCUGCUGAAGAGCUCCUAAUGAUACCAGCCAUCUACCUCCUGAACAUCGUCAUAUUCGCUUGGUAGCUAACUCCCAUCAUCAAGAGUUCCACAAAGCACGAAGCAAGCAGCAUUCGAGCAUCGAAGAAUACAUAGGACUCACUCUGGGUGAUAACUCCGCUUGCUCUGCUCGUCCUCGAAAGUACCACCGAACUCUGCAACUCUUCCCCUCGCGGGUUCUAACUAUUCUUUCACUAAGUACCACGGUACUCAUCUAGGUAUCUCCCCUAGAUUACUCCUCUACUCAAAUCCCCUAAAGGAUUCCAACUAAAUAUUCUCACUCAUCACAUACUCAAAAGCACAUCGCAUAUAGCAGCAAUUCCUAGGCUAAGGCAUCACAAAUCAGGCCACUCUAGUCCUAAGAUAUGAAAUACCUAGCCUGUCUCUAGCAUGCAAUAAUAUCUCAUAAAGUUCAUCAUAAAUAUCUCAUAACACAAAAGUAAGGGUAUUUUGGGAAAUCACCGUUCGGGCUCUGGCUAAUUGUACACACUCCUCUUUCUCGCUUUCUAUUUGAACUCUUAUUUGCUUUAGAAAAUUAUUUCCUUGAAAACUUUUCUUACUUCCUCAGUUUGAGUCUAGUUUUACCCGAAGGUGCAUCCGAAUCCCUCAAACCAAGGCUUUGAUACCAACUUGUAACACCGUAAAAUUCAAAACAAUUUUUCAUUCAACAAUAAUCAUUUAAUUCUUAAAAACACUUUUCUUAAAAUCUCAUUCAUAAUCGAAUUACAAAAACAUAACUCCAUUUUCACUUGCAUAAUAAACCAGGAUCCUCAAAACAUGACACUUUCUCUAGUGUGUACAAUCGAGCUGGUGUCGUCCCGUGAUCCUGAGAGAAACCUGAAACACAUAACACAAAACACUGUAAGCACGAAGCUUAGUGAGUUCCCCAAAAUACCACACAUAACACAUAUUAGCCACUCGAGGCUAUAACUCUGUGGGUCCGUGGACCCUACUCUGUGAACCUUCCGGUUCUAACUCUGUGAACCUUCCGGUUCUAACUCUGUAAACAUGCACAGCAUAAAUCACAUAGAAAUAAUGCAGUACAACACAUAACAUACAUAGCAUACAAAUACUCUGUCACAUAACUCUGGUUACCUACUCAAGGUAAAGUAUAGUGAGAAGACUCACCUCGCGUAUCUCGGUAACUCGUAAAUCCCGGAAAUCACUAGUGCUCGAUCUCCCGAGCUAUAGUCCUCCUAUAACACAAGCAUAUAUCUAAUUAACACUAUCCCAACUAUGGUAGACUAAUUCUACCAAGUCGACACCGGUCAACUCUGGUCAAUGGUCAACGGUCAACCCAACUCGCUGAGUGCCUACGGGGACCCGAUUCCUCUGAAUCCCUUCCAACUCACCGAGUCACUCACCCAACUCGGUUACUCAACCCCUGAUUCGAAAACAAGGAAUAGCUUGCUGCAACUCGUCGAGUCUGCCAAUGGAUUCGACGAGUGCAUUCUAUGCCCAACCCCAAACGACCUUCCGAGGUCAGAUCUGUUCCACUAACUCAUAGAUCCAGUCUUUCCAAGCUUAUUUAUCACGUAAAGUUUAUGUCUUGGCGCUCAUAUCACACCUAUUGACUCAUAAAUGGUGUUUAAACCUCAAACACAAUGAUCCCAAACCAGAACCUCCAUAGAAUCAUAUAAAGCUUGGACAAAGAGGCACUCUGGACCUCCAUGGGUCCAGAUCCAGAACCUGAAUCGCUUAAGGGACCAUGGGAGCACUAGAUCUAGUCACAAAAGGGCUCAAUAAGCCCUAAAUCAACAUGAACAUCACCUCAACAAAAAAUGGUUCGAAAAUAGUACCUCAAACGUGAUGUUCUGGACCUCAGAUCUUCAGGAAGUUAACCCUCUUGCUUCCUCUUGGCUAUAGCUUCCUUUCCCUUGCUAGACAACACCACCAAGGUCGACAAUGGCUCCUUCUCUCACUCCAAACGCUCAAGCUCACUAGGGUUUCGCUCUGGGGGCUGGUGAACACAACUGACGGCCAUAAGGCCCCUUUAAAUAGGUCCGAAACCCGAGAAAUUAGGGUUUCAUUAAACAGCACGGACUCGCCGAGUCCACCAAUGCGACUCGUCGAGUCCGGUCAUUAAUCCGGGUGAGAAAUCGCGUCUCUACUCGGUGAGUCUACGCACCAACUCGCCGAGUUCUUCCAGAAAAAUUGAAAUAAAAUGAAUAGAUAUAAUACCUGAAAUUCCGGAUGUUACAAUUCUCCCCCACUUGAAUCAGACUUCGCCCUCGAAGUCUCAUCCCUGAAAUAGCUCCGGAUGCUGCUCACGCAGCACUCGCUCUGGCUCCCAAGUCAACUCGGAUCCUUUCCGAUGUUGCCACUGUACCUACACCAGGGGCACCUCCUUGUUUCUCAGAACCUUGAUCUCCCGAUCCACAAUCGCAAUUGGCCUCUCCGCGUAGUUCAAGCUCGCGUCCACCUGAAUGUCCUCUAACAGCACUACCGCCGACUCGUCGGCUAUACACUUCCUCAACUGAGACACGUGGAAGGUAUUAUGAAUUCGCUCCAACUCCGCAGGUAGCUCCAGGUGAUACACUACCCUACCCACUCUCGCGAUUACUCUAAACGGCCCAAUAUACCGGGGCCCUAGCUUGCCCCUCUUCCUGAAUGGAAUCACUCCUUUCCAAGGAGAUACCUUCAGGAGAACAUAAUCACCAAUCUGGAACUCAAGCUUGGAUCGCCGCCUAUCCGCAUAACUCUUCUGGCGGCUCUGAGCGGUCCACAACCUCUGCCUGACCUGUUGUAUCUGCUCUGACGUAUGAAGCACGAUCUCUGUACAUCCCAUCACACGUUGCACUACCUCUCCCCAUCAAAUGGGGUCCGAUACCUCCUUCCCUAUAACAACUCAAAGGGGCAUACUGAUGCACUAAUGAUGGUUGUUGUUGUAGGAAAACUCUGCCAAGGGCAAAUAUGGGCCACAAUUUCCCCCCGAAAUCNAGCCCGAAGCAUAACCUCGAGCGUCUGAAUCGUUCGCUUGCUCUGAAGUGUCCACAUACAUCACCAUGGUAAACUCUAGCUCAUUUCUCAUAUUCAUCUUCGAUACCGAGCACCAGGUCGGCUUUUGGCCCCACAGCUGAACCCCCAAAGGUCACACAUAACAUGAUCCAAAAUAUCUCACUAAAUUCCUCCCCAUGACCACUAUCACGGCCCAGUGACACGUAAGUCACGAAAUUCCCGUUUCCUCAAAAAAUACAAUCCAAUCGAAGAUCGACUCAGCUCUAACCUCUGGCGUCUGCUGCGUAUAUUCUCCCGCGCGCCUCGCAGACCCUCCCGACAGAGACGGAGACCCCAUUCUCGCCCCAGUUAACCACUAGGCUCCAUAAACUCAACAUUAGGGCUACUCAAGCCUAAAACUCUUCUGCAUCAUGCACUUAUCAGAGAACACUCCCUCAUCACACUCUCUUGCCGUCUAGUGGGUACUAUGGCUUCCCGCAACAUCACGACAGCCUCUGACUAGUGAGUACUACGGCUCCCCGUAGUACCACGACUCCCUCCCUCUGACCUGUGAGUACUACGGCUCCCCGUAGCAUCAUAGCACCCUCUGACUAGUGAAUACUACGGCUCCCUGUAGUAUCACAACUCUCUCUCUGGCUUGUGAGUACUACGGCUCCCCAUAGCCUCACAACACCCUCUGACUGGUGAAUACUAUGGCUCCCCGUAGCUUCACCCUAUACUCUCAUUCUCAUUAUAACGCCACACUAUGUUCAUUAACUCAUGCAACGAAGACUAUCAUAGAUAGUUACACACACAAUUGCCCCGAUAUGCAUUACAGACUCUGGCGGCAACCGCCAAAACACAUAACCUACCUCUGCGGAGAUUCACUUCCUUAAAUAAUCCCUCUUGAUGACAAUACAUGAAGGGCUCCCACUGGAACCAUAGAUACAUGAUACAUCACUAGUCAUCUUAAACCCAAGACUCUAAAUAACUCCGAAAUCGGGACGCUAUACGCGGAAACCACAGAACACCAUAACAGAGCAUCACAAUGUCCUGCCUCUACCACUGAUUUCCUUACUCCCAGCACCAUACACAUACAACAAUACAUUUCCUCUGAAACCCUUUCCACUACUGCUCAAAAUCCAAGUAAAAAUACACAUCCCAGCCCAUACUCGACAAUCUUCUACCCAUAUUUCAACCCAAAAGUUCUCAACUGCCCAUACCAUCAUUACGAGUCUUCCACUUGAAACGACUCUGACCACCACCAGAUUCCUGACCAUUGACCACCAGUCGUGGAGACACCCAUCCUUCUCUCAGACAUAUACCACAUGCAUUAUCUCGCCCUACACCUUUCCUUGAUCACCAAUGACCCUGAUCUCAUGAAUUCAAGUCGCAGGUUUCUGUAUCCAACCCCUAACCGCUAUUGCACAAAUCUCCGGGUCUCUCAAUAAACCACCCGGUUCUCCCCCACUUAGGGUUCGAACCAUCACUAUCUGACACAUCAACAAUCUCACAAACUAUUUUCACCAGCAAUAACGCACCUGCCCAUGGAAAGUGCUACGCAACGCCGGAUCAUCCCCUUUAAGGAAAUCAAUCGAUCUUAUAUACUCUGAACCUCGGAUGAAAUCCUCAAGAACUUCUCGUCACGACUGCCUCUAGUCGUUCCAAGUCUCGUACCAAUCCAAUACCAAACAACUCAACUGUCCAAUAACAUCACUGACUCAUAGACUAGACCACGAAAUCAUCAUACUCCCCCACCUCGACUCAUCAACAUACAUUCCAACACAUGGAUCAUCCCAAGAACAGGGACCCACUCCCAUAUUCAAUACCCAACAUAGAUAGAAAAUCCACUGCACUGAUAAAGUCGACUAGACUCCCCACUGAUACCUCUACAAUACGCCCUACUAUACUCAAAUAGGUGUAACGUGGUCCUCGACUAUCUCAAUCCCAACUUACUAUAUGUUCAUGGUAAAUCACUACCUCGCGGCACACAUGCUACCUGAUACUCUGAUGGAAAAUCAUCAUCAAUGACAACCUGCAGGGUUUACCCCCAAACCCAAAACUUAAACAUCAUGCCUCUCAUGUUUCGCACACGAACAUAAAUAGCACCACCCAGGUCAUAGAAGGUGACAUCUCCUUUAUCGACUGAUUGCUUAACUCAGACCGAAAUUCUCCCCUCCCUCUAAUUCCUUACCAAAAUAUUUUGAAAGGCUCUCGACCUCUUUCUCAAGGGACGCCUCUUCGAACUCAAUCAUGGCCCACUGGCCUAAAACCCAUAGCGUCUAAUCUCUACCUCAUCAAUUAUGACCAGAUAACCGGAGAACUACAAGCAUCAUUCACUACGAACCAUGGUACUCAUCCCAUGACAUCGCUUCUCAAUAUGCUCUGGUGUAUGGUACCCGAACCAUAACAUCACUCAUCCAUCCGCUCUGAUGUAUGGUACCCGAACCAUAACAUCACUCCUCCAUCCGCUCCGAUGUAUGGUACUCGAACCAUAAAAUCACUCCUCAAUCCGCUCCGAUGUAUGGUACUCGAACCAUAACAUCACUCCUCAAUCUGCUCCGAUGUAUGGUACUCGAACCAUAACGUCACUCCUCAAUCCGCUCCGAUGUAUGGUACUCGAACCAUAACAUCACUCCUCAAUCUGCUCCGAUGUAUGGUACUCGAACCAUAACAUCACUCCUCAAUCCGCUCAUUAGAACCUUCAGAAUACUCCCUGUAUCAAGUAUGGGUCCUCUGCNAUCCUUCAGAAUAAUCCCUGUAUCAAGUAUGGGUCCUCUGGUUUCAGUAGGAUGGGCCCAUACUACCUGCCACAUCUACCCAUACUUUCCACACGGACUAUCCCGUAGUUCUUAAGUAGCUGCUUGACCUUCUCGUUCACCAAUUCCGUCGCGCGUGCUCGCUCCCCAGCGAAAUUCUCUACUCUACCAGCGCACUCAUCUGGCUAAGCUUACUCCCUAGGCUCUUCCUAGAUUCCCCUACCUCUCUGCCAUCAGCUGCUGAAGAGCUCCUAAUGAUGCCAGCCAUCUACCUCCUGAAUAUCGUCAUAUUCACUUGGUAGCUGACUCCCAUCAUCGAGAGCUCCACAAAGCACAAAGCAAGCAACAUUCAAGCAUCGAAGAACACAUAGGACUCACUCUGGGUGAUAACUCCGCUUGCUCUGCUUGUCCUCGAAAGUACCACCGAACUCUGCAACUCUUCCCCUCGCGGGUUCUAACUAUUCUUUCGCUAAGUACCACGGUACUCAUCUAGGUAUCUCCCCUAGAUUACUCCUCUACUCAAAUCCCCUAAAGGAUUCCAACUAAAUAUUCUCACUCAUCACAUACUCAAAAGCACAUCGCAUAUAGCAGCAAUUCCUAGGCUAAGGCAUCACAAAUCAGGCCACUCUAGUCCUAAGAUAUGAAAUACCUAGCCUGUCUCUAGCAUGCAAUAAUAUCUCAUAAAGUGCAUCAUAAAUAUCUCAUAACACAAAAGUAAGGGUAUUUUGGGAAAUCACCGUUCGGGCUCUGGCUGAUUGUACACACUGCUCGUUCUCGCUUUCUCUUUGAACUCUUAUUCGCUUUAGAAAAUUAUUUCUUUGAAAACUUUUCUUACUUCCUCAGUUUGAGUCCAGAUUUACCCGAAGGCGCAUCCGAAUCCCUCAAACCAAGGCUCUGAUACCAACUUGUAACACCGAAAAUUUCAAACAAUUUUUCAUUUAAAAAUAAUCGUUUAAUUCUUAGAAACACUUGUUUAAAAUCUCAUUCAUAAUCGAAUUACAAAAACAUAACUCCAUUUUCACUUGCAUAAUAAACCAGGAUCCUCAAAACAUGACUCUUUCUCUGGUGUGUACAAUCAAGCCGAUGCCGUCCCGUGAUCCUGAGAGAAACCUGAAACACAUAAAACAAAACACUGUAAGCACGAAGCUUAGUGAGUUCCCCAAAAUACCACACAUAACACAUAUUAGCCACUCGAGGCUAUAACUCUGUGGGUCCGUGGACCCUGCUCUGUGAACCCUCUGGUUCUAACUCUGUGAACCUUCCGGUUCUAACUCUAGGAACCCUCCGGUUCUAACUCUGUAAACAUGCACAACAUAAAUCACAUAGAAAUAAUGCAGUACAACACAUAACAUACAUAGCAUACAAAUACUCUGUCACAUAACUCUGGUUACCUACUCAAGGUAAAGUAUAGUGAGAAGACUCACCUUGCGUAUCUCGGUAACUCGUAAAUCCCGGAAAUCACUAGUGCUCGAUCUCCCGAGCUAUAGUCCUCUUAAAACACAAGCAUAUCUCUAAUUAACACUAUCCCAAUUAUGAUUGACUAAUUCUACCAAGUCAACACCGGUCAACUCUGGUCAAUGGUCAACGGUCAACCCAACUCGCCGAGUCUGGCGUGGACUCGCCGAGUCCCUACGGGGAUCUGAUUCCUCUGAAUCCCUUCCGACUCACCAAGCCACUCACCCAACUCGGUUACUCAACCCCUGAUUCGAAAACACGGAACAGCUCGCUCCAACUCGUCGAGUCUGCCAAUGGACUCAACGAGUGCAUUCCAUGCACAACCCCAAACGACCUUCUGAGGUCAGAUCUGUUCCACUAACUCAUAGAUCCAGUCUUUCCAAGCUUAUUUAUCACGUAAAGUUUAUGUCUUGGCGCUCAUAUCACACCUAUUGACUCAUAAAUGGUGUUUUAACCUCAAACACAAUGAUCCCAAACGAAAACCUCCAUAGACUCAUAUAAAUCUUGGACAAAGAGGCACUCUGGACCUCCAUGGGUCCAGAUCCAGAACCUAACUCGCUUAAGGGACAAUGGGAGCACUAGAUCUAGUCACAAAAGGGCUCAAUAAGCCCUAAAUCAACAUGAAUAUCACCUCAGCAGAAAAUGGUUCGAAAAUAGUACCUCAAACGUGAUGUUCUGGACCUCAGAUCUUCAGGAAGUUAACCCUCUUGCUUCCUCUUGUCUAUAGCUUCCUUUCCCUUGCUAGACAACACCUCCAAGGUCGACAAUGGCUCCUUCUCUCACUCCAAACGCUCAAGCUCACUAGGGUUUCGCUCUAGGGACUGGUGAGCACAAAUGCGACUUGUCGAGUCCCAUACCCGAGUAAUUAGGGUUUCAUUAAACAGCGCGGACUCGCCGAGUCCACCAAUGCAACUUGUCGAGUCCGGUCAUUAAUCCGGGUGACAAAUCGCGUCUCUACUCGGCGAGUCUACGCACCAACUCGUCGUGUUCUUCCACAAAACUUGAAAGAAAAUGAAUAGAUAUAAUAACUGAAAUUCCGGAUGUUACACUAAGCUUACACCAUCUUUGGAAAAGCCAGCUGCUGACAUGACGCUUUAUCAUCAGAUGAUUGGGUCACUGAUGUAUCUCACAGCCAGCAGGCUAGACAUCAUGUUCUCAUUCUGCUAUUGUGCCCGAUUCCAAGCUAACCCACGCAAACCUCACAUGCUAGCCNAUCUUUCGAUAUCUGAAGCGAACUUCCUCUCUCGGUUUAUGGUAUCCAGCCAACUCAGGUUUCUUUGUCCAAGCAUUCUCAGAUGCUGACUUAGGUGGUUGUGGAUUGGAUCGUAAAAGCACUACUGGAUGAUGCCAAUUUCUUGAUGGUAAAUUGGUUAGCUGGCAAUCAAAGAAACAAACUUGUGUUUCUCACUCAAUGGCUGAAGCUGAAUACAUAGCCGCCGCCUCAUGCACAUCUCAGGUUGUUUGUAUACAGAGUCAGCUUAGGUACUAUGGGCUGAACAUGAAGAAAAUCCCACUAUAUUGCGACUCUGAAAGUGCAAUUAGGAUUUGUCAUUACCCAGUGCAACACUCGAAGACAAAGCACAUAGCACUGCGGUAUCACUUCAUCAAAGAUCAUGUGGAAGAUGGUAACGUAGAAAUUCAUUUCAUUAGAACCACUUAUCAACAAGCAGAUAUAUUCACUAAGGCUUUACCUGAAGCAAGUUUCAACAAGAUCUUACAAGGCCUAGGAAUGAUGGAAGUAGAAUCAGUACCAAAAUCGCCUUCGCUUCACUAAAGGUAAGAAGCGAAAUAGAGCGAACGCUCGGUCUAUUUCGGGUUCGGUUCACCCGAGAACCGAAAUAAACCGAACGCUCGAUCUAUUUCAGGUUCGGUCCUUCUGAACUCGUUCGCUUCUUUUUUAAAAGGGAUUUUCAUAGUAUUUUUUUUGUUUUACUAUAACUUUUUCACAAAAUACAAAAAUAUUUUUUAUUUUAUUUCAUUGUUCUCAUAUUUUUCUUUGUACAAAUGCUACUCUCGAUGGUGAAGCUCAAGCAGGUAUAAAUUUUUUUUUAUGAAUUAGUCAAGUGUCCCUAGAUGCAUGCUGCUGCAUGUUGACCAAAGCCUCUCCAGAUUUUGAGUGAAGCCUUAAUAAUGUGAUAUAUACAAAUCAUGUUUUCCCAAACUAGGCUGUUACAUUCACUCUAAUCGUCAGCUACCUGACUCUUCUCAUAUUGAGUUUAGAGUUUUCUGCUUGAUCCUUCUUUUAUAGUAGAGGUACAUUCGCUUCUUACACCACCUAUAUCAUUUUCUUCAUUACACUUCAUCUCACUAAUGUAACCCUUGAGACUCUCAGCACCACCACUGAGGUUUAUGGUUACACAAAAAUCUGUGUUAAUGAUCUUAGUUUUGUCCACCACGAAUUAAGUGAAACCCGUAAUCCAACUCCCAUAAUGACUUAACGGUGAACUCUUCAAAGUUCUAGCUAUUAUUUGUCACCUUAUGAAAUCUCCACUUUUCUUUUUGCGAGAUCUUUAUGAAAUUGUUUUUCACCAAGACUCUUUCUUCCAAAAGGAUCCAGGUUUUAAUUUUUUUUUUGAGAUUUCCUGUUAAAUUUUUUCAACAAGUCACUGAAUAUAUUACCCACCUACUUGUUUAACAGGCCUCAUCGGCCUCACAAGUACUUUGUUCGUUUCGGUCUUAUAUAAAGUACCGAAAUCAUGAAUUGAAGCGAAAACCACCCUUUAUAUCUUUAAUUAAAAAUAUGCUUUUCAAAGCUUCUUAACAAGUACUUGAUCGUUAUUUAACGGGAAGCCACACAAGCAAUUUGAAGUCUCUAUUGAGUUUAAAGGAAGAGAUUUGUGCCCGGGAUCAAUCGCUUUAUGUCUUAACAGACAUCACAAGUUCCCACAAAUACUUUGCUUUAUUUCUUUCUCAUUUACACCCUUACGCACACACAUUCUAUAUUCUCAAGGAGGUAUUGUUCAGUUCUUAACAAGUUACUGCAGUCGGUUUCGAAAUUAAAAGCGAUGGUUUGGUGUAACAUUUUUGAGCUAUUAUGGAAAUCGCAAUUUUAUUGAAGAUUCAUCUGAUGACUCAGCAGGAAGUUUAAACGCUUGACGAUUUAAAUGAUGGAUAAGUUUGGAAGGCGCCACAAUUUGAAUUGGUCAUCAUGCGUCAUCUUUACUUUAUCAGGGUUGCAAGAUGUCAAAUCACGCUUUUUGAGGAGUUGUUUCCAAGAUUUCAGCAAUCAUCACUUAUGAUUUUUCUCUCUCCAGGAUCGUAUAUAAGGGCUGAUUUCAGUAUGACUAUUCCUUACCACACUUCUACUCACUAGAGCAAAAGCAGGCGAUCAACUUCUCACUAUUCAUCUUCUUCCUCGACAAGCUUCAUCAAUGGCAGAAUCAUCCUCAGUUCAAGAAACUACUGCUCGCUCCACUCUUCUUGCAAUCAAGCCUAAUCAGAACCUGCUGAUCGAUCUCACACCUUUCCUCUACGAUACGUACAUGUAUCAAGUGGCGGAAUGUCUGAAAUAUUCCCCACUCGCCAAAGCCCUAACGACAAUCGAAGUUGUUCCAAUGUCCUGUCUCUCUCAAAUCUACUCCACUGUAACGUAUGACAAAGGAGCAGAUAAAAUUUUCUUCGAUAUUCUUAACCAAAAAGCUUGAAUCCCCAAGAGUCAUUUUUGCUCUCUUCUAGGGCUUGCAUAUGAAGACUCCAUGGUUAAUCCCGAUUCUAUUGCCACAUGUCAACUCUUCUCAAUGUUCUACAACAUGGGUUGUACUGAAACACUAACCACUGUGACAAAGUUCAAGAAGUCCUGCCUUCCUCCUCCAUGGAAUGGCCUCUUCACUCUAGUCUUCAAAUGGCUUUCUGAACGCAGUGUUGGUUCCGACGGUGCAAGUAAGUCCUUCAUGACUCUACUUUAUGGUGUGUACCAUGGCCUUAAUCUGGAUUAUGGAAUGGUUUUAUGGAUCCAACUUAUUCAGAGUUUAUCAUCUUCUUCUCGCCACACCGAAAUCUCUUGUGCUCGCUUCUGGACUGUUAUCACUCAGUGGAUAAUGGAUCGUUUUCAUGUUCCUACCAUGGCCGACUCCAUGCUUUCUUCCAUUGCUACGUUUCACACUACCAACAUCAUUGUGACUCAUCCUUCAAAAUUUGUUUUUGUUGGGUCCAUUCCUGAGUCAAUGUCUGCCUUUGUGCCUCCUUCGAGCAAGAUUAUUCAGGAAUACAAGAAGCAUCCCUCCUCUGGUCCAAGGGAACUCACUGCUGACAUGGUGAAAUCAAUUGAAGAUGCAGACAAACCUGCCAAAAGAGGCAAAAAGCUAGAAGUGAAAAAGGGGGAUAAGGGGGGUCAAGUCUCAAAAUUUCAAACACCCAGGAAGCAAAAGUCUGAGAAGGCAGCCCCAGCUCAACCUAAGCCAAAGAAAGUCAAGAAACCUGCUCGCCGGCUAAUUCUUCAACCUUCAAGUGAUUCUGAUUCUGAGUAUGUGCCUCCUAAUCAACCAACAAUUCCUCCCAGUGAAUCUGACAGCGAAAGCUCAGAGGAUGAAGGUUCGGUGCGUGGUGAUACACCGCCUCGCUCGCCUACACCAGAGGUACCUGUUCGGUCCCAAGUACCUUCUCCUCCACCUGUUUCUGUUCCUGUCUCCAUCCCUCUUAUUUUUCCUAUCAUUACAUCUCAACCAUCUACUACUAUUCCCAUUUCUGCACCCAUCUUUACUGAGGCUACUACUACCACAACUACUGGAGUUCGAACUAAUGUAUCUGAUACGGGGCUCGUUCUUCAGCACACAAACCUCCGGCCACUUCUAAACCCCCUGUCAUUACUGGACCUCCACUGUUUCUUACUUCGAAGCUGCUCUUAAGGCCUUAUUCUCUUUGGUUGUUCAAGAGCAUGAUGCCUCUCUCUCUGCCGCAGCAAAGGCUAUCGAUGCCUCUACAUCACAAUGUCAGAAGGCGUCACUUGCUGUUGAGGCCUCGAUGAAAGAAUGCAAAGAUGCGACCGCAAAAUUCGAAAAAAUAAUUUCUGAGGCUCAACUAUUCCUAGAUUCUUUGCAAGUUGCCGCUCAAAAGAACUCUCAGACUGUGAACACUUCAGUUGAUAAUCUCCAACGUUCGCUCAAAGCUGAAAGGACUAAUCUUGAAGUCGCUCACCAGGCCAUUGAAGCUGCCAAUGAAAACCUUCAUAAUAAUGUAAAUAAUCGUUUGACUCAGCUGGAAGCCGAACUUGCCGUUGAAAAUCAGAUUAUGGAUGAGUUAGACAAUCGUACAUCUCAGCUGAAAAUGCAAAACCUCAAGAUUCGCACUGCCAACAAAGAGCUUGUUGAUUUAAAGUCUGAAAGAGAGGUUAUUCGAAGCUCCGUGGGUGACAUUCACUCCAUUUUGCUACACCUUCUCGACCAUCAUGACUCUAUUAUGAAUAUAUCCAUUAGACGCCAUUUAGCUGAAAAACUCAGACAUGCGUUAGAUAUCUUGAGUCGGAUAGAGGGUGUUUCGCUGACUUCUGUCCAGCCGAAACAAGGGGGAGAAAAGGAAAAGGGAAAGGUUAAUACUCAACCUCCUCCCGUAUCCAAAUCAACAACUACACCAAAGGAUAAUGUAGCUUUGGGCAGCAAAAGGGAUAAGAAGAAGAAGAAGAUUGGAGAAGAUGAUGUAGAUGAUGUUGAUGAUUUUGAAGAUACCUUGGGUGAAAAUCCCUCUAAGCCUUUUCAGAAAACAAAACUCUCUGACAAGGAGCUUGCAGAAAAUAUUGAGAAGGAAAAAGUUGAGCUCGAGAAAAAGCUAAAAGAAAAAGAGCUCUUGGAGAAAAAGAAGUCCAUUUUACCAGAAUGGACCAUUAAUUCGCUCCAGAGAGAAGCUGUAGAUGAACCGAGUACUCAUUGGCCCGAACCUGUAAUGUCGUUUGGUCUUGAAAACUCAAAGGACGCUCAAUUUGAUAUGCCAAUCACUCGAAAGGCAUUUAUUUUUCAUUGCUUCAACUCAACAGUUGUCAUUCCGUCUCUGGACCCGAAGGUAGAUCGGGAUCUGUUGGAGUUUUAUCUGGAAUUCGCUCAGCCACAGUACUUGUCCUGGAGCUCACAGAAGAUUACUACCGUCAAAGUACUAAAGCCUUAUUCAGCCGGGAAAUUUAUCAACAUCAAAUUUAAAGUGACUCGAGGCUCUGAAGGCUCGGUUCAUAAUUUUUCCCUGGCUGAUCUACCGAACCUUAACCCUCACGACUGGAUACUCCUCAACAACAUUCUGUUGUCCAAUCCUUAGGAGUAUCAGCCGAUUAUAGACCAUAUAUAGCGAACGCUUGUUUGCUACAUUCAUGAAGUAGCGAUGAUGGAUCAAGAAAUCACAUCUGCCAUUCACAAGUGACCAACGAUCAAACCAAUUGGGAAAAUUGCCAAUGUGAACGUGAUGGUCAAGGGAAAAAUCGACCCCAAAACUCAUACAGUGAUGUCCGUUAGGGGUGAAAAUCACAAAUGUCUUUUUGCUCUUUGUGAUAAGCACUUGUUCUCAACUUCUUGCUUCGAGCAUAUUUUGGAGAUCAUUCACAGGUGCAAUCAGAAUUCUGCAGCUGACAAGAAGUUGUUUACUAACAUGCUACGAUGGUAUAUUCAAUUUCGGCAGAUUCUUCUUGCUAUCAUUCCUCGGCUGUUCAAAGUUGUGAAGACAGUGAAGGCUACUCAACAGAAAUAAUCUCUCGCCCCAAUUGACGCAAAGGGGGAGAUUGUUGGGCUUAUAAUGUUGCGUCUUGGGCUCGUCUUUAUUAGCCUGGUUUUGGUAUUUGGUUUGGACUUGUCCAACCGUGAUUGUUUUUAUUCUAGGGUUUUAGUAUUUAAGGUGCAUGCAUGCAUCCUUAGUUGGUAACGCUUUCAUUAUUUCCUUAUCAAAGUAUUGUAAACCCUUGCUCGCCUCUACAGUGGAAGUUCUUUAUUGAGCUUUGCUGAGGCGUGACUACAUUUGAAUCAUAAGCUUCAUAUUAAUUCUAUAUUGUGUUCUUAAUCGUAUUGUGAUUGAAUUGUUUGUUCUUUAUCAAUAUACCUGUGAAAGAUCUAAACGAUCUAGAGAUUAAUUCUCAUCACUAUAAGGAGAAACAAUACAUACUAUACACUAUACAAAGAGAACUUACUAUGAUGAGAAACAAAGAAAACAUACUACAUACUAGACAAAGAGAACAAACACUACACUAGUACAUACAAUACAUAUACAAGAAUACUAUAACAUAACGAGAUAUACUACUUCGGGGCAUAUCAUCACUGCUAUGGCUCGUUUUGUAACCAGAGUCUCCUGGAGGGAGAGCUUAAAUUUGUGUCUAGAUCUAUACUGGAUUGACUAUCCUACACCUUGUUGUUCGCUACAGUGGGAAUUCCAAGUCUACGGGUGCCAAAUGUCAUUUCUUUCGACGUCUUUCAUCGUCGUGUUUUAGUCAGUUAGUAUGGUAACAACCACAUCACAUUAUACCUAAAUUAAACCAUUGGUUUUAAGGUAGUUAUUACUUCAUUAGUUAAUACAAAUAAUACUAUAGUACACAUACAUCUUCCCAUUAUAUUCAAAUUGUGAUCUUCUCACAUAAAGGGUAAUAUAAAACUAUAUUUUGGUAAUAAUAGUCAUAUUUCGGAAAGCAUUCACUUUACAGAGAAACAAACAUACAAAAUAGUCGGGUCUUGGUAUGUGACAACCGUCAAUUUCUGGUCAAGUCAAAGCCAACUAAAGUCAACAAAUCAAACCAGUCGACUCAAUUAACCCAUGUGUACUAGGGCUUAUGUUAGGUAAUUACUAUACAACUCGCUAUUCUAAUGAGAAAUCACCAAAUGAAAAGUUCAUAUAUCUAGAUUUCCUUAACCUAAAACUGUGGUAAGUAAUGAACCAAACCGAUAAAACAAUGUUGCAUACUGAUCAGGAGUGUGUAAGAUCCUUAAACAUGGCUUAACGGGGUUUACGAACCUUGCGUUGCGAAGCCCAAACUCUCAAAAAGGUCACAAAAGAAGUCUCUCCCAAUCUCUUUCACUUUAUCUCUCUCUAUUUAAAAUCUCUCCCAAAUCUCUCCAAGUACGUGAAAUCUCUCCCAAAUCUCUCUAAGUAUGAGAAAUCUCUCCAAGUAUGUCAAAUCUAUCCCAAAUCUCUCCAAGUAUGUCAAAUCUCUCCCAAAUCUCUCUCAAAACCUCUUUUGAGUUUUAUAAUCAUUUGGGGCAUCCCGACACUUGACUUGGUGAAAAACCACUCGAAAAGGGGUGAUAUCUUGGAAAAUAGCCUUUUAGAGCCGAAGUCUCUCUAUAGGGGCCAAACCCUCCUUGAACUGAGGUCCCAAGAACCAGGACCAAAGUCCCAUUGAGUAGCUGCAGCCAUCUAACCGCAGCCCCUUAAGGAACCGCAGCCUUCGGACCACAAUGGCUAAGGACUGGAGCUACGAGGACCGAGGCUGCUGAAGACCGCAGCGGAACCGAACCCGGAACUGAGCACCGCAGCCAACCUUCGCUUCGGACCCUCCUGACGAGCCGCCUGCGGUAUCUGCUCGGACCGCAGUCCCCUUCCCCUCAGACUUCGGAUUUUCCACCAUUUUACCUGGUUUUCGACCACGACUUCGUUAUAAGCCCAUUUUUAAUUAUUUUAAUGGGGGAUUUUCACCCAAACUUGUAUUUUGACAUAUAAGGUCCCAUAUAUUCAUAAAAUCAGCAUAUUUUUAAGGAAAUCCUUAUUUAAGAAUAAAAUCCAUUAAGUAAGAUCUUGUGGUGGAGUGUUGACUUUGCCAUAGUGUUAGACACAAGCAACCACCCCCAUACCCACUCCAUGACUAACCCACACCCCUACCCACCAUACCUAGUCAUUCAAGAGUACUUUUCCCACUCAUUUCUCAGCCAUACUCACGACUUAAGCGCUGGACAACCCCCUCUCACUCCUCACACUUCCCUCAUUCUCUCAUUUUUCCUCCAAGGAUCACACUCCAAAUUCUCUCACAAUUCUCUCCCAAUUUCGAAACUUCCAAGGCUGAUUAUCAAGAUUUCUUUCACUCUUGGUAAGUAUAAUUAGUUCUUCUUAUGAUUAUUACACAUCCUUCUACUCAAAAUCAUAAGAAUCUUACACAAACAUCGUCACCUUCAUGUUAGGUUCUCGGUUCUUCAAGGCAUCUUCUAAGUAUUCUUGAGUUGAACACUUCUCUUCUUCAACAUACAUCCACUGAAAUCACAUAAGGUGAGUUCAUAACCCUAUCUUUUCAUGUUUUUCUUAAGUUUUAAGGAGGGGGGGAUACAAGUUAAAAUACCAAGAACACAACUAAACUUUUCCAACAACUAUCAUCAGGAAAGUUUAACUCCAUUCAUGGACUGUUUUGGUCAACUUAAGCAUUUUAGUUUUCAAAACGGUAUUAGAUGCGAAUAGUUCAGUUUAUACCUUUAAAAUGACUACUUGCACAUCUUCAUGCGAUUUUUCUACAAAUUAUGGUGAUUUUUACAAAACUGCCUAUCAUUUCAAGAAAACAUCCAGGCCAGUCUGUGAUUAUGAACUGUUUCACCCAAGAUGGAGGUUACUAAAAAUCAUGAGGAAAUUUAUGAACAAACUAGACUCAUUUUACAAACUCUCAGAAUUUACGGAUUCUGAUUUGAACCUUUAAUGAUUUUUCUAUUAAUUUUAUAAAAACAUAAUAGAAAUGGUAACACUAGAAAAAUGUUUUCAAUUUCAUUUACACCUUGUAACUUGUUGAGCAAGGUGUAUAGUUUCAUGUGAUGAUAUGUUAUUACCAUAUAUGUCAUUUUGUCUUGUUAUAUAGACAUACAUCAUUUAACAAAUGGGUUUUGCUAUAUUAAGCAUGGUAAAUGAUAAAUUGUUAUAAACAAAUUCACAUCCAUUACAUACAAACAUUUGGUAAGCUAGGACAAAUAUAGUUUAUGAAUACUACAACUACCCUUAUUUUGAUAAACUAUAAUAGGUAUAGUUUAUGAUUCAUUUACAUAAUAAACACAUUACUAAAGGUAUUACAUAUACAAAAGGGGUUAUUACCACUACGAAUUACUAUGAUAAACUAUAAUAAGUAUAGUUAAGGCUAUUACACCCCCCACAAGUAAGUACGCUAAUUAUAAUCGGUAUAAUUAGGUUUCAUCUACAUUACAAACAAUAGGAUAAACUAUAAUAGGUAUAGUUUAUGUUUCAUCUACACUACAAACUUAUUACAAGAAGGGAUUUCACCAUCACCACCACUUUUGAUAAGCGAUAAUAUGCAUAGUUCAUGCUCACUACCACUAUCGCUAUUUGAUGAACUGUAAUAUGUAUAGUUUAUGUUCACCAUCACCAUCACAUUUGAUAAACUAUAAUAUACAUAGUUCAUGUUCACUACCACUAUCACUAUUCGAUGAACUAUGAUAUGUAUGGUUUAUGUUCACAGCCACUACUACUAUUUCAUACACUACACUAGGAUUUGGUUUCGGUCUUUGGUUUUAAGACUACAUUCUUUCUAGAAUUAAGUUUUCAGCUAUAAAUUCUAAUUGUAUAUACUAGAGUUAUAUAGAAUUUAGUCGUGAUCGACUUAGAAUUGGUGGGUCCACUUUAUUUCUUGUUCCUUGUUUGGUUGUGGGCCUAGGGCAGACCCAUUACAUUCGACGGUUUAUUUAACUUUAAUUUUAUAUAACUUAUAUACACUUGGAGAUUAUGGUAGGAAAUUAUUGGAAAUUCUAGGAUGCACAAUUUCAUAACACAGAAACUUACAACUCAUUUUUCAAGGAAAAUACUAGAUUUCUGGAGUCCCUUUACCGCUUUUACAAGGAAAACAGUUUAUUUGUAACACCGUAAAUUUCAGAACAAUUUUUCAUUUAAAAAUAAUCGUUUAAUUCAUAAAACACUUUUAUUAAAAUCUCAUUCAUAAUCGAAUUACAAAACAUAACUCCAUUUUCACUUGCAUAAUAAACCAGGAUCUUCAAAACAUCACACUUUCUCUGGUGUGUACAAUCGAGCCGGUGCCGUCCUGUGAUCCUGAGAGAAACCUAAAACACAUAAAACAAAACACUGUAAGCACNACACCACAAAAAUUGGAAUAACUUGAGAGAAUACUUCUAGCACUCAAAAUCGGUUAUGACCUCACUAGGUAACACUAGGUCAUGAUUUUGCUAGCCAAAGGGUUCCUUUUAUAGUGGUGUCACAAUUAGGGUUUCAUUAUGAAGACCCAUAAUUGUCAUGACUCUUCAUUUUUCAUGACCCAUGGGUUUGUAACUCCCAUGGACUAUCCAUGGAGCUCCAAAUGGUUACAUCCAUAACCCAUAAACCAUGGAUCAUUAAUCCACCAUAAAAGAAUUGAUGAUUGUCAUAAUCAACCCUAUCUAUUUAAUUAGUCUCACUUUGAUCACCAAAUUAAUACUAGAUUAAUACUUGAUCAAUACUAAUUAAAUAAUACUAUUAUUAAUAUAUUAGAACUUAUAAUAUAUUAAUAAUCAUAAGUGCCAUAUUCUCUCAUUUAGUCUAUCCAAGUAUUGCAAUGCCAUGCAACCCAAAUGGACCAUGCCGGGUCGGAUCAAGUACAUACCAAAUAAAGUUAUGGACUUAGACACUAUAUCCAACAGUCUCCCACUUGGAUAAGUCUAAUAACUAUAUUUGCAAAUAUGACUUCAAAAUCCGACUAGCAAUCGUAGCUCUUUCAAAGUCUCUCGGAACUGAGAUGAUGAUGAUACGCCAUUUAAGAUAAGUGAUCAUAUAAUCCUCUGCUCUCAUGAUAUCAGCCGGACAAACACAUGGAACAUGGUCUUACUUAUUGUCCAGCAUUUGUUUCUCGAUCUCCGAUUUGUUUCGACAUAGAACUAAAUUGAACACAUCAAUUAGGUUCUGACCGGGCCCGGUACAUAGGUCAAAACCAAAUCAUCGAGGGGCCCAGAUAUCGCUUCUAUUUCUAGAAGGAACAGAUAAACUUCGACUGAUAUGCUUGUACUAACUACUUGUUGAAUUACUCACAAAGGCACGUUUUAUAACAUCGAGUUACCAAUGCGUUUUCGUACAAUCAAUGAAUAACCAACUCAUAGUCAACAACUCAUAUCUCUAGGUUUGAAGAUUUAUAUGAUAUUACCGUCUCACGAUCACUCGAGAUAAAUUCCAUGAAGUGAUGCAAGUGAGCGUGGGUUGAAUCCAAUACUCAGCCCUUAUGAGUACUCAUGAAUGUUGUAGCAACCAUUGCAUUGUCUAAAGCACUUUAGACAAAUCAUACAAGCCAAAUUCAUGACAGUCUUGAAUCAAUACUUACUUCCAAAGUUUGACCGACUGUGGAUGGUUUGAAUAAUAACAUGAUUAUUCUGGAAGUAAAAACAUGCAAAAUUGAAACAUAGUAAACAAUCAACACAAGAUAGUAACACCUUACUCAUAAAUAAAUAACAACUUUUAUUUAUCAUCAAAUGUCAAUUACAUUUUACAAGUUUCAGGAAUCUAAUUAUUGAAACUAAUAUCAUCCUUCAGCCCAAUGCGCCUUGCAUGCUGUAAAUGCUUAACCCUGCUCAGUCCCUUCGUGAGGGGAUCUGCCGGGUUCUCAUCUGAUGAUACCCUCUUUGCCACGAGGAGUCCUUCUUCUAUUCUAUGUCUGAUGAAAUGGUAUUUUCUGUCAAUGUGCCUAGAUCUCCCGUGAUCUCUUGGUUCUUUAGCCAAAGCAACCGCACUUUCACUGUCACAGAAAAUUUCCAUUGGCUCCUUUAUAGCUGGUACAACUCCAAGGUCUCCGAUGAAGUUCUUUAGCCAUAUCGCCUCUUUUGCUGCCUCGCUUGCUGCUAUGUACUCUGAUUCACAAGUUGAAUCAGCUACUGUCUCCUGCUUGGAACUUUUCCAAGUAAUUGCUCCUCCAUUUAGGAUAAAGACCCAGCCUGACUGAGAGCGGAAAUUAUCCCUAUCAGUUUGAAAGCUAGCAUCACUAUAUCCUUCCACUCUCAAGUCAUCACUGCCUCCGAGGGUAAGGACCCAGUCCUUAGUCCUCCGCAAAUACUUGAGAAUGUUCUUUACCGCUGUCCAGUGUGCCUUGCCAGGGUUCCCUUGAUAUCUACUGACCAUGCUCAAAGCAAAGGCCACAUCAGGGCGAGUACAAGUCAUAGCAUACAUGAUCGAGCCCACAGCGGAAGCAUAUGGUAUCUGACUCAUUUCAGCUAUCUCAGCCUCUGUACUCGGACUCUGAGUCUUACUUAGCUUGGCAUUACUCUGGAUUGGUAAUUCUCCUUUCUUGGAAUCUUGCAUACUGAACCUCUUCAGUACCUUAUCCACAUAAGUACUUUGACUAAGUCCAAUUAGUCUCUUACUCCUAUCUCUCAAUAUCCUUAUCCCUAGGAUAUAGGCAGCUUCCCCAAGGUCCUUCAUAGCAAAACACUUCCCAAGCCAGGCCUUAACCUCCUGCAAAGUUGGGAUGUCGUUUCCUAUGAGAAGUAUGUCAUCCACAUACAACACCAAGAAGCUAACUAUGCUCCCACUAGCCCUGACAUACACACAAGACUCAUCCUCACUCCUAGAAAAGCCAAACUCUUUGACUUUCUCAUCAAAGCAAAGAUUCCACCUGCGAGAUGCUUGUUUCAAUCCAUAAAUGGAUUUUUCAAGCUUACACACUCUAUUAGGGUAUUUUGGAUCGACAAAACCCUCUGGCUGAGCCAUGUAAACAUCCUCAGCCAACUUCCCAUUAAGGAAAGCGGUUUUGACAUCCAUUUGCCAUAUUUCAUAGUCAUGAAAUGCAGCUAUGGCUAACAACACUCUAAUAGACUUAAUCUUAGCUACUGGUGAGAAGGUCUCAUCAUAGUCAACUCCCGGAGUUUGAGUAAAGCCCUUCGCAACCAGUCGCGCUUUAUAAGUGUGUACUUUCCCAUCCAUGUCGGUCUUCUUCUUGAAGAUCCAUUUGCACCCAACUGUCUUACGACCUGGUACAUUGUCAACCAAGUUCCAAACUUGAUUGUCAUACAUGGACUGAAUCUCGCUGUCCAUAGCCUCCUUCCAUUUCGCAGACUCAGGGCCUGCCAUGGCUUCCUUAUAAUUAUUAGGUUCAUCCAAAUCUAUCAGUGUACUAUCACUGAUAAAUGUAUCACCUUCAGUGGUGAUGUGAUAACCAUAAUAAAAUUCAGGUGUGUUCCUCACCCUAGUGGAACGUCUUGGAGGUACAGACUCAUCUAUCGGCUCAACAGGAGUUUCCUCCUCAGGUUGGCUGACAGCAUUUGAGGUUCCUUCACCACUUGACUCUUGAAGCUCUUCAAGGUCAAUUUGCCUCCCACUGUCCCCUUGGCUUAUGAAUUCUCUCUCACGAAAGACUCCUCUUCUUGCUACAAAGACCACAUUAUCACUGGGUCUGUAGAAGAGGUAACCAAAGGAUCUCUGUGGGUAGCCGAUGAAAAUACACCUCUCGCUUCGGGGCUCAAGCUUGUCAUGAGUCUCACGCCUCACAAAAGCUUCACAACCCCAAAUCUUGAUGUGGUCCAAAUUGGGCACUUUCCCAGUCCACAUCUCGUGAGGUGUUUUGGCAACCUUUUUAGUAGGGACUAGAUUAAGGAUAUGGGCGGCAGUCUCUAAGGCAUACCCCCAGAAAGAGAUUGGUAACGAAGCUCGACUCAUCAUGGAACGAACCAUAUCCAACAGGGUUCGAUUGCGCCUCUCAGCUACACCAUUCAACUGUGGUGUCCUGGGAGGUGUCAAUUGUGAGACAAUCCCACAUUCCUUAAGAUAGUCAAGGAACUCAAUGCUAAGAUACUCUCCUCCCCGAUCGGAUCGGAGCAUCUUGAUGUUCCUGCCCAAUUGAUUCUCAACUUCCUGCUUAAACUCUUUGAACUUUUCAAAGGUUUCUGACUUAUGCUUGAUUAAGUAAAUAUAUCCAUAUCUACUGUAAUCAUCAGUAAAAGUCACAUAAUAACGAUUAGCAUCCCUUGUAGCAACUCUGAAGGGCCCACACACAUCCGUGUGUACAAGGUCCAACAAACCUUCACCCCUAUCACAAGUACCUGUGAAGGGUGACUUUGUCAUUUUUCCAAGUAAACAAGACUCGCAACUAUCAUCUGACUUGAGGUCAAAUGAUUCCAAGACUCCAGCCUUUUGGAGUUGGCCUAUGCGCUUCUUGUUAACAUGUCCAAGACGACAAUGCCACAAGGAUGCUUUAUCCAAGCUAUCAGAAGAAUCAAUAUACAACACAUUAUUUCCUAAAUUGUCUACAACAUUCACAGCUUCAUAUACACCAUCACAAGGUAUUGCUUUAAAGUAAAAUACAUCAUUGUAAUAAACAUUAAUAGCACCAUUUUUAUUAUCAAAUGAAAAUGUAAAACCUUGUUUGUACAAGCCAUGAAAAGAAAUAAUAUUUCUCGCCAUUUCGGGCGAGUAACAACACUUAUUCAAAUCUAACAUUAACCCAUUAUUAAGCAAUAAAGAAUAAACUCCUAUCUUGGUAACAGGUGAUGCUUUCCUGUUGCCCAUGACUAAGUUUAUCUUCCCGUGCUCCACUUGCUCACUUCUUCUUAGUGCCUGCAAAUCAGUACAAAUGUGAAUACCACACCCUGUAUCAAGCACCCAAGAAUUAGCAUUAGAUGAGUUGUUAGACAAUAUUGUGUAAAUACCUGCAUGGGUGGGUUUAACCUUCCCAUCCUUUACAUCUUGCAGAUAUUUGGCGCAGCUUCGCUUGAAGUGUCCCUUAUCUUGGCAAUAGAAGCACUGUGCUUCCAUUGGGUUCGAAGAAGGAGUAAUGGGACCUUUCUUUGUCCCAAUUGAAGAGGAACCAUCAAGAGUCUUACCCUUGGUACCCUUUGAAGGGCUUUUCCUCUUCUUACCCUUCCCUUGCCUAAUUGCAAGAACAAGGGUUGUUAAAGGAGUAGAAGUAGCAACCGCUUUGCCCUUAAGGCCAUUNNNNNNNNNNNNNNNNNNNNNNNNNNNNNNNNNNNNNNNNNNNNNNNNNNNNNNNNNNNNNNNNNNNNNNNNNNNNNNNNNNNNNNNNNNNNNNNNNNNNNNNNNNNNNNNNNNNNNNNNNNNNNNNNNNNNNNNNNNNNNNNNNNNNNNNNNNNNNNNNNNNNNNNNNNNNNNNNNNNNNNNNNNNNNNNNNNNNNNNNNNNNNNNNNNNNNNNNNNNNNNNNNNNNNNNNNNNNNNNNNNNNNNNNNNNNNNNNNNNNNNNNNNNNNNNNNNNNNNNNNNNNNNNNNNNNNNNNNNNNNNNNNNNNNNNNNNNNNNNNNNNNNNNNNNNNNNNNNNNNNNNNNNNNNNNNNNNNNNNNNNNNNNNNNNNNNNNNNNNNNNNNNNNNNNNNNNNNNNNNNNNNNNNNNNNNNNNNNNNNNNNNNNNNNNNNNNNNNNNNNNNNNNNNNNNNNNNNNNNNNNNNNNNNNNNNNNNNNNNNNNNNNNNNNNNNNNNNNNNNNNNNNNNNNNNNNNNNNNNNNNNNNNNNNNNNNNNNNNNNNNNNNNNNNNNNNNNNNNNNNNNNNNNNNNNNNNNNNNNNNNNNNNNNNNNNNNNNNNNNNNNNNNNNNNNNNNNNNNNNNNNNNNNNNNNNNNNNNNNNNNNNNNNNNNNNNNNNNNNNNNNNNNNNNNNNNNNNNNNNNNNNNNNNNNNNNNNNNNNNNNNNNNNNNNNNNNNNNNNNNNNNNNNNNNNNNNNNNNNNNNNNNNNNNNNNNNNNNNNNNNNNNNNNNNNNNNNNNNNNNNNNNNNNNNNNNNNNNNNNNNNNNNNNNNNNNNNNNNNNNNNNNNNNNNNNNNNNNNNNNNNNNNNNNNNNNNNNNNNNNNNNNNNNNNNNNNNNNNNNNNNNNNNNNNNNNNNNNNNNNNNNNNNNNNNNNNNNNNNNNNNNNNNNNNNNNNNNNNNNNNNNNNNNNNNNNNNNNNNNNNNNNNNNNNNNNNNNNNNNNNNNNNNNNNNNNNNNNNNNUUUUAUAAAUUGUGAAAAAUUAUAUUUAAAAUUUACGGUGUUACACCAGGUGUCCGAGAAAUUGUACCUCGCGCAACCAAAACUCACACUUGGAGAACUUGGCAUACAAGCUCUCUCUCCUCAGGGUCUCCAGCACCUCUCUCAGAUGCUCCUCAUGCUCCUCCUGGGUCUUAGAAUAAACCAAGAUGUCAUCGAUAAAGACUAUCACAGACCGAUCCAGCAUCGGUCUGCAUACGCGGUUCAUGAGGUCCAUGAACACGACAGGAGCAUUGGUGAGCCCAAACGGCAUCACCACGAACUCAUAGUGGCCAUAGCGCGUCCGAAACGCGGUCUUCGGCGCAUCCUCCUCCCUGACCCUAAUCUCAUGGUAUCCCGAACGCAAAUCGAUCUUGGAAAACCAAGACGUUCCUUGAAGCUGGUCAAAGAGAUCAUCAAUCCUUGGGAGUGGGUAACGGUUCUUCACCGUUACCUUAUUCAGCUCCCGAUAGUCUAUGCACAUCCGGUGCGACCCAUCCUUCUUCUUCACAAACAGGAUCGGGGCUCCCCAGGGUGAACUACUCGGAUGAAUAAAUCCCUUGUCUAGUAGCUCCUGCAGCUGCGUAGACAACUCCUACAUCUCGGGAAGAGCCAACCGAUACGGUGCCUUGGCUAUCGGAGCCGCACCAGGAACGAGGUUAAUCCUGAACUCCACCUGUCGCUCCGGAGGUAUCCCAGGAAGCUCCUCCGGGAAAACAUCUGCUAAAUCUCGAACCACCGAAACCUCGCUCACUGUCGUCUUACCCACCUCCCGGGUAUCUAUCACAUACGCGACAUAUCCUGUGCAUCCCUGCUGAAGAUAGCGCCUAGCCCUAGCUGCUGAACAUACAGUGGGUCCGCCAUGUGGCCUCUUGCCAUGAAUCACUAACUCUCCCCCACCUGGGGUCCUGACUCGCACUAGCUGUUGCGCGCAAUCUAUCACUGCCCCAUUAGGGCUCAACCAAUCCAUGCCUAUAAUCACCUUGUUCCCACGCAGCGGAAUGGGAACCAAGUCUACCAAGUAACGCUCCUCAAACAAAUGCAGUAUGCAAUCUCGAAAUACCGUCAAUGCCCGCACCGAUCGAUCAUCAGCAAUCUCUACCUCUAAAGGGCAAUCUAACUCGCCCGAAGACUCCUGAAACUUCUUGCUAAGCGCAAGGGAAACAAAUGAUCGGGACGCACCCGAGUCGAACAACACCUGAACUGGGAUGCCGUUCACAUGGAACGAUCCUAGUGCAUACAUAUACAUACGGAGCACAUAUCAAUAUCAUAACAUCAUAAAAAUAAAAGAGAGGGAAAGAAUCAUACCCGUCACCACAUCGGGUGCGGCGCGUGCCUCCUCGGUAGUCAGCUGAAAUGCUCGGCUCCUCACCACUGGAGUCUCUGCCUUGCCCUGCCGGCCAUCAGUAAUCCGUAGGGUCGCUGGUGCUGGCGCCUUCACUGGUGUUGUGGCUGUCAACUGGGGACAAUUGGCCUUCUUGUGGCCCCUCUGGUUGCAGUGGAAACACAACAACUCAGANGGAGCAGUGCAAUCCCUGCUAAAGUGUCUAGACUUGCCGCACUUGUAGCAGCCUGAUGAUCCCAACCUGCACNNNNNNNNNNNNNNNNNNNNNNNNNNNNNNNNNNNNNNNNNNNNNNNNNNNNNNNNNNNNNNNNNNNNNNNNNNNNNNNNNNNNNNNNNNNNNNNNNNNNACUGGCUUCUAUUGGAUAGAUGAUGUUCGUACAAUUGGAAAUUUCGGGUUGUCACACCUGAAGUCCUUAAAGGACAGUGUGCGAGGACCCGACUGGCCAGAUGCCNGAGGCGAUCCUCCAUCAACUCGAUGAUCCCUUCCUUGAUCGACCCGAAGAUAAUGGGAGUCGACUCAAGGAUACCCCUGGUAAUCUCUGACGCGAUGAACUCGCGUAGUCCCUCAUCUACCGGCUCGGAACCUGAUCCCGAACCUGACCCCUCUCCUGAACCGCCAUCUACCGGCCUCGAUCGAAGUACCACCAUUCUGCAAUACAUCACAACAAUCAUUAGUGAUACUGAUACUUCCUGAGGGAUCACAACUACUUACAAGUUCCCUGGUCUUAUCUUGGCCUUCCUUGGUUCGGGUACGGAUCCUUUGCUUUCAGUAGUACGGGACCAUACUACCUUCCACAUCUAUCCGUACCUUCUUCAAGGACUGCCUUGACUCCACCAGAUCCCUUCCACUACGGCUGAUCACUACUAUACUCAUCCUAGGAUUGCCCUAGGAAAAUCUCAGACUCCACCCUACCAGGUCCUCAGCUGCUGAAGGCCUCUUAGUAGUGCCAAUUAACCAUUACCUGAACACCAUCACAUGUGGUGAGGCUCGGAUAAUCCUUCGAGUAACAGGCUCACCCCUACCACGGUUAGACUCAAACGAGAGUUACGCAUUAGGGCCAAAUCCAGCACUCUAAGAUUAUUCAACCCUGGUCACAUGUGACGUGACGUAUUCACCUAAUGGCUGACUCCCACCACUCAGAGUCCGACAAAGCACAAAGCAAGCAGUAUUCGAACCAAGGGAACAAUCUCAUUCAACUCUAUCGGCUUACAGGAACUGUCCUAGCAUGCGAUGCUAAGCUCAUACCAUUAGGCAUAACCUAAUCAGACUAUCCUACUUGCUGUCUACUCAAUACUAGCAUGCAAUUCUCAUACAGCUGAGACACAUAAAGCAGGCACAUAAGGCAUCACUCCUAGAUCCUUAGUCCUAUUCUAGCAUGCUGUUCUACAAAAGCUGAUAAACAUAACAUAAACUUGUAUGGGUACUUUGGGGAAUACUUACUUGAGCUCGGCCGGUCGCGCACAUCACACACUUCGUUCUUUCUCAAAACUCUUUUCUCAAUUUUUAGAAAAUAUUUUCAUUUAGAAAAUCUUUUAAUCCCUCAAUUUGAGUUCAGACACCCCCGAAGGUGUGUCCGAAUCCCUCAAACCAGGGCUCUGAUACCAACUUGUAACGACCCGAAUUUCACGUCCAAAAAUUUCGUUACAACACAUUACAUAAAAAGCAUCAAUAGUUAAAACAUUGUUUGAUUAAACCAUUUCACAUCGAAAAGCAAAUUGAAAACCAAACAACCAACAUGUCAGAGUGUCACUCCUAGAAUAAGCUAAUAACUGUGGAAACAAGAGUGUGUGUGACAUGCUGCUACCGUGCCGGCUCCUUCCCAUUGGCUAGAGAGGUACCUGAAAGAACAACUGAAAAACGUAAGCAUAAAGCUUAGUGAAUUCCCCCACCGUACCACAUACCACAAUAACCAAAAUUGAAAACCAAACAACCAACAUGUCAGAGUGUCACUCCUAGAAUAAGCUAAUAACUGUGGAAACAAGAGUGUGUGUGACAUGCUGCUACCGUGCCGGCUCCUUCCCAUUGGCUAGAGAGGUACCUGAAAGAACAACUGAAAAACGUAAGCAUAAAGCUUAGUGAAUUCCCCCACCGUACCACAUACCACAAUAACCAAAUAACACACAUAUAUUGUCAGGCAUAUCUGGGUGCCUGACCUACCCCUUUGGUCCUCUUGACCGGGUAUUGCCAAGCAUAUCUGGGUGCUGGCCUCCCCUUCGGUCCUCUCGACCGGAUACUGCCUAACAUAUCUGGGUGCUGGCCUCCCCUUCGGUCCUCUCGACCGGAUACUGGAGACUAUCUCUCCCCCUCUACUACUACCACAUAGCACAUAUCACAAUAUCAGAAUCCAACUAGCAUGACUGGGUAUAACUACCCCUUCGGCCCUAUCGACCGGAUAUCUUGGGGACUAUCUCCCCUGCCACUACUAACACAUAGCAUCAUAUCAUAUUAGCACAUAAACAUAGCACAGGUAGUAGUAACCCCUAGAUGAAUAUCACAGAGACAAACAUCUACAUACAACUCCUACUGGUGGGCCGGCAUUGUGGCCGUAGACCCACCGCUACUGGAAGACAACUCACCUUGAAAAGGCUGCUAGUCUGUGUGGGAAUUGACUGUCUACUGCUGCUGCUGCUGCUUCGGACGNAAACGAUCAGUCAAACACCGCUAGAUGUUCUUAGGGUAAAAUGACCCUUUUUACCCCUUACCAAGUCAAGUCCAGGUCAAAGUCAACUUCCAGUUGACUGGACUCGCCGAGUCCGCGAGCAACUCGCCGAGUCCAUCCCUCACUGAUCCGGUCCCACUCACCAGGUCCCUCUCCCCACUCACUGAGUCACCCUUGACUCGCUACCCGGGACUAUGGGGCCGACUCGAGUCCCAACUCGCCGAGUUCCUCGAGCAGAUCCCCUGCUCGCUUUCAAUCCACACCAGAACACCCCAUACGAGGGUUUGGGGUUUCGGGACUACGUUACACAGUUAAUUCCGCGCACAGGUACGAAGGGUUGAGCCUUCGAUGCUUAAACCCCUCGUGAUCUGUGGAUGUUCAUAUGACUCGCCGAGUUUGAGGAACUACUCGGCGAGCUCCAGGCAAUCUUCAUAGGACUCGCCGAGUUGUUCUUCAAACUCGCCGAGUCGACGACCAUCUUCAUAGAACUCGCCGAGUUCCACUUUGGGACUCGCCGAGUCCUUCGACCCAUUCCCUGAGUAGGCCAGAUCUGGGACAUGCAACACUUCAAAACCACAGAUCCAAGGUCCUAGGGCUCAUUUACCACGUAAAGUUGCAAACUUUACGUGCAUGCAUGGCCCUAUGAGCUCAAACAUGCAAUUCCAAGCUCUUUAAGAGGUCCUAUGCUCAAUGGGGACCUCAAUCACCUCAACCACAGAGACUUUAUGCUACUAGGAUGACCAAAAGGUCCAAAUCCGAAGUCCUUGCAGAACAUUAACCAUAGACACAUAGAGAUUUAGGUUCUUAGGGCUUAAAACCUCUUUUUAGGGACAAAAAGGGGACUCAAUGAACUAAAGAUCAAGGUAGGAACUUUUCUACCUGAAUAGAAGCCCUUCACAGAGUAGAUUCCGGAUCUUCUUCCCUUCUUGCACUCUUCAACCUUUUCCUUCUUCUCCCAAGCUCCAAACCACCUUCAAAAUGCUAAAAAUCACCCUCAAGGACACAAAAGGGGCUAGGGUUUCGUUCUACAGAUCUCUGGGAGUGCUAGGGGAAAUGGAGGAUGAGUUAGAUCGUUUAAAUAGGGUGCAAACACCCGGGUUAGGGUUUAAGUCCAGACAGGGUCUACUCGCCGAGUCCCUCGGACCUACUCGCCGAGUAGACUGAGUAGAUCCCGCGUCUAGUCCCGCUUCUACUCGGCGAGUUAGUCCUUCAACUCGCCGAGUCCAAGGUUAAUCAUGCAAUAUAAGGAGAUUUAAUAACCAAGAAUACAUAUCAGGAACCAGGUGCUACAAAACCAAUACCAAAAGGAAGAAAAGAAAAUCAGAGAUGUGAUUUUGAUUUUGUAGAUAGUAAUUGUAAGAAGUGUGAAUUGAAUUCUUAAAUAGAAAAAGAAAAAACCACACUAAUUCAUAAAGAUUGAAACACGGGAUUCAUAUCCUUUACCUGAAUCGAUGAUGCAAGAGAGGGGUCUGGUAACAAAAAAGAAGAAAUCAAACAUGAAACCUAACAAAAUCAGAUGAGAGAGAGAGAGACUGCGUCACGUUCCACAUGUUUUUCUGGAAAUAUUAAAGUUCUUCAAGUUAUACACAUGAUAAGAUCAUACAACAACUCCUUAAAAGAAAAAAAAAAGAUGAAGACGGAUAUAUCGGCUAUGAGAAGUUGAGCAAGAACUUAAUUAAAAAAAUACUUAAAAUCAAGAAACCAAAACCUGUUAGGCCACAAAUCAACCUUCGAAAACCUGAAAUAAAACGGCUUUGGGAGUCAGUCAGGUAACCCAUCAAAAGCUGAAAUCAGUUAUCAUGAACGAAAUUAAAGCAAAGGUGUGGUGAGGCUUAUGAAUCCAUAAAUCAAAAGAAGAAGAGGAAGAAGGCGUAUCAUCUGGGAUUUCAUUAGGAUUAGGUUUAGGAAGAACAAAAGAGACAAACAAACCUGGAUUGGAGUGAUUUGGAGUCGAGGUACAUAUGCGUUGGUGUUGUAGAUUAUAGUUAUAACGGUGGUAAAAGGUUGUGUGAUGGCAGUGGUGGAAGUCGCCUGCUAGGGAAGAGAGAAGGAGAAGAGUGGUGAUUGUGAUGGCUACAUUAGCUGACGAAGGAGAUGGGAAGGGUGAGGAUCGAUGCAUUGGAUUUGCUUGUGUUUAGGUGUUCAAAGAUGACGUUUGUUUUUAUAUAUAAGGUUAGUUCCCAUAGAUAUGAAGCUGUGAAGUACCAAAUCCCUUUAUUCUCCGGUAUUUAUGGUUAUUUUCAUUUGAAUUAGUCGUAACUUUCAGCUAUAAUGUGAGGAAAUACCACUUCAAUUUUGACUGAUUCUUGUUUUAGAAGAGUAGAGAUGAACAGCUUAUAGCCAUUAACGUUUUGACCUGUUGACCGAAUAGGAUUUUAAUGCAUAAAGUUGUUGUAUAUAAUGUUUUAAGGGUUAUACCUCUUCAAAGUAUGAUUUUUUUAAAAUUUAAAUCAUCUAUAUUAGGUAAGAUAAGGAUAUAGGUUUGAAUGUUUCAAUAUUAAUUUUACAUUUGUACUUAAUGCAUUGUAUUUUGUAAUUUGUUGAUAAAUGUUUGUAUAAUCAGCUUAAAUGUUUGUACGUCUUAAAUCUAUUUUUAGAAAUAGUAAGGUUUGUAUAAUAAGAUAGUAUAUAUAUAUAUAUAUAUNAUAUAUAUAUAUAUAUAUAUGGUUAGGUUCAUGUGAGACGGCCUAAUUUUGUGAGACCGUGAGACGCAAUCUUAGUCACUCAUUUAGCAAAUAAAACAAAAGCAUUUUUAAAAUGCAAAAUAAUUGAAAUUUUCUGAAAAAAAAAUUUCCAAUAUUAUUUUCGGAAUAUAUGUUUUCCAAAAAAAAUAAAAAAAAUACCAAAAAAAUAAAAAAUAAAUACAAAAAAAUACACUUUUUACAUAUUUUAGUAGAAUAUUUAGAAUAUUCUACAUAUCUGACAAAUCUAGUAGAAUAUUCUAAACAUUCUAAAAAUCAUAUUACAAAUGUCAAGUGUAAUAUUCUAUUAGAAUAUUUCACGUAUUUAAAAAAAAAACGGUAAUUUAUUUUAUUUUAUUUUAUUUUUUGUAGGUAAAUAAAGUUCCGAACAUAUUAAUUAAAUUUUUUUUUGUAUUUUUCCUUUUAUUUUGCAUUUAUUUUGUAUUUUUCCUUUUAUAUAUAACCAUCAAAAACUUAUUUUUAGAUAUCUGCCUGUUAUGUACCUAAUAUUAGGUAUAAAACCAUCAAAAACUUAAUAGUUUUAACUAAAUGCAAUCAAAUUUCUCUACCAUAUUUCUUGUAUCCUUUAUUAUAAUAGAUGUUUGGAUUUAUACAUAUUUUUAUGGAGUUUUAAAUACUCCCCCCGUCCCAAAUUAAUUGUCCACUUUUGGCUUUUGAAAUCUUUUUUCUUCAAUUUUGACCUUAAAUAUUUUUAUUUGUGUUAUAUAUUACUUGAUGAAACUUAUAACAAUGAAAAUAUAUUUAAAAUAAAAUCCAUUCAUAGAUUUUGCAUUAAGUAUUAUAUAUCAAAAAUAAAAAUAAUUAAGGUCAAAGUUGAAGAAUAAAGACUUCAAAAGUCAAAAGUGGAAAAUUAAUUUGGGACGGAUGUAGUAUUUAAUUUUACACCAUAAACCAUGUAUAAGAAUACAUUAUCAACUACCUAUAUGCCUUGAUAUUCAAAUUUAAUAUAGAAAACUAUAGUGAAAGACUAAAAUUGUUCAUUAAAACCCGAAUAAACUUCUUCUAAUAACACAUCAAAAAGAACCAUGCAAGUGUUCAUUAAAAACCCAAUAAACUUCUUCCCAUAACACAUUCAAAAUACAAAGAUGUUGGGGAUAUAUUAUUAAAUCAAAGAUAAUCUUACCUUAAAAGCAAUAGGAAGAAGCUAACAUUGAAAAAAAAUUGUACUUUUUAAUCAAAAUGAAGUCAAAUAAUGAUGGUUGUGUACCUAAUAUUACAUACAUGACAUUCAUAUAUUCACUUUACCCUAUAUAUANNNNNNNNNNNNNNNNNNNNNNNNNNNNNNNNNNNNNNNNNNNNNNNNNNNNNNNNNNNNNNNNNNNNNNNNNNNNNNNNNNNNNNNNNNNNNNNNNNNNNNNNNNNNNNNNNNNNNNNNNNNNNNNNNNNNNNNNNNNNNNNNNNNNNNNNNNNNNNNNNNNNNNNNNNNNNNNNNNNNNNNNNNNNNNNNNNNNNNNNNNNNNNNNNNNNNNNNNNNNNNNNNNNNAAGCAAGUUCAAAUAAAAACAAUAAAUAGUGUGAGAACGUAAAAUCACUAUGUUUAUGUUAUUAUUCUGUUAUGAAUGUUGUAUAUAUGUAUUGUUGAAGUAAUUCUAAUAUGAAUAUUAACGUUUGAUUAUUCAUAUAUUCAUUAGAAUGUAAUUAUUCCAUUAUAAAUUUAUGUAUGCGCUUUUUUGUAGUAAAUUCAAAUUUUAGUUUUAACCUGUGACUAUUCAUUUAUUCAUUGCUAAUGAUAUAAAGCUGUGGAUACAAAAUUCAUUUAAGAAUAAUAACAUAAAAAUAGUGUUUUUACGUUCUCACACUGUUUACUGUUUUUAUUUGAACUAUCCCAUAUAUAUAUAUAUAUAUAUAUAUAUAUAUAUANNNNNNNNNNNNNNNNNNNNNNNNNNNNNNNNNNNNNNNNNNNNNNNNNNNNNNNNNNNNNNNNNNNNNNNNNNNNNNNNNNNNNNNNNNNNNNNNNNNNNNNNNNNNNNNNNNNNNNNNNNNNNNNNNNNNNNNNNNNNNNNNNNNNNNNNNNNNNNNNNNNNNNNNNNNNNNNNNNNNNNNNNNNNNNNNNNNNNNNNNNNNNNNNNNNNNNNNNNNNNNNNNNNNNNNNNNNNNNNNNNNNNNNNNNNNNNNNNNNNNNNNNNNNNNNNNNNNNNNNNNNNNNNNNNNNNNNNNNNNNNNNNNNNNNNNNNNNNNNNNNNNNNNNNNNNNNNNNNNNNNNNNNNNNNNNNNNNNNNNNNNNNNNNNNNNNNNNNNNNNNNNNNNNNNNNNNNNNNNNNNNNNNNNNNNNNNNNNNNNNNNNNNNNNNNNNNNNNNNNNNNNNNNNNNNNNNNNNNNNNNNNNNNNNNNNNNNNNNNNNNNNNNNNNNNNNNNNNNNNNNNNNNNNNNNNNNNNNNNNNNNNNNNNNNNNNNNNNNNNNNNNNNNNNNNNNNNNNNNNNNNNNNNNNNNNNNNNNNNNNNNNNNNNNNNNNNNNNNNNNNNNNNNNNNNNNNNNNNNNNNNNNNNNNNNNNNNNNNNNNNNNNNNNNNNNNNNNNNNNNNNNNNNNNNNNNNNNNNNNNNNNNNNNNNNNNNNNNNNNNNNNNNNNNNNNNNNNNNNNNNNNNNNNNNNNNNNNNNNNNNNNNNNNNNNNNNNNNNNNNNNNNNNNNNNNNNNNNNNNNNNNNNNNNNNNNNNNNNNNNNNNNNNNNNNNNNNNNNNNNNNNNNNNNNNNNNNNNNNNNNNNNNNNNNNNNNNNNNNNNNNNNNNNNNNNNNNNNNNNNNNNNNNNNNNNNNNNNNNNNNNNNNNNNNNNNNNNNNNNNNNNNNNNNNNNNNNNNNNNNNNNNNNNNNNNNNNNNNNNNNNNNNNNNNNNNNNNNNNNNNNNNNNNNNNNNNNNNNNNNNNNNNNNNNNNNNNNNNNNNNNNNNNNNNNNNNNNNNNNNNNNNNNNNNNNNNNNNNNNNNNNNNNNNNNNNNNNNNNNNNNNNNNNNNNNNNNNNNNNNNNNNNNNNNNNNNNNNNNNNNGGCGUAUUGGGUCGACGGAGGAUGAAUAAUAUUCAUAUAUGAAUAUAAAUAUAUGUUUAAUAAUAUAUGAAUACACCACCUGCCUUCGCCACCAAUCACCACCACCGCCGCCACCACCACCACCAACCACAACUACUUCCGCCACCACCCACCGCCGCCAUAUUCAUAUAUGAAUAACCAGUUCCACUAUACUUAUUCAUAUAUGAAUAUACAUAUUCAUAUAUGAAUACACUUAUUUAUAAAUAAAUAUACCUAUUUAUAUACAUAUUCAUAUCUGAAUACACUUAUUUAUAAAUGAAUAUACCUAUUUAUAUACGUAUUCAUAUAUAAAUAUGACCUGUUCCAUCGGCCGGUAUGUUGGAGCGCUUAAGCGGCAAAUUCGAAAAUGGUGACCCGGAUUCAUUCCCUCAUGAACGAGAUGUAAAUAUAAUCUGGAUCACUACAAGGAACGAGACCUAUAGGGACGACAAUUGUUGUUUCUAUAGGUACUAAAGUCGUCCCUAUAGAUGGCGACAACGACAAGUCAUCCCUAUAACGUUGUCGUCGCUAUAUGUAUCGUCGUAAUAGCUUUACCUAUAGAGACGACAUAUUGUCUCUAAAGGUUUCGUCGCUAUACUUUUCCGAUCACCAUAGAUAAAUCUAUAUGUGUACCUAUAGAGAUUAUUUUUCGUCCCUAUACAUUUACCUAUAGAGACAACAUGUCGUCUUUAUAAGUAUGCCACAUGUUUAUACUCUGCUCUUUUUUUGUGUAUUUUUCGAGUUUUGACAAUCCCAAAAUACCUAAAGCAGUAUAUUUACAAAAUAGUCGUAAGUUUAUUGCAACAAAUAGUGUUAAAUGAUUUUAUUAAAUGUUUUAAAACAAUACAAAUUGAAGGGAGAUUCCUAAACAUUAUAUGUUUUAAAACUAUACUAGUUCAGAUAUAGCAAACUUAGCAUCAAAUUCUUCACUUAUUAAUACUCCCAAUUUCAGAACACCUUCCUGCAAGUGAACAUUUGGAAAAUGUUGCAACAGUUACAGAGAGAUUGCUUUGCUAACUAUUUGUAAUAAUUGAUAAGAUAGAAACAUCACCUUUAAUGUACUUCCCUCAUUGUGGGGCAGCCUUGGCAACUGUUGCAACAUUAUCAUUUAAAAUCACGUACAUGUGAAUAUAAUUGGCAUCUUCUUUACAUAUAAUAGCAACGUACUUUUUUUCAUGUAAUGACAACAUAUAUACUUACAUUCACUUACCUAUACUAGCAAAGUAUGUACAGAAAAGUACAAUGCCUAUAUCGAUGGUAAAAUGUAAGUACAUUUUUCUUAUAGGUAAAAACAAAGUACAUUACUAUUAAAGUUGACUUUUCAUACAUGCAUCCAACCUUUCUCAGAGAAUGGUGACUUAUUAUGAUGAAUCUUGAAAGAUAUAAUUAUUGAUAUUAUAAUAAGAAGGAAGUAUAGAAACAAGAAAAGAUCCCAAUUGUAACUCUACAACAACAAGGAAACUAGAAAUUAGUGUUGAAGAGAUUAUUAUAUCAUAAAAAAGCAUAAGAGCUAACUAUUCCUAAAUGUAUACAGGUUUAUAGUUGAAAUCUAGCUUACUCAAGUGAAUGCACACCCUUAUUUUGGGUUAUCCCGAAAAAAAGCAAUAUUUCCUUUUUGGGUAAGCAUUAAGAACUAAUUUAUUCUUUUACCCUUUAGUAGUCAUUAAGUGAACUUAGCCAAUAUAAAUGUGGUCCACAAAUCUUCUUUAUUUUCUUCUUGUUAAGGGGCUUUUAGACAUUUGAUGAAUAGUCAUAGAUUUUUUUUAAAACUAUGUGUCAAGUCAAAUGUUACUUUUUGAUAAGGAGAUAAAGAGGAGCUAAAACCUUCGUUGAAUUGCCAAAGAAGUUUGUAUGAUCAACAUAAGCAGAAGUAGAACUUUGAACUGUAGAAACAGAAUAGGAAGACAAUUAAUUCUCAAGUCAAAUCAUUAACUUUGUGAUAUAAAUUUAAAAAGUUGAAACUUCAAAAGUUUAGAUUAAAGUCACAUACACAGCUCUCAAUGUCAAAUGAUUCUCAAGAAAGGACUCAUCCGUUGUAAAUAGCAUGAUAAAGACAAUUGUAUAAGUUUGCUGCCAUAAUAAAUUUAUAUUUAUAUAGAAAAAAACAAAUGGAUAUGCACUUUGUUCAUAUUCCAAAAUUUCUAACAAAUAUCUACUAAUGUCGAAUACAUUAAUUGUCCUACCAAGCCAUAAUUAGAGAACCAAUCAGCGAUACUGCAUUACAGUUUAUAAGCAUGAAAAAAAUUCUUUCCAUUUCAAUUGUAAUAUGAAAAAAGAGUCAUAGAAUAGAGUCAAGGAUCAUGGCUAUAUAUUUUCUUAAAACGUGUAUAAUUGUAGUACUUAGGAUAAAGAAACGUAGUUAUUUUUCACACACAAACAAGAAAUUAGGUGAAUAUAAAACAUGAAAGGCGUGAGCGUUUACCACUUGGUAAAUCCUCCGAUUUCUUUCAGUCUUGAUUCAGAAUGAAAAAGGGAAUAAGGUGAGACCUUAAGCUUACUUGAGGAGGGCAUUUUCGUCCUAUGAUCCAGUCACUAGUUCAUGUAAAUGAAAAAGGCAAUAAGGCUUAGAGUAUAUCUAUAGUUUAUAUCUUAUACAAAAAGGCUUAUUAUAAUUAAAAUAAUGAUAUUAUCAAAACAAAUUUCAACCUCCAAAUCAGAAAUAGAAACAGAGCCUCUUGUGGUGCCAAAGCAUCAAAUUUGAUGCGUGUAUCAGAAAUAAAGAUUUAUUCAGAUACAAGUUUUUCACAACUUGAAUUUCAAUCCUACAUAUCAUUAUCAAUGUUAUAUACAAGGAUCAAACUAGGUUCAUUGUCACAUAUACAAGUUUGUCCUAUAAUGCUGGUUGAAUACAAAAUCAUUUACAUUCAAGAUGUCCAACACAAGAAGAAAACAAACGCAUAUUUGAUCCAAAUCGAACAAUUACUAUUAAUAAUAGGUUAAGUCAUCAAAACUUACACAAUCAUAUGUACAAAAAAACCUACAUGAUCUACUGGUGAUAUCAUGUAAUUAUAACAUCCUUUUACCAGUUUUACCUUGUACGUUACUUUACAAAUCCGAUAUCAAAUAAAUUUAUUGGUAUAUAAGUUUGAUGAUAAGAAAUCACAUUUAGAUAUUCAUCAAUGUAACAAAGUAUUUCAAAACUGUGGUGUACCUUUAUUGAAAUCGUCAUGCUAGUAAUGUACAGACAUAGAGUAGACAUAGAGUGGUUGUGCAAUGGAGUCCAAGUGGUAAAGUGACUAUUGAUUUCGUAUCCAGAAAAUUGCAAAUCGUCGAUCAAAGUAGAGAGAAUAGUUGUUGCUGCUGAGGAGGCCGAAGUUGAAGGCGAUCAUCCCCUCAUGGGGUGUUCGACAUCUACCAAUCGCCGAUCGAGAGAGAGGAAAAUAUGAACAGUAGCUGCGAUUAAACGAGAGAACUGGAUGACAUAUUCUCGAUUUCGAGAGUAGAAACCUAUGGGACGACCUACCGUCUCCACACCCUUAGACAAAACGACGCUCCUCCAAUAUUAUGAUUAAACAACAAAUUAAAAAAAAUAUAAAAUACAUCUAAUUUAUUUGUUUUUGGGAAGACCUGUCGUCCUUGUAUGUUUCUAGUAUCCUGCGAAAAUUCCCGCCUAAAUUGUCGGGACGACAUGUCGUAGCUACAUCUUUUCAGAAACCCGCCAAUUAUCUGCAUAACCUGUUCCAACAACACGUCAUCUCUAUAGAUUAACGAGUCAAAAAAUGUUGGUCAACCCUAUAGAGACAACAUGUCAUCUCUAUAGAUGAUCUAUAGAAACGACUUUUGUCGUCCUUAUAAGUAUCGUCCCUAUAGAUGCUUAUUCUUGUAGAGGAUUCAGAUGAUAUUAUCUAGAGAUGGUACAAGUGCAUUUGAGAAAAAAGGUUAUCAAAGACGUAAAAGUUACAAAUGACUUAUGUACCUACACUAUUUAUAGUGUACUCAAAUGAUACAAAAAGAUAUCAGUACUUCGACUGUAAAAGUGAUACAACGUAAAUGCCUGAUAAAAUACAUAGAAAAUCAAAGUCAUGAAGACUUUCGAUAUUGACAAUCUAAACAAUACUUCGACUAUUACUUGACUUUACAUUCUCUCAUUUUGUGACAAUAUCAAAUCUUCAUAGUGUCGGUAACAUCAUUAUCAGAUUAAAAAAAUCUUUCUUAUUUCCAUAUACCAAAUGACAAUCUUCCUUAUCUCCACUCUAUCUUCAUUUGAAUUUGUAACAACCCAAAUUUUCAAAUAUAUUUUUCAUUUUUAAUUAACUAAAACAUUCCCAUAAAAUAUGAAGUGACAAUGACAAUCGUUUUCAAAAUCCAUAACAUCAACGUUUUAUUUCAAAUAUCAGAGUGUCCUAUCAAAUCAAAUGUUGGAGAGUGCAUGUCGUGCCAUCAAGCCUUGCUCUUUCCCUUAGGCUCAGAUGUACCUGAAACAAAUCAACAAACUGUAAGUUCAUGCUUAGUGAGUUCCCUAGAGUAUACCCCACACAAUCCACAUAAUCACAUAAUCCAUAUUAGCUAUAAAAGCUACAUAAACCAUAUAAGUCAUGCAUACAACAUAUAAGGAUGCCGUGGAAACCCUCCAAGGUCUUAAACCUAAUGACACUGGAACCCCCACAUGGUGUUAACUACUUGCCAUGGGAACCCCCACAUGGUCUUCCUACCAUGGGAACCCCCACAUGGUCUUCACUACCAAGAAACUAUCAUACAAGCUAAACAUGAAAAUAUACUAGGAUGCCAUGGAAACCCUCCAAGGUCUUACACCAAUGCCAUGGGAACCCACCGGGGUCUUCCAUGCAAGUGUCAUACCAACAUAAUGCAUAACCAACCAACAAUCCGCAUAUCAUAAAAUAGGUCGGCCUCCGUGCCUUAGACCCAUUGGUAUGGUGAGAAGAAUCACCUCUCAGAAAUGUUGAUCUGAUAAGAUAAGUCCCAACUUGUAGCUCCAACUCAACUGUCUACAACCAUCAUGUGAUUAACUUAUCAAAAUCCUGAAAUACCAUAAAUACCCUCAAAGUCAAACUUGGUCAACCCUGAUCAAAUUCAAGCUCAACAGUCCAUGUUGACCCCAACUCGUCGAGUACAUCUAUCAACUCGUCGAAUUCCUUCAGAGUCCAUAAAAUUGAAAUGUCGACUCAACUCGCCGAGUUACCUGAGUAACUCGUCGAUUUCUUUAGUAUCCAAAAGGCCGAAAAUUCUAAACCGAAAACUCCAGGCCAAAAACUCUAACCAGCUCACCGAGAUCACUCAGAAUCCCGAAAACGUGUAAACCCUGCCCAACUCAUCAAGUUGGCUAAGCAACUCAUUGAGUUCCUUCAGCCCCUUUCAUGUUCAGUCCUUCCCAAUUGAAUCCAAGGCUCCAAACUAUAGAUCGAGCCCCUAAGGUGUAAUUACCACGUAAAGUUUCCAACUUUACGUGCAUGCAAGGCCUUAAGAGGCUAAAACACUGAAAGUUGCCCAGCUGGAACUCAAGGCGCGAUCGACACUGGUCAGCAUAGCUUUUUUGACGGCUCUGUGCGACUUGUAGUCGGUCGCGCACCUAUUGAAUCAAUUCGGUAGUCUUGAGCACUACCUCGGUGCUCCCCAUGACUCGGUAUCCAAACUCACCCUAACAAACAGGGGUCCUACACCUCCGACCAUACAACAUCUCAAAUGGAGGUCGGUCGAUAGUAGCAUGAUAACUAUUGUUAUAUGAAAACUAUGCUAGUGGGAGGUAUGUAUCCCAACUUCCUCUAAAAUCUAACACGCAUGCUCGAAGAAUAUCGUCGAAUGUCUGGAUCGUCCUCUCGCUCUGGCCAUCUGUCUGGGGGUAAUACGUUGUGCUGAAAUGUAACUAAGUGCCCAGUUCCUCGUGGAACAUCUUCCAGAAUCAAGAUGUAAAUCGGACAUCCCGAUUAGAGAAUACUAACACCGACACCCCGUGCCUAGCCACCACUACUCACACAUAAAUAUCCGCUAAUUUCUCAGCGGAGAUGAUCUCGGAGAUCGGAAUAAAGUAGGCACUAUUUGUCAAUCUAUCUACAAUAACCCAUAUGACAUUCACACCCCUCGCUGUCAUUGGUAACUUCGUGAUGAAGUCCAUGGUGAUCUCCUCCCACUUCCACAUAGGAAUAGGUAGCGGUUGAACCUUUCCAUGAGGCAUCUGAUUUUCGGCCUUGACCCUCCUGCAUGUCAAGCACCGCUUCACAAACUAGGGAAUCGCUCGCUUCAUGCAGGGCCAUGAGUAGCUCAGCCUUAGAUCAAUAUACAUUUUUGUAGCUCCCGGAUAUAUAGAGAACUUGGACUUAUGCGCCUCCUCCAAUAUCCUCUGUCUCACUCCCCCCAUCACCGGUACCCACACCCGACCACACUAUGUUAGAAGACCUCGACUAUCCCAAAAAAACAAGGGAUACUGACCCCAAAUCCGCUCUAUUUUCCAAUUCUCUUUCUUCAUGUCACACCCCCGAACCAGAUGGCGGAAAUGUCCGGGGGCUUGGUGUGACUUCAUCUUUGUAGUAUAUGUUGGAUUAGGUGUCUAAGUUCAUAACUAUUUUUGGGAUGUACUUGACCGGGUUGGCAUGAUCCAUUUGGGUUGCAUGGCAUUGCAACACUUGGAUAGACUAAAUGAGCGAAAGGACACUUAAGGAUUAUUAAUAUAUUAUAACUUCUAAUAUAUUAAUAAUAUUAUUUAAUUAGUAUUGAUCAAAGAAUUGAUUUGAAAUUAAUUAAGUGAUCAAAAAGAGACUAAUUAAAUAUAUGAGGUUGAUUGUGUAAAUAAUCUAUUCUUAUAUAGUGGGCUAAUGAUCCAUGGUUUGUAUGGAUUGGGCUAAAACCCAUAAGGUGAUCCAUGGAUAAUCCAUGGAGGUUACAAACCCAUGGAUCAUGGAAUAUGAAAAGCCAUGACAAUUAGGGUUUACAUGGUGUAACCCUAAUUGUGCCACAACUAUAUAAAAAACCCCAUGCAAGCAAAAUCGGCACUACUACUUGUACAAGAUAGAGGGCUAGCCAAUUUUGAGGUUAAGUGAACUUCUCUUAAGUCUAUUCCAAGAGUUGUAGUGUUAUGUGAGACAUUUGAGGCAUCACACUUGAGGUGCUAAGAUCACAAGGUUCUCAAGGAAUCCAAACUACAAAAGGUAUGUUCUUCUUCUAGUAUUUAUGUUUAAAAGUUCCCCAUGGUAUGCUAGGUAGAUUAAGAACCUUGGAAAAUCAAUAUUGCAUUUAUCAUAGUAAAACAUAGAUCCAAGGUUAUUUAGGGUUGCAUGUACACUUUAGGAGUGUUAGAAUGCUCAAAACCUAACAGUGGUAUCAGAUAUUAGGUUUGUUUUCUUGAUAUUUGAUGCAAACUUGCUGAAAACUCGAAAAAAUGGCUGUCUGGAUAGUGGACUCGCCGAGUCCAUGGGGGGACUCGACGAGUCCAUGCCUAUAUUCAACCAACUCGACGAGUCAGUUCAUGCACUCGGCGAGUUGGCUUCUCAGAGUGUAGUUUUUCGACUUUUGUUGCUGGAUAUGGACUAGAAACAUUACCCUAAACUGUUUUGGUCUUAUAAAACUUGUUUUAGAUGAUGUAAUGGUUAUGCUGAUCCAUUUUCAAUAACUAUUAUCAAAAUUUCAAGUUUUAUAUGGGUAAUUUUAUGAUUCUUGAAAUUGUUGAUAUGCAUGUUCAUGAACUUAUGGGUUUAGAAGAUCAUAGGAAUUAUUUGGAACUUGCUUGUUAGUUCAAUUCUUGAUCAUUAUGUGUUUUAAUGGAAUCCAUAAUUUUCCUCAAGUUAUGGAUUACCAAUAUUUAUCCUUUUAAAGUCCAUUAAAGAAACACAUAGGUUACAUAAAAUGAAAAGUCUCUCAUUUUAAUAAACCAUUUAACUCAUAAGUUAUGAAAGAUGAAAAGUUUUGAAAGUUACAAAACUUGCCCUCAAGUUUUGGAACAUGUAAAGUCACUUUAAAAACUUUAGUUCCAACCCCUAGAAUUUUAAAAGUUAAAAUUCAACCCUUAUACUUUAUAAUAUUAUAAGUUUAAUAAUAAUUAUAUAUGUAUCAGAAUAAGUGAUUUUACCGUUAGUAGGCCUCAUUCACGAAGUCGGUCUAUAAGGGGGGUAUAAGGUUGUUGCCUAUAAAAUGACAGCUUAAUGGGUGUCCCUUCUCACCCACCGCUUCCUUGAUCGGUGGAGGGUCAUUAGCCGAAUGGGUAAGAUAAGGACUUAAAAUCGUUAUUAAAAGUAUUAAUUAUAAAUAUAAAGUAAGUAAACCUUUUAUAAAUUCCCAAUCUUAGUUACGUUAGGAAACUGUGAAUUUGGUGCUAACCCAUGAAAUUACACUUUGCACUUUGCUUAAGUCGGUUAGUGGAGCGCGUGUGGUUAACCAGCACACUAGCUUGAUUUAAUAAGGUAGGAAAAGGGUAACUUAAUGUUUAUCAUAGUAUCGGUGGAGCGUGUGUGGUUAACUGGCACAUCAAUUGAGGGGUAAAUUUAAGGGUACCAAGUAUAUUUGCGUGGUUAUUCACACCUUGUUUUGUGAUCCUCGGCAUCCCAGUCACAAAACCUGAGAGGGCACAAUUGAGAUUGAAGCAUGCCAUUGAAAAGUUCAAUGAAUCUCAAAAUAUCUAGGAGUUUCAAAUCCAAUUAAAACCUAAUAAAUUAUUUCGUUUUUCAUGGUGGAAAUUGGCGAAUCGUCAUUCGCCUACCUUCAAAUAUUCUAUAACUUGGAUUACGGCAUCCCUCUUCCAAGUUAUAAAAUAUUGUGUUGGGUCCUAGCCUUAAUAUUUCAUAUUGGGUGUUAUAUUAAGGACUUUAAAUCAACUAUCUUGAAUAUCUCCCAAAAGAUGUCUGGUUCAGACAAUUAUGAUCUUCCAAAACUCUUGGAACAAGCUUUCCUAAUAAAGAUAAUGUCCCGUGACUGGAUCAUGGAAAUCAUACCUCAAUUCCUCCACCUCCUCCAAUUAUUCUCCUUAUCCCACAAGUUCAAGAUCACUCAAGCCCUAUUGGCAAGCAAGGUCUAUGUGUGAUCACAUCUUGGAGAUGAAGUCACAUGUUGACAAUCCGGGAGAGUUGGGUGUGAAAGCCUUGAGGACGUUGGAUGUUGACUAAUCACGUCCUAAGUCACAUAGUGAGUUCUUUAUGGACUACUAUGUAAAAGACUAUGACAUGACCCUUAAUGAUCUUAUCUAUUUGCUUGGUGCUGCUGAAUCAACAAUGACUUGGAGCACUGGUAGAGAAAAUUUGAUUAAGAAGAUCAACUCCCCAGUCUUCAAUGGAUAUUGACAAUUGGUAAUAUUAGAUAUCCAUAAAAGCUUUCUCUUCCCAAUGGAGAGGGAUCGACCAUAGUCAACUCGGUUGACCAAAUGGUAAAGAGAAAGGCUAAGUCUGAGAUAGUCAUGUGUACCAUUCCCAAAGGGUCCAUAUGGUUCUAUUACCAAAAGGAAGGGGCAUUGGUUCCAAAGCUGCCCUACUACCUGAAAGAUCUGAGAGAAGGUCUAGUCAGAAAGUUUGUGUUUGUUUCAGGUAAGUCCACUAUCUAACACAAUUAAGUUCCCAUUUGGAGAUUCUUAAUACAUUUUGAUGUAUGGCAGGAUCAAGCAAAGGGAAGGGAACUUAAAGAAAGAGUAUGUUGAAUCUGAUCGCGAAGAUGGAUUUCAAUCGCAUGGUUCGAAGAUCGGAUUCCUGAGCUACUACUUAGAGAGUUAUGAUAGAUUGCUAAGAAAUAUGUAAUAACAUAGUUUUCAUUUAAAGCUGCAUUGUAAGGAAAACGUUUUUUCCGCAUUUUAUAAAUGAAUAAAAUUUUGAUUUUAUUUUAGUUUAUAUCUCCUUGCAAUGGCUUUUAUGGAGAAUUGAUGUUUAUAUGUUUCUAGCAAUAACGGAAAUAUGAAUUUGAUUCUUUCAUUUGUGGUAGUGUCUAAAUUUACCAAAUAAAGAAGAUUCUCACCAACCAAGUUUCAAUUGGACCGAAUUUGGAAUCAUGCAAGUUGUAUAGUAUAAUGAAUGAGAACUUUCAGCUUUGGAAAAUUAAGACUAUUUCCUUGUUCACAUUUAUAUGUGAGUCAAGUGAAGGACUAAGGGAUCGAGUACACAUUCUUGUGCACUGUUCAAUUCCACCACAAAAGAUCGAUAAGACUACUCGUCAUGAUUUACUAAAGUUAAGUAAAUAUGAUUAUACUUACCUGUUUAAGUAUAAUUUUGAAACAUUGGAAAAGUUUCGAUGUAUUGCAGGACGAAUGAGAAGAAUCAAAUUAGGCAGAAAGAUAAAAGUUUCUCAAAUAUGAAAAGAUGGGAGAGUACUUUAGUAUCAUGUUUUCUGAUCAUCUUUUAUUAUUAAGAAACCAUAUCACAAUUGGUCCUCUAAGGACAUCUUAGUGCAUUCUUAUGGCUAAGAAGAGGAAUCAUUAAUUGUUGAAGUGGUUAAAUGAAGAAGAUGAGUCAUACUUCGUUCCAAAACAAAUCUUAGAGUCAUAAUCCAAGAUUGUAACUUGAGUGACAUAUCUUAAAGAAAGGUUUAUAGCACUUGUCAAAUGUAAGAGUAAAAUGUGUCCUACUCUUGUACAUUUGAAAUUGGUAAGGCGUGAUGUUUUGGAUAAACCAAAGACCAACUAAGGCCAAUUGUGUGAAGUGUUUGUCUUGAUAAAGAAUCCACACUAUCUCUUGAAUAUUUGGCAAGUGAGUCUUAUAUGUCAAGAGGACAGUGUGAGUCUUAAAGAUCUUGGAAAAGCUUCCAGAUCUAAUACAGAAGAAAAACCUAUAGUUUAUCACUAGCACACGACUUGAGGUUUAUAACCUAUCAUGUUGACAUAUUCCUAUUUCUGUGCCCAUUCCAGUUAAAGUUGGCUUUGCAUAUGAGUUCUGAGAGUUCUUAAUUGGUUGCAUAACAACUUGGAAGCAAUGGCAGGCCCUUGUGAUGCCAGGUGGCAAGAAGUUAAGACUACACAAGUUCAAUCCAUAAGCGUUUGGAUUUGUCACUAACCUUGUCUUAUGAUUAUGGUUUUGACAAAUUCACAUGGAUAGGAACACAUACACCAUAAAAUCUAAGUGUCAUAAGGUUUCUCUCCGAUUCAUUAAAAUGAUGGUGAGAAAACGCUUUCACUAAGUAGAUAGCAAUUGUGAUAUUUGCAUUCUCAAAGUCGUUAGUGGAGCGUGUGUGGUUAACCGACACACUAACAUGGACUUGUGAGAAAUGGAAAAGGUCUAAACAAUUGAGACUAUGAUUACGACAUCCGUUUUCAUAGUUCUAGAAUUGUUUAGACACACAUGUGUGCUAUCUAAGGAAAGGUUUAUGACUUUGAUAUAGUUUUAUCAAACAUAUCGUAUCAGAAAUAUGAACUUUGGUACGAAGGUCAAUAAAGUAUUGAUUCCUAGAAGUCCAGCUGAUUUCUAGGUACAUGUCAAAGCUAGUGGGAGCAUAAGUGUUAUGCUAAUAAUCAUCAUGCAAGUGGGAGCAUGAUAAUUAUAAUAAGUGUUGCAAGUUAGCAAUGUUAAUUAUAGAAGACAAAAGGUUUCAAUUGGGAAAAAUUGGUUUUGCUAUAAUUAAGGGAGAGGAAAUUAUACUUCAUUUAAAUUCUAAAAGCUUAGAUUGAGGUUUUAAUCAUCUUUAGUCAAGGAGUAAUAUAUGAAUUUGAUGUUGGAAUGGCUCAACAUAAGGAAAUUCUAUAUACGGGUCCAUUAUUUUUUGUUCUAAAAUUCAAUUAUGAUUACGACAUCCCUUUUCAUAAUCUGAAUUACGAGAACUUGGCAAAUAGAAAUAAAAAUAUUAUAGCAAAAGACUGGUCUAGUAUGAUGUCUUUAUGAAUCGUGUCCCAUAUGCUUCAGAUAUAGGAUCGAUUGCAUGUGAUAUAGUAUUCAUCUGUUCUUAAUUUUUCCAAAUGCCCAGAGCAUUAAGAGGGAAAAAGUACUAGAACUAGAUAUUAGAAAUUUGAUUAAGCAAUUGUCGAGGACAAUCUAAGGUUUACCAAAGAUUGGUUGCCCAGGGACAGUUGGAAGUAUAGUGUUAAUUUUUGGAAAGACCAUAUUGACAUAUUUUGAAAAGAGGCAACUCUUGUUCAGGAGUAAUAGUCAAAAGGGGAAUAUGGAAAUGUUCCCAUAGGUGGAAGUUGUUCAUUAAAUCUGUGUAAGAUUAGGAAACUUAAUGCAAGAAGAAUGUUCAAAGGCAAUGAACUUUGAAUAUGAGAUUUCAUUUCCAUGGAGUUGAUCUCCAUUGGAAUAAUCUGUAAUGUCUGUUGACAAGUCUUUGUGACUUUGUGCAUAAUCAUUACAAGAGGACCAAUGCAUAUAAGUUUAGAAUCUAACAGAUUUAAGUAAAUGGCAGGAAUUUGGAAUUCUUGCAUUUGGGGUAAGGAUUUGGGAUUGUGAAAUGAGUAUCAUUGGAAUUAUGUUCAAUCGAUCUAUUUCACAGAGUAAAGAUCAUAGAAAAACUUAUUGUGCAUACUUGGUGUAUGACAUAACUAAUGUUUGGAAAAACAUAGUGUGCAUACUUGGUGUAUGGCAUGACUAGUGUUUAGCAAAAAACCGUAGUGUACAUGCUUAGAGCAUGGGACAACUAUUGUUUUAAUUCAAGUAUAAAUUUGAUAGUUUGAAACAUUAUGCAAUGAAAAAUGUGUAAUCAAUAUGGUGAUAAAUAAAAUAUUUUCUAUUUAUAUUCAUAAGUUCUGAGACAAUAUUUGAUUCGAUUAUUCUUGUGUUUCACUUUGCUUGUUUUGACUUCCAGAAUAACUAGGUCAUUCUUACCGAUUGACUAAGUUAUUCAAACCAUCCACAAUCGGUCAUAUGUUGGAAGUAGAUAUGAAUAAAGACUUUCAUGAAGCUGGAUUGCAGAUGUCCAAGGUAUGUGACAUAGCACGACUUGCUGCCACAUUCGUGAGUGCUCAUAAGUUCUGAGUAUUGGAUUCAACCCACGCUUACUGGUAUCACUUCAUGGAAUUUAUCUUGAGUGAUCGUGAGACGAUAAUAUCAUAUAAGUCUUCAACCCUAGAGAUAUGACUUGUUGCAUAUGAUUUGGUUAUAUAUUGAUUAUACGAAAACGCAUUGGUAACUUGAUGUUGUAAAACACGCCUUUGUGUAUGAUUCAAAAAGUAGUAGAACAAGCAUAUGAGUCGAAGUUUAUGUAACAUCCCAAAAAUGCAACCCGAAAUUUUUUUUUUUUAAUAUUACUAAAACCCACAAUAUCAAAAGCCAUAGUAUAAAACCAUGAGUCGUAUGUCUCAAAACGCCAUAGUAAAAGUAUCAAAUAAAACUAAUGUCACUGUCAUAUCAAACAUCUGAACAAACUCCUAGGAAAAAAUUGUGGUGUGUGACAUGCCAUCAUCCCGAGCUCUUCCCCUUGCUAGCGGAAGUACCUGAAACCAAAACUGAAACUGUAAGCAGGAAGCUUAGUGAGCUCUCCCCCCCAACCUACCACACACCAUACAAUAACAUAUAAUGCAACUACUGGGCCUUGCCCACUACAUCGGACUGAAGUCCGGAAACUGCAUCGGACCGAAGUCCGGAACUAUCCAGGGCCUUUCCCUCUUCAUCGAACCGAAGUCCGAAAACUACAUCGGACCGAAGUCUGAAACUAACCAGGGCCUUGCCCUCUGCAUCGGACCGAAGUCCGGAAACUGCAUCGGACCGAAGUCCGGAACUAUCCAGGGCCUUUCCCUCUUCAUCGAACCGAAGUCCGAAAACUACAUCGGACCGAAGUCUGAAACUAACCAGGGCCUUGCCCUCUGCAUCGGACCAAAGUCCGGAAACUACUGAACAUAUGAACACGACAAGUCUGUGACUCGCCGAGUUGUAUGAACAACUCGUCGAGUCUCUUUCAUCAUAUGAAAACGACCAGUCUGUGACUCGCCGAGUUGUAUAAACAACUCGUCGAGUCUAUUCUUGAGGCAAGAAGAUUGCCUUGGACUCGCCGAGUCACGGCUUGGACUCGCCGAGUCUCCUGCAUGCCAUUACUAUACAGUCGAUUCUAGUCGAUUUCAGUGCAUCCAUUUCAUAGAUAUGGGCUUCUAGGGCUAGUCUUGCACGUAAAGUUUCCAACUUUACGUGCAUGCACAUGGGAAUGGGGCUAGAAUGCCAAAAUCACCCAACACUAAGCACUUAGGGUUUGGAACAAGGCUAUAUUUGCAUAAAGGUAGAUAUAUUUAGUUCCUAGAACUCCAUAACAUCCAGAUCUAUGGUCUUCAUCCUAAGGAGAACUCAAAUCUCGAGUUUGAAUCAUAUAAAGCUCCAAAAGAGACAUAAACAAGUAUAAAAGAGGGUUUAAUGAAAGAAUAAGCAAGGUAAUAACUUUAUUACCAGUAUAUGAAGCAGAUGGAAGCUAGAUUCUAGAUCUCCUUUCUCCUCUAUUGAUCUUCUCUUUCUUCCUUCUAUUCCAAAACUCCCAAGCUAUCACAAAACACUCAAGUGCAACAAUGGGGACUAGGGUUUUACGAAGAAAUUCUCUAAAGGUGCUGGAAGCUGGGGUGGGAGGCCAUAAUGACGUUUAAAUAGGGUACAAACCCUGGGAUUUAGGGUUUCAUCCAGACCAGCGGAAUCGCCGAGUCUGGAAUAUGGACACGUCGAGUUGCCAACUAAAAACGUGUGCAAUUCCCAUCCCUACUCGACGAGUUGGGCUACUGACUCGUCAAGUACCUCCUAAGAAAGGAAAAUACUUUAUUUAAAUUACUUACCAGAAAUGGGGCGUUACAAUUCUCCCCCACUUAUCUUAGAAUUCAUCCUCGAAGUCUGCUGCUACCGGUCCUGAAAAUAACUCUGGAUAGUGCUCCCUCAUUUCCUCCUCAGUCUCCGACAUCCACUCUGAGCCCUUCCAGUGUUGCCACUGCACCUUCACUAACUUGACCACCUUGCUCCUCAAGGUCUUCGUAUUCCGAUCCAAGAUUGUCACUGGUCUCUCAAUAUAAUUCAAGCUGCUAUCAACUUGAAUAUCCUCCAAUGGUACUACUGCAGACUCAUCCAUUAAACACUUCCGCAACUGAGAAACGUGGAAGGUGUUGUGGAUCUGGCUAAGCUCUGCUAGAAGAUCCAAAUGCUAAGCAACCCGACCCACCCGAGCCAAAACCCUAAAGGGACCAAUGAACCAGGGGCCUAACUUGCCCCUCUUACGGAACCUAAUGACACCCUUCCAAGGUGACACCUUUAGGAGGACCAUAUCGCCCACCUGAAAAUCCAAAUCCGAACGCCUCCUGUCGGCGUAACUCUUUUGCCGACUCUGCACAGUCUGCAGUCUGCUAUGGACCUGUUGGAUCAACUUCGUGGUAUUGAGCACCACCUCAGUGCUCCCGAUGACCCUCUGACUGACCUCGCCCCAACAAAUCAGGGUCCUACACUUCCUCUCGUAAAGCAUCUCAAAAUGAGGCGGUAAAUACUGGCGUGGUAACUGUUGUUAUAAAAAAUUCCGCUAAUGGAAGAUACGUAUCCCAACUGCCACCAAAAUCUAGAACACAUGCCCGAAGCAUGUCCUCGAGAGUCUGAAUCGUUCUCUCGCUUUGCCCGUCCAUUUGAGGGUGGAAAGCGGUGCUGAAGAGAAGACGAGUCCCCAUGUCGUCAUGAAACCGCUUCCAAAACUUGGAAGUGAACCGGACGUCUCAAUCUGAUACUACUGAUACAGGCACUCCAUGUCGUGCCACUACCUCAUGCACAUAAAUAUCAGCUAGCUUCUCGGCCGAUAUGUUCUCCUGAAUCAGUAUGAAAUGCAUGCUCUUGGUUAUUCGAUCCACUAUAACCCAAAUCGAAUCAACUCCGCAUGCGGUCCUGGGAAGCUUAGUGAUGAAAUCCUUAGUGAUAUCCUCCCAUUUCCACACGGGAAUGUCUAACAACAGCGUCUUGCCGUGGGGUCUCUGAUGCUCCACCUUGACUUUCCUGCAGGUCAGGCAUCUCUCCACAUACCAGGCCACGUCCCGCUUCAUGCAGGGCCACCAAUAAUCGGGUCGAAGAUCUCUAUCCAUCUUCGUCACCCCUGGGUGGAUGGAGAACCGAGACUUAUGGGCCUCAUCCAUCAGCAACUAUCGUACUCCUCCCUAGUACAAUACCCAAACUCUCCCAUGAAGGGUCAACAAUCCUCAACCAUCAUAGUCAAAGGAGGCUACUCGACCCACAAUCCUCUCACACUUCUGCCUCUCCUCCUUCAGGCCCUCAACCUGUGCCUCUCUAAUCUGCUCCAACAAGGGAGUAAUCACUGUCAUCGUCAGACAAAUAUCCCUGAUCGGGGCCGCUACCGCCUUGCGUCUCAGGGCGUCGGCCACUACGUUGGCCUUACCCGGAUGAUAAAGGAUCUCACAAUCAUAAUCCUUAACCACAUCUAACCACCGACGUUGCCUCAUGUUUACAUUCGGCUGAUCCAUAAGGUACCUCAGACUCUUGUGAUCCGUGUAAAUGGUACAAUGGACCCUAUAGAGGUAAUUCCUUUAAAUCUUGAGGGCGAACACCACUGCCCCUAGCUCUAAAUCUUGUGUCAGAUAGUUAGCCUCGUGAGGCUUCAACAGUCUGGAGGCAUAAGCUAUCACAUGCCCUCGCUGCUAGGACUGUUCAUUAUUUGGAUAAAACCUAAUUGUGCAAUUGGACAAAUUGGAUUGGACUAUUUGGUUUGGAUAUUCGAAUUUUUGGAUUGGUUUUCAACAACAUCGAAUUACUAUUUUGGAUUCCGGAUUGGUUUUGGUUUAUAAAAUAUGAACCGAAUAAUCCAAAAAAACCGAAUAACAAUUUAUUAUUUAUUUAUUUUUAAUAUAACUAUAAGUAUUUAUUAAUUUUAUAAUUUAUUUUUUCAAAUAAGUUCAAAAAGCUUCAUCUAAUAAAAAACAUUAAUAUGCAUUUUCUCUUAAAAGUUCUUUAUCUAUUAAAUAUUAAACUAUAAAAUACAUUCUUAGUAAUUUAUAAAUUUUAAAUCACAACUAAAUAUUUUUUUUGCUUCUACUAUAAAAAUUGGAUAAUAUUAUAAUUAUAUGUCAUUUUAAAAUAUUUUAAUUUUUGAAAACCGAAUUGUAAAAACCGAUCCAACCAAAUUGUAAUUGGAUCAGAUCGGAUCGGAUUUGAAUUUAGUUUGGAUUAUUCGAAUCCAUAGUUUGAAAACCGAAAUCAAUUUGGAUUUACUUAAUUGGAUCGGAUAGAACCGAUCCAUCCAAACGAACACCCCUACUCACUACAUCAACACUGCCCCCAUACCUAUGAUCGAAUCAUCACAGUAAACUACGAAGUCAUCCACUCCCUCUGGAAACGUAAGAAUCGACGCCUCACACAAUCUAUGUCUGAGGGUCUCAAAAGAAACCUGCUUCUUAGGCCCCCAGGGAAACACCACCGAUUUCUUGAUCGGUCGGGUGAGCGUAACUGCUAUCUUGGAGAAAUCCUAGAUGAAUAUCCUGUAGUACCCUGCCAGUCCUAGGAAGCUCAGAAUCUUAGAUGGAGAUCUCGGGACCUCCCACUGCAGAAAGUAUUUGAACAAAGAGUGACACAGAAAUUAGCCGACUGUCAAUAUCCUUGAUAUUUAUGACGUAAUAAGUUUGGGGAAAUUGACCUUGUAGAAGGUCGUACAUCAUAUCCGGAGUAGAAAGGUUUUGGUAGCAUAAAGGCCUAACUAAAAGUACCUACAGUACACGAUAGUUUCAUAGAAAAAUGUCAUAUAGGACAUAGACAAGAAAACGAUUCCUUCAAACAAGGAAGGAAAAUAAAGCUUCUCCUACUGGUGAUGGUCAUCCCUCUGGUAAACCCUUAGUUCAUCCAGUUGACGCUCCAUAUCAAGCAUGUGUCUUUCGUACACCCUCUGGUGUACUCGGAGCUCUAUGAAUUCGGCUCGUGUUUUAGCUAGUGCUUGUAGUAGGGUCUCAUGGUCUCUCUCAGAUCUCUCACGAGUGUGUUCAAGGCGAUUGGUGCGGAGGGUAUGCAUUCCUGCAUUGGNCAUCAACCUUUGUGAUACGAUGGAGAGCCGUCCUGCCCUGAAUAUCAUUUCGGGCAACUCUUCAGACUAGGAUUGGAAAAACUCUGUCUGUUGAGCCCUGUUCGCUUAAGUUGUAGAAGCUUCGGUCUCCAUUUAAUAGCAUAGGUUGAUCUUUCUCUUCGCUCCAUGUUUCCAAGCAUUCUACCCAAGGAGGCGUCGAGCCAUGAAAAGCCAGACGAGGGUUAGGAUUUGGAAUGGGAGCUACCGGGGGUAGGUUCUCAACCUCGGGCUCAGAGUUAGCACCAUCUUAAAAGCCUUCAACAUGGUGAUCAUCCAAAGGGAUUGGAUGAUCAUCUUCUGGCUCUUCUUCAAACCAUCAAUCAUUGUCUUCGUUUGGGAAGUAUGGGUCGCCGUGGGGAUGGGGUCCAGCCAUGUUAUCUACGCGAGAAAUGGAGAUAAAUAAAUAAUUUCUAGACGAACUAACUAGAUAAUUAUUAGAUAAUCUUCAUUAGUUACAUCACUGUUUGUAAAGUGCAUACCGGUUAUAUGUAAUCAAAACAGAAUAGCCCUUCGAAUAAGUGACCUUAACUCCAAAUUCACAAGGAACAGGGGUAAAGCAAAAUUUCACAGAUUCGAAGUCUAUGACAUCCUAGUUACAUAUAACCUUAGUGUAUCUACUCAGCAACUAUUGACCUAGAAAUGAAGAUCUUUUUAGUUCUCAAGUAAGUAAUUAUAGUAACACAAAAUACUCCUAUAGUAUUUUAGACUUAUGUUCUGUUCUAGUGUUCUUAUUGUAAUAGUGUUGGUAAGUUUUUAGACUUGUUGCCAUAUCACAACCAUUCUUGAGCACAUGCUAAUUAUUCCUCGGACCAGCAUAGUUGAUCAGGCUAUGCCACUCCCAGGACUGACCAUACAUCCCCGAGCUUACUUGUGAUAUUCAACAAUCGUAAUACUUUUGUUCUUGUCAUUGUGACACUGAUUUUAGUAUGCAUGCAGGUAUGUAUACUUAGUUAAAUAUUUUAUUAUUUAAAAGUAUAAACUCUUUGUCAGAGUAUUUUUAAUCCCAUUGUAUUUAUAGUUUGUAUAUCUUUUAUGGGUUGAUAUACUCAAUUCACUAUAAACAAUGCUUUGAUACCAAUCUAUCACACCCCAAAACCAAGAACGGCGGAAACGUUCUGGGGCGGAGGACGUCAUGUAAAGAAUCAUAACAAUGCAAAGUAGUAAACAAGCAACAACAUCAUCCAUUGCAUUAAUAGUAUAAUUUUCAAUACAAGUGUGUUCUUUCAUAUAAUAAUACACCAUAAUGAAUAAUCAAAAUUAAAGACGAGUCUUGACUGCUCCAUCUUCUCCAAAACCUAGUCAUCGUACCUGUCUACUGGUGACCUGAGAAUACAAGUUAUUUUGAAAGUGUAGAUCAGCAUAAAGCUGGUGAAUUCAUAAGUAUUUUAGUGUCAUUGAUUAGUAAAACUUGUGAAGAAAAGACUUGUGAAUGUUUGAAGGAUAAGUUUGUAUAAGUAUGAAAAUCCUAGAAAAUCCCAUAUUUCCUACUAGUAUAAAAUGUAGUCUUUGACCAAGACUCGACUAUUUUGAAGGUUUGAAUCUCUACAUAAGUGAAGGUUUUUCCCUUGUACAACUAUUAUUAUUCAAAUCUAGUCUACCUCAUCGAUUAUGUGAAUAUGACACAAAAUAAAGGUAAUAAGGAAUAUAAUAUAAUUAUUGAAAUCGUAUCCUUUUGUACUAGGAUAUUCACAGCGUGGUAACUCGCCGAACAGUACAACCGUAGACAUCCGUCGAUGUGCAGUUUCCCACUGUAGCUAACAGCCGGGUGUAGAAUGGUCAGUCCCGUAUAGUAACUAUAAGUAUCUAUUCAUAUAGUAUGUAAUAGUACCUCUUCCUAUGGUAUGUAUUAGUAUCUCCUCAUAGUAUGUAUUAGUAUCUCUUCAUAGUAUGUAUUAGUAUCUCUUCAUAGUACGUAUUAAUAUCUCUUCAUAGUAUGUAUUAGUAUCUAUUCGUAGUAUGUAUUAGUAUCUCUUCAUAGUAUGUAUUAGUAUCUCUUCAUAGUAUGUAUUAGUAUCUCUUCAUAGUAUGUAUUAGUAUAGACUCAUGAAUGAACUGACUUUUGUGUGAUUCCUUGUACUUGGAAUAGUAAGAAGUAUCUCCUAACUAUACCUAUUAUAGUUACUAGUAAUGUACGUGUAUAACCAAAAGUAUACCUUUGCUACCCAAAGGUACUAAAUGGAUUGAUAGAACUUUUAUGUCUAUAUAUAUACAUAAUAUAUAACUAAUAUUUAGAUGACACUCGGACAAAUAGCCGAUACCCUAAGGUCUCAUCCAAACAAGGAAAAGGAAUUAAAGCAAGCUAGAAGUCCUAAGUCCUUUAAACAUUGCUUAUAGCUAUACAUAUAUUGGCAUGCAAUUGACAAUAUAAAAGUAUAAAAGAAGUUUUGUAAAACAUUUGAAAAGUUUAAUAAAUAAGAAUUGAUGACUUGAUGUCAGUUUAUAAAAUUAUUUGAAAACAGUUUGUUUGAUAAGAACAGUUUAAUGUAUAAAAAGUCCUUUGUUUGAAAUACAAUUGUAACCGAGUUUGAAAGGAAAGAUACAGUAUGUAAGACUUGAACACGCACAAUUAUCCUAGUUAACAUAUAAUGAGACAUAUACAUAUCCAAUUAGUCAUUUAACAACUAAUUAACUAAGUUAAGACAUCCUAGGACAUGGAAACACUUUGAUUCAAGUGCUAUAGGUACCGAAGGGUAGCAUCUAAAGGUUGCAUGGCAUGGAAUUGGAGUUUAUGGCCCAAGGACCACUCCUUAUGGAGUUUACGGCCUAAGGUCAUUUCCCCCAUGAGUUUACAGCCAUAAACUCAUGGUACUAAGUGCCAUUGGGUGUUUUAAGGUCUUAUAAGUCAAGAUUUAGCAUCCAAUGAUCAAGUCCAAGCCUUAGGAAGCAUUAGGGGCACAAUAUCACCCCUUUAUAGAGUUUACGGCCUAAGGACCAUUUCCUUACGUGCUUAUGGCCGUAAACUAUUAUGGAGACAUGGUUUCUUUGUUGUUUAAGGUCCUAAGCACUACAAGGAAGGAUCAAGACUAGCAUCCAAGGCUUAGGAAGGGACUAGGGUUCAUUUAACCCCACUUAUAAGGGUUUACGGCCCAAAAACAUCCCUUGGUUGUAAACACCUUUGAUCUUAUGAUAUCUUGGUGUUUUCUAAAGGUAAAAAAUAUCAUUCAAGCACACGACAAUCUAGGGCAAGUGUACUUACAAGAUAGAAGCUUGAUUGGGUGUUUAAGGUCCAAGAACACUAGUGUGUGUUCUUGGUGUUCUUGGUGAAACUAAGAACACUUGAAGAUCUACACAAAUGGAAUGAUUUCAUGGAUGAAAUCAUGUAUGAUCACUAGAUUAAGUAAGAUAUCAACUAAUUAGGGCAAGAAGCACUCACAAAGUUGAAGAUCAAGAAGGAAAAUCGGAUGAUACUUGAGAGGAUUUGAUGUUCUAGCUUUGAAAUUAUGAAGAAAAUGAGUAAAAUGACUAAGUGUCAUAUUUAUACUAUUUGGAGUUUACGGCCGUAAACUCCAUGUUUAGGACAUAAACUCCAAAUUCGUGGAUUUUCGCGACUUUAUUUUUGUACAAUAAACCCUAGGGCAUCCUCUCUCCAGUUAUCUGCUACAGUACUAGGCUUUGGAACACUCAAACUGACUCUACACAGCUCAAAAGUUACCAGAAAUUGUUCUGACUUCUAUUGAAGUGAAUGGUUGUACAGAAUAGAAAUUUCGGGUUGUCACAUAAAGUCAAGAUGUUCCCCAUUGUACAGCCCAUAAAGCAUGGUCAUAAACAACUUGCUCACCCCAUCUGAUCCAGCGCUUCGCUCUAAGAGACCUUUGAACAGGAGAGUGAAGUGGCCAUUCCAUUGUGGAGGAAGGCAUGAUUUCAUGAACUUCGUCAUGGUGGUGAGGGUUUUAGUAUACCCCAUGUUGUAGAACAUUGAGAAUAGUUGACCAGUUGAGAUGGAAUCAGGGUUUACCAUGGUAGGUUCGUGAGCAAGACCUAGCAGCGCGCAUAAUCGAUUCUUAAAAAUCGAGGUCUUCUCGUUGUGAAUAUCGAAGUGGAUUCUCUCAGAGACCUUGUCAUAGUGAGCGGUUGAGUAGAUAUAAGAGAGGCAAGACAUGGGAACAACCUCUACCUGUGAGAGAGCGAUGACAAGCGGAGAGUAUUUGAGGCAUUCCACCACUUGCAGCAUGUAGGGUUCAUAGGUGAGCGGUGUAAGGUUGAUUAUGAGGUUUUGGUGAGGCUUGAUUGUGACAACCCGAAAUUUUCCAUCCAGUUCAGUCUAACAUUUCAUUUAAAGUCAAACUCAUUGCCGUUAUCUUUUGGCACAAUUAGAAGUUUAUUUGAGCAUUCUGAGCCUUGUACACUUAAGGAAUAAGUGUCGGGGUUAAUCGGCUGAAGUUUUAGCUCAAAGAAAUGACCCUAAGCACUCAUGCAAGGAGUUCACGGCCAACACAUGGGAGUUUACGGCCAUAAACUCCAUGUGGGCCGUAAACUCUUGCCUAUAUGAUGUAAAGGUGGCCAUUUGUUCAUUCCUUCCUUCCAUUUGGCCCAAAUCCUCUCAUGUAUCAUCCCGAUCUUCGUCCCCAAUCUUCAAAACUCGUAAGCCUAUUGUCUUAACUAGUUGAUAUCUUGCAUGAACUAGUAAUCUUACAUGAUUUCAUAUGUGAAAUCAUUCCAUUUUGUAGAUUUUCAAGUUUCACCAAGAACACCAAGAACACACUAGUGUUCUUGGCCAAAACCGACCAUUCGAGCUUGUAGAUCGUAAGUACUCUUGAUCCAACUUGUUGUAAACUAAGUUUAUCAUAUUUAGAGCUUAGAAAACAUAAGAAAUCAAGGGAUUCAAGGAGUUUACGGCCAAGGCAUGGUCUUAGGCCGUAAACCCCUUUUAAGGGUGCAAAUGACACCCUAACACCUUAGUAAGCUUUGGUUAGUGACAUAGAACCUUGCACCAUUGACCUAAGGACCAUAAUUCACGAAAUGGUACUCCUUACCAUGAGUUUACGGCUGUAAACUCAUGGGGAAGUGGUCCCAGGGCCGUGAACACCAAACAAGGUCAUGUUAGGACCUUAAAACCACGCAAACACUUGUUUAAAGCUUUGGAGCACUUAACCACUUAAGACCUUAGAUUUUUAAACCCCUUUUGGUGACCAAUUGAGAGUUUACGGAUAGGAGUAAACUCCCCUAGGCCGUAAACUCCAAUAAAGAUGGUCAUUGGACCAUAAACUCCCGUAUGAGGCUUCACACUCCUUUGUUGCAACCCGAUAGCCUCCUAGCACUUGACCAAAGUGUUUCCCUCGCAAUAAGAUGUUUAUACAUGUUUAAUUAGUGUUAUAAUCACUAAUUGUUUAUAUACAUAUGUCUUCAUAUGUAAUUAGGACCAUUGCGUGUGUCUAAGUCCUCACUUGACACCAAGCACUUGUCCGACACUUCCUUUCGAUCCGCUAACUGCAGGUGAGUUCAUACCCCUAAAUCAAUCUUUUAAAUGCUUUUAAAUGCUUUAAUGGGGGGGGAUACAGGUUGAAUCAUGCUAGUUAUUAUAUCAAUUAUGUGAUUAAUAACCAACAUACUAUAGGAUUUACUACACUUUAAGCUGUUUUACCAAACAGAUUUCUGUAAAUGGCUUUCCAAAACGUUUUACAAACUGACAUCAAGUCAUCUUUCUUAGUUGUUAAACUUUACAAAGGGUUUUACCAAACUUCUUUUAUACUUUAAAUUGUUAAAUGCAUGCCUAGAUAUGUAUAGUUAUAUAAGUAAUGUUUGAAGGACUUAGGAAGGCUAACCCGCUUUAUUUCCUUUUCCCCGUUGGGAUGUGGUCUGGUAGGGUAUCGGGUAUCUGUCCGAAGGUCGUUUAACUAUCAGUUAUAUAUCAUGUAUACAUAUAGAGACAUAAAAGUUCCAUCAGUCAGUACAAUACCUUUAGCUAGCAAAGGUAUACUUGGAUUAUACAUGUUCAUUACUAGUAACUAUAAUAGGUAUAGUUAGGAAAUACCACUUGCCAUUCCUAGUAUGAGGAAUCACACAAGAGUCAGUUCAUUCAUGAGUCCAUACAAAUACAUGUUGUUUGUAGAGAUACACUUACUUGGAUACACUUGCCAGGAUACUUUUACAUAGAUACCUUAUUAAAAGCAUGCCUGUAUAUGUAUAGUUAUAUAAAUAAUGUUUAAAGGACUUCGGAAGGGUAACCCACUUUAAUUCCUUUUCCCCAUUGGGAUGUGGUCUGGUAGGGUAUCAGGUAUCCGUCUGAAGGUCGUUUAAAUAUCAGUUAUAUAUCAUGUGUACAUAUAUAGACAUAAUAGUUCUAAUCAGUCAGUUCAGUACCUUUGGGUAGCAAAGGUAUACGUUCAUAUACUCUUACAUGAAUACUUAUAUUAGGAGUACCUUUACGGGACUAACCAUUCCUACACCCUGCUGUUGGAUACAGAGGAUAAUGAACAUCUACGGAUGCCUACGGUUAAUACUUAUAUUAGGAGUACCGUUACGGGACUAACCAUUCCUACACCCUGCUGUUGGAUACAGAGGAUAAUGAACAUCUACGGAGGUUCAAGGUUAAUACUUUUUGGCAGUCGCGAUGUCAGGUUUAUCCUAAUACAAAAGGAUAAUACUUAUAUGGCUAUAUUUUUCCUAUUACAUUUAUUUUGUGAUACAUUCACAUAAAAGAUGAGGUAGAAUAUAUAUAUUGUUAAUAGUCUUCAUACGAGGGAAAAUCCAUCUUUGUUACAUUCAAAACAUUCAGGUCUUGGUAGAAGGCUACUUUCAAAACAGUUAGGUCUUGGUAGAAGAUUUCAUCUAUACUAAUAGGAAUCAUAGGGAUUUCUAGGGUUUUUCAAACGCUUUCCAUUACUCACAAACAUUUCCACACUUAUACGAACUUUCUUAACAAUGUCAACACUUUCAUUGCAAGUUUUACAAAUCAAAGACACAUUAAUACUUAUGAAUUCACCAGCUUUUUGGCUGAUACUCGCUUUCAAAACAAAUUGUAUUCUCAGGUCACAAAUAGACAGGUACGACGACCAGGUUUUGUUAAGACGGAGCAGUCCAAACUUGUCUUAUAUUCUGAUUAUUCAUUUUAUUGUUGUAUGUUAUGAAAGAACACGCUUGUAAUUAAAAUUAUACUAUUAAUGCAAUGGAUGAUGUUGUUGCUUGUUUACUACUUUACAUUGUUGUGAUACAUUACAUGACGUCCUCCGCCCCAGAACGUUUCCGCCGUUCUCGGUUUUGGGGUGUGACAUUGAUGGUCAGAAGGGUGGAGCGAACAGAGGUGUCUUGAACAGAAGAAGAUUCUGCCAUUGAUGUAGCUUGAGAAGAAGAUGAUGAACAGUGAAAGAAAUCGUCUUUUUGCUUUAGGAGAUUAGAAAGCGGUAAAAGAGUAAAGGUGAUUUGGAGAAACCUUUUAUACUUGGGAGUAGGAGAGAGUUAAAUCCGCCCAAAAUCUUGUCUUUUGUGAAACGGUUCCUGAUACAGUGGGCAUUAGACAGUUGGCAACCCUGAUGAUUACGCAGGAGAGAGAAAACGUUUCAGUUUGACGUGCCUUUCCAUACAUAUCGCCUUUUUCAAAUAGUCAAACGUUUGGAUAACUGCUGACUCACCCCUUUUGUUUUAUUUGAAACGUCACCAACAUAAUUGACAUGAAUCUUUGUCAACUUGAUCAUUUCAUUUGAGAAUCACCAUGUCACUUUUAGAACCCAAUCUAUAUAAUGAAAAAUAGCUUAUACAAAAUAGGACCGGAUUUUUGGAAAAUCAAAGAUUUUCAUGCAUAGAGUGUGAAAGAUAAAGAAAUAAAUCAAACAUUUUGUGGGAUAGUGUAAUGUCGAUUAAGACAUAAAGCAGUGGAUCCCGGGCAUGAAUCUCUUCCUUCAAAGUCAAGAAAGGCUUCAAAGUGUAUGUGUGGUUUCCCGUUGAAAUACGAUCAUGUACUUAUUAAGAAGCAAUGAAAGGCAUCUUUUAUAUAUAAGGCUUGUAAGGGUGGCUUUCGCUUCAAUUCAAGUUUUGGUUCUUGAUAGAAGACCAAAAGAGAAUGAAGUACCUAUGAGACUAAUGUGGCCUGUUGAACAAGUAGGUUAUACACAUAUUCAGUGACUUAAUGAAAACUCAAAAAAAAACUGGAUCUUUGGGGAAGAAAAGUCUUGGUGAUAGACAAUUUCAAAAGGAUUUCUCAAAAUAAAAAGAGAUUUCAUGGUAACUCCACAUAGAGUGGUUUCAUUAAUUUAUUGGUGAAAACUAGAACAUAUUAAUUGUUCACCAUAAAUUAAUUAUGGGUAUAGAAUUUUGGGUUUCACUUAGUACGUAAUAACACGAGACUAAGAUCAUAAACACAGAUGUUGUGUAACCAUAAACCUCAGUGACAAUUGCUGAGAGUCUCAAGGGUUACAUUAAUGAUAUGAAGUGAGAUGGAGAAAAAUGGUGUAGGUGGUUAAGGAGCCGAAUAUGUACCUCUUCUAUAAAAGUAGGACCAAGCAGAAAACUCUAAGCUCAAUAUGAGAAGAGUAAGGUAGCUCAUGAUUAGAGUGAAUUUAACAGCCUAACUGGGAAAACAUGAUUUGUAUAUAUCACAUCAUUAAGGCUUCACUCAAAAUCUAUAGAGGCUUCGGUCGACAUGCAGCAGCAUGCUUCCAGGGACACUUAACUAAUACAUAGAGAAAUUUAUACCUGCUCCAGCUCCAUCAUCGAGAAUAGCUUUUAAACAUGAAAUCAUGAGAAAGAUAAAAUAAAAUAAAAAAUAUAUUUUUAUAUUUUGUAAAAAAAUUCUAAAGAAAAGGAAAUAAAAACAAAAAGAAAAUUAUUUUUGGAUUUUAUGAAAAUAAAAAAAUGAAAAGAAAAACAUAAAAAUGAGUAUGUAAAAGAGUGCACAAAAGUAUACAACCAAAAUUCCUUUUAAAGAAAAUAAAGCGAACCGAGUUCAGUAGGACCGAACCCGAAAUAGACCGAGCGUUCGCUCUAUUUCGCUUCCAACCUUUAAUGAAGCGAAGCCGAUUUCGGUACAGAUUCAGCUUCCAUCAUUCCUAGGCCUUGUAGGAUCUUAUUGAAACUUGCUUCAGGUAAGGCCUUACUAAAGAUAUCUGCUAAUUGAUCAGUGGUUCUCAAGAAAUGAAUCUCUACGUUACCAUCUUCCACAUGAUCUUUGAUAAAGUGAUACUGCAGUGCGAUGUGCUUUGUCUUUUAGUGUUGCACUGGGUUAUGACAAAUCCUAAUUGCACUUUCUGAGUCGUAAUAUAGUGGGAUUUUCUUCAUGUUCAGCCCAUAGUCUUUAAGGUGACUUUGUAUCCAAACGACUUGAGAUGUGCAUGAUGCUACGACUAUAUAUUCAGCUUCAGUUGUGGAGAGAGAAACACAGGUUUGUUUCUUUGAUUGCCAGCUUACUAAUUUGCCAUCAAGAAAUUGGCAUCCUCCAGUAGUGCUUUUACGAUCCAAUCCACAUCCCCCUAAGUCAGCAUCUGAGAAUGCUUGGACAAAGAAUCCUGAUUUGGCUGGAUACCAUAGACCGAGAGAGGUGGUUCGCUUCAGAUAGUAGAAAUAUUUUUCACUGCCAGCAUGUGAGGUUCACGUGCGUUAGCUUGGAAUCGGGCACAAUAGUAGACUGAGAACAUAAUAUAUGGCCUACUGGCUGUAAGAUACAUCAGUGACCCAAUCAUCUGACGAUAAAGCGUCAUGUCAGCAGCCGGUUUCUCCAAUGAUGGUGUAAGCUUAGUGCCAAACGCCAUAGGAACCUUCACCUUUGAGUCUCCCAACAUCCCAAACUUGGAAAGUAAUGUCUUUGUGUACGCCUCCUGAUUGAUAAAAAUGCCUUCGGGUCCCUGUCUAAUAUUCAAGCCAAGGAAAAAGUUAAUCGGACCCAUUGAGCUCAUCUCAAAUUUAGUUUCCAUCAACUUCCUGAAUUCAACUGUUAGGCUAGGAUUCGUGGAGCCGACAAUGAUAUCAUCAACAUAAAUUUGGACUAUCAUAAGGUGGUUACCCUCUUUCACACGAAAGAAGGUUGGGUCAACCGAAUCUUGUUUAAAUUUGGACAUUUUUAAGAAUCGAGUACGGAUUUCAUACCAUGCUUGGGGAGCCUGCUUCAGGCCAUAUAUAGAAUUGUCCAGAAUGUAGCAGUAAUCUGGAUACUUCUCGUUCACGAAGCCUGGCGGUUACUCUACAUACACCGUUUCUUCAAGUUCUUCAUUAAGAAAGGCACACUUCACAUCCAUUUGAUAGACUUUGAAAUUUUUGUGUGCAGCAUAAGCAAGAAAGAUUUGAACCGAUUCUAAUCUUGCAACUGGAGCGAAGGUCUCUUCAUAAUCUAUGCAUUCUUCUUGACAGUAGCCUUUCACAACCAACCGAGCCUUGUUGUAAAUCACGUUUCCUUCCUUGUCCAUCUUAUUCUUGAAAACCCACUUUAGUCCGACAACCGAAGCAUCCUUUGGAGUUGGAAUUAGUCGCCAUACUUUGUUUCGUUCAAACUUGUUCAGCUCAUCUUGCAUAGUUUGAACCCAAUCGAAAUGAUCAAGAGCUGUAUUCACCAUCUUCGGUUCAACUUUGGAGACGAAUGAGUUGAACACACAUAAUUCUACUUGAGAGAAUAAUGCAGCCUGUUUCGCUUUCAGCUGUGAUCGAUUUAAGACCUUUUCAGAUGAUUCUCCAAUAAUUUGACUUUGAGGAUGAUCUUUGGUCCACUUGAUGAGAGGAGGGUAAUUUGGAUCACAAGAAGGAUCCAGUUCUGCGUUUAUUUCUUCUUCGAGUUCAAAUUGAGUGUCAUCAUCAUUCUCCCCCUCGAAUGAUGAUACGAGUCCGAUGUCUGGUUCAUAACACUCCCCUUCGAUUGGACUUUAGAUUGGACUUGAUGAGGACUUAUUCUCCCCCUGGUGUAACAGCCCGGAUUCCCAGGUAUUAUUUAUUCUUCUUAAUUUUGGUGUUUUGUGAGGAGACUCGGCGAGUUGGAGCUCAGACUCGCCGAGUAGGAUCGCGGUUCUGGACGCGGGUUCGCGCCUGGACUCGGCGAGUCCAAGGAAUGGACUCGGCGAGUCCGCGCUGUUUAAUGAAACCCUAAUUUCCCGGUCCUAAGCCCUAUUUAAAGGACCUUAUGGCCCUUCAUUGCGGCUACCUUGACCUUGAGAGCACCAAAACAGCUGAGAGUUCUUGUGAGUGAGAUAAGAGGCCAUUAUUCACCAAUUUUGUGUGUGUUUGCAAGAAAGGAAGGGGAAAGUCAAGCUAGGAGAGUUGGGGAGCUUGGAUCUACUUCCAUUUCGACAGAGGAAGCUAUUUGAGGUAUCAUUCAGAGCUUAUUCUCGUGUUUUUGUUGAUAUGGUCAAAUCUAGGGUUUCUUCAUGCCUUGUUUGCCUUGUAUUUGGAGUGUGAGAGGUCCCAUGGGGAUAUGGUACCUAGAUCUGGACCUUAGUAGGUCCAGAGAGUCCCAAAUGCCAUGCUUUAUGCCUUUCCUUUUGAGUUGGAGACUUAGGUUACCAUUUUAGAGGUCAUUUCAUCAAAAGAAGCCUUGUAGGCGUUGCAUGGUAGCCAAGAUUGUGACUUUACGUGAUGAAUGUGCUUGGGAGGGCCAGAUCUAUGAGUUGUUGGAGCGGAUCUGACCUCAGAAGCGAGAUUGAGUUGAUGCAUGGCAUGGACUCGCCGAGUCCGAAGAACAGACUCGGCGAGUAGCAUGAAGAUUGUCCUUAACCACUCAGCGAGUGGUCUUGCCGAGUUAAGGGUUGACUCAGUGAGUCAGGGAGAGUUAGAGAGGGUUGACAGGUGGACUGAGUCGAGUUGGAACUCGCCGAGUUGUUCUUGAGACUCGGCGAGUUGAGUCGUGGUGGCCCCGCGAUUCAUGCCAGGUGGAACUCGUCGAGUCAGGGAAGUACUCGACGUGUCAAGAGAGGAUCCUAGGGAGUCAGUGAACACGUAUAGACUCGCCGAGUCGCUCUAGUGCACUCGCCGAGUCCGGUCAAAGUUGACCGUUGACCGUUGACCAGAGUUGACCAGUGUUGACUUGAUAGGGGUAGUCAACCUUAGUUGUGAAAGUGUUAAUUAGAGAUAUAUUGUGUUAUAGGAGGAUUAUAGCUCGGAGGAUCGAGCGCGAGUGAUUUCCGGGAUUUGCGAGUUAUCGAGAUACGCGAGGUGAGUCUUCUCACUAUACUUUACCUUGAGUAGGUAAUCAGAGUUAUGUGACAGAGUAUUUGUAUGCUAUGUGUUGUACUGCAUUAUCUCUAUGUGAUUUAUGUUGUGCAUGUUUACAGAGUUAGAAACGGAAGGUUUCUAGAGUUAGAACCGGAAGGUUCACAGAGUUAGAACCAGAGGGUUCAUAGAGUAGGGUCCACGGAGGCACAGAGUUAUAGCCUCGAGUGGCUAAAUGUGUAUGUGUGGUAUUUUGGGGAACUCACUAAGCUUCGUGCUUACAGUGUUUUGUGUUAUGUGUUUCAGGUUUCUCUCAGGAUCACGAGACGGCACCGGCUCGAUUGUACACACCAGCGAAAGAGUCAUGUUUUGAGGACCCUGGUUUAUUAUGCAAGUGAAAAUGGAGUUAUGUUUUGUAAUUCGAUUAUGAAUGAGAUUUUAAGCAAAUUACUUUAAGGAUUAAACGAUUAUUUUUAAAUGAAAAAUUGUUUUGAAAUUUUCGGCGUUACACCUGGACUAGUGACUGAGAAUUAUCUGAUGAAGAAUCGCUUGUUGCUGGCUUUUCAGUUGCUUUUGGUUGUUCAUUUGCCAUCUUCUUUAUUGCAUCGUCAAUGAUUUGCUUUAGAUUGUUGACCUGAUUAUCUUUCACCUUGGAUUCGGAAUUAAAAGCUCUCUCUGGUUCAUCGAAAAGCAGCAUGUAUUGCUCGAAAAGAUUUGAAAUCGGCACCGUUACUUGACCGGACUUUGGAAAGAUUUCUUGCAUAACACCUUCAGUUGCCUUCAACUUCUUGACAUAGUUAUCGUCGAAAGUGACAUAGUAGGUUUCUUCAAUUUUCUUUGAAUGUUUAUUCAGAACCUUAUAUGCCUUUGAGUUCAAGGAGUAGCCCAAAAAGAUUUCUUCAUGGGCCUUUGCAUCAAACUUGUUUCGGUUCUCCUUUGAGUUGAAGAUGAAGCAUCUUGAACCGAACACGUGAAAAAAAUUCACAUUUGGCUUUUGGUUGUUCAAGAUCUCAUAAGGAGUGAUUGAGAAGCGCAUGUUCAGAUACGAUCUAUUUUGCGUGUAGCAAGCAGCAGCAAUAGCAUUAGCCCAGAAAUACAAAGGUAAGGAAGCGAAGUUCAACAUAGUUCGGGCUGCUUCACAUAGUGAACGAUUUCGCCUUUCAACGAUUCCAUUUUGUUGUGGAGUAUAUGGAGCAGAAAAGUUGUGAGCCGUUCCCUUCUCUGCUAGAAAGGUCUUCAAAAUCCUUGUUCUUGAAUGCCAAUCCAUUGUCGCUUCUCACGUUACGAACCACUUUUCGUAGUUGAACCUCUACUUGUUUUAUAAAGAGUUUGAGCUUGGGAGUGGCCUCUGAUUUUUCUUCAAGAAAAAUACCCAUGUGAAGCGAGAGAAAUCGUCUACUAUAACAAGUAUAUACUUGUUUCCACCAAUGCUUUCGAUUGAAGAAGGACGACACAGAUCGAUGUGUAGUAGCUCUAGUGGUUCUAUCACCUUUGUGUUGAUUAUAGUAGGAUGACUUUGUCGAAAUUGCUUUCCCGUUUCACAAGCUUUACACAGACGUUCUUUGUCAAAUUUUAGAACUAGAAGACCUCGAACGUGAUCUCCAAGCACCAACUUGUUGAUGUCUUUGAAAUUGAGAUGUGAGAGCCUUCGAUGCCAAAACCAGCUUUCGUCUGAGUGUGUCUUCGUUAGCAGGCAAACAGCUGGUCUCCCUCGAAUUGGAUUGAGAUUUAGAGGGUACAUUUCUCCCUUUCGCUUCGAUUUCAGCAGAAUAUUAUUGGACUUCUUUUCAACAAUUUCUGAGCCGUCGUCAUCAAAAGAGACCUUCAAUCUGGUACCAACCACCAGUUGUGAGACACUUAUGAGGUUGUGUUGCAAUCCUUCAAUGUAUGCUACCUUUCUUAUCGAGAAGUCACCAUUUGUAAUCAUACCAUAGCCUUUGAUUGUUCCAAACGAAUUAUUUCCAUAUUUCACCGUUCCACCAUCCUUGAGGGACCAAAAUUCCCUCAGUUCUUCCCUUCUACCUAUCACGUGACGCGAGCAGCCACUAUCAAUGUACCAUUCUUCGUCGAACUGCUCGUCACGAAUAACCUGCAAAAUAUCAAGCAGAUUUAGGAACCCAAAGCUUCUUGGGUCCUUGUGAGCCUUUUACAGGAUAGGGAAUUGUAAGAGAGACAUCAAUCAGAUAAGUUCUUUUUAUUAAUGUAUUUUCAUCUUUCCUCUUGAUAGUAAAAACUUUGAUAUUAUUCGUUUUGGACUCAUUUGAUUUAGACAUAGGAUUUGUGGUUUUGACGUCUGCAUGCUUUCGGGUUUCUAUCGGAUGUCUUUCGUCUUCUGGAAAGAGUUUUCCUUUCCCUUUUGAAUCUUUUGUUGAGUGAGAACGAGAAUAAGAAGAAAAAGAUUUAGAAGCAAAGUUAGACCUUUGGUUAUUGCUCUUCCUUGGUUGAGAAUGGAAACUGCUUUCCCUUCGGUUCUUCUCACAUGAGGACUUGGGACCGAACCCAUCCGUUCGGUUGCCUACAUGUUGAGGACCGAAAACUCCCUUCCGGUUGUCAUUGGUCCGAGGACCAAAAUUCCUCUUUCGGUCUGUUUUACUUUGGGGACCGAACCCAUUUGUUCGGUUGUUUAUCACCUGAUGACCGAAACUUUCCUUUCGGUUGUUUGCAUGGUAGUAGCCGAAAUCCUUGUUUCGGUUGUUCUUGCCAUGUAAGGGAGACUGAUUUUGUGAAGUGGAAUUGGCUCUUGUUUCUCCUUGAGACUUAUUUGUAUUUUCAUACCUAACGUAAUGAGGAUUUUGGGAUCGCCAAAAUUGUUUCCUCUCUAUGAGAUUCUUCUUGUAUCUCAAGUUAUGUUUGUGCUUUCGUUAUGACACUGUUUCGGGGUCUUGUGGAUGUUAGCUUUCUGCUUCGGUCUAUGAGCAUGUGUUUUGCUCUUUAGAGAUGAGGUUUCUCUUUCCUCUUUGACUGGUUCGACUCGAACCUCUUUUGUACCACUAGUGCUUGGCGUAUCAAAAUUGUCAGGCUUGUUGAGUGGUUCUGCCACAUACCUCCCCUUAACUUUCCAAGAUGUUUUCUCCGAUAGGCAAACAGUUUCAUCAGCGUUGUCAAUUGGAGUAGACCAAAAGAAUUCAUCACAGUCAUCAGCAUUAUCUUCGUUAACUAACGCUGUGAGUUCGGCUGUUUGAUGUUCAGUUACUCCAGUAACCUUAUAGACCUGAUUAGGAGUAGUUUUGACUUUUUGGAAUACAACUGCUUUUUCUUUAAGCACUUUGGUCUUUUCUAUGGAUAUACGAGCAAACUCAACUGAAUUUUUAGAGAUGAGAUUCUUGUGGUUUUCAGGUUCGCUCUUGACAAAUUCUGAGCAGUCAACCUCAUCCUCUACAAAGAUUUCACUCAUGUCAUCAUCCUGAUUAAGUUCAGAUGCAUUUUCAACAUCAAUUUUAUUUUCUGAAAUUAACUUGGCAUUCAACGAGUCAAAUUUAUGUAUAGUUUCGGUUCUCAGUUUUAGUUUGUCGUUUUCAUCCAACAGAUUUUUGAGCAUGUCCUUAUGGUCUUUUGACUUUAUGUAGGACUCUAUUUUGUCAAGACCAAUUUUUUAGGAAGGAGAUAUUUCAUCAGAAGAUACAACAUUUUCACAGUUGUAAGCUUCGGCAUCGACUUCAUCCUCCAUUAGCUCAAGGAAGGGUAAAAUCAUGCUAUGUAUCUUCUUUCCUAUUUCACAAUCGAGAUGUAACUGAGUGAUAUUAAAAUAUAAGCUUUUAGCAAUCAAACAAAAAACAUUUUGUUGUUUUAAAAGCUUAACAUUGUCUCGUUGCAAAUAAAUAGAUUCAUCCCUAGACCUAAUUAAUUCAUUAUCCUUUUGCUUAAUCCAUAUUCGCCUUUCCUCUCUUCGACGAUACCCUGCUAAUUUGAUCAGUCAGGUUAGAGUUUGUGUGACAACCCGAAAUUUUCAUUCGUAUAAACUCCGCAAUCAAGCACAUCAAAAAUUUUGCCCAAUUCAUCUCAAAACAUUUUUGGCCGGAUUUAAGCCCUUUCGAGUAUUUUAUUUUAUAUUCGUCAAGCAAACAAAAAUAAGGAAGUAUACUUUAGAGUUUGUCGUAUAUCACAUAAGUUGCGAAACUCCAAAAGUUUGGAGUUUACAGACGUAAACAUGGAGUUUACGGCCGUAAACCCCAAAGAGUAUAAAUAUGACACUUAGUCAUUUUUAGCUCAUUUUCACUUCCAACUUGAAGAACACCAAGAAUUCUCUCUCAACUAUCAUAAAAUCAUUUCGUCAAAUCCGCCAAAAUGUAAGCGUUUUCUUCCUAGAUUCGUUCAUAUAACACUUAAUCUAGUGUUUUUACACAAUUUCAUCCAUGAAAUAUUGUCUUUUCUUAGAUCUUCAAGUGUUCAUCAAGAACACCAAGAACACAUACUAGUGUUCUUGGCCAAAAUCGAUCAUUCAAGCUCCUAGAUCGUAAGUACACUUGCCCUAGCUUCUUGUGUGCUUAAUAUGAACUUGUUUACACUCGAAAAUCAUCAAAAUCCCCAUGUUAAUAUGUGUUUACGAUUUGGGGAGACCUCCCAAAACCGUAAACACCUUCAAAGGGUGUUUAAGUGCCCUUAACACCUUCUAAUGCUUGUAUAAGUGACUAGAACCUUGCAUGCAUAAGAUAGAACCACCAAAACACGAAAUAAAUGGGAAAACAUGAGUUUACGGCCGUAAACCCAUGUGUUUACGACCGUAAACUCCCAAGUAGUGGUCCAAGGACCGUAAACUCCAAAGGGAGGUCAUUUCGAGCCUUAAUCACUUCCUAAGCCCUUGAUUCGAGUCUAGCAUAAUUCCUUGAGUGGUAUAAGACUUUUGAACACCCAAUGGCACCACAUCCAUGAGUUUACGGCCGUAAACUCAUGGGGGAUGUGGUCUAGAAACCGUAAACACCCCUAAGGUCCACCAUUUGAGGAGUAAACUCGAAUGUGAGGCCAUACUCUCUUUAUAUGCAACCCUUGGUACUCUUAGCACUUGUAGCAAAGUGUUUUCAUGCUUUAGGGUGUCCUCGCUUGCAUAAUUAGUUGUUAAAUGACUAAUUAGAUACUUAAAUGUAUCAUUACAUGUUAAAUAGGCUUCGCGUGUGUGUUCAAGUCCUCACUUGACACUUAGCAUCCUAUACCAUCCGUUCAUCCGAAUCACCCACGNCCAACAUAAGGUGAGUUCAUAGCCCUAUAAUUAAUCACUUAAAAUGUUUUAAAUGCUUUUAGGGGGGGGGGGAAUACAAGUUGAACGAGUAAGUUAUUAGAUCAAUCACAUGUGAUUAAUAACUGGCUAGCAAAUCGAUUUCUGCAUGUUAAACUGUUUUUAUCCAGCUAAAGGUUUUCAAAUCUUGUUUUUUGAUAAACUGACAUCAAGUCAUAAAUCCUUAUUUACAGAUUUUCCAAAGGUUUUACCAAAACUUCUUUUUAUACUCUUAUAUUGUCAAUUUCAUGCCUGUACAUGUAUAGUUAUAUAACUAAUGUUUAAAGGACUUAGGAAGGCUAGCUCGCUUUAAUUCCUUUUCCUUGUUUGGAUGUGGCUUUAGGGUAAUGGUUAUCCGUCCGAAAGUCGUUUAAAUAUUAUUUAUAUAUCAUGUAUACAUAUAUAGUCAUAAAAGUUCUAUCAGCCAAUUCAUCACCUUUGGGUAGCAAAGGCAUCUAGAUAACCUCUCAAGUAAACUAUAAUAGGUAUAGUUUAGAAACCAACCAUAACAUUCAUGAAGGAGAACUUAGUUAUAUCUAUAUUCUAAAACAUAUACUUUUUACUAAAAGGAAAGGUUUAUAGAAAUCAAAACACGAGAUACAUCCUCAUGACGCGGAUUCCACCAUUGUCAAGUUGGUAACUAGAGUCUCCUGGAGGGAGAGAGCGGGCAUUGUGUGUAUAGAUCUAUACGGGACAUACACUACCACAUCCUGACUGCUAGCUACAGUCCCGACCGACCAAGCCAAGGGGUGACAAAUGUCACAUUCAUUCCGACGCCAGCAUGUCGUCAAGUAUUCGAUCGUCAAUCAGUAUGGUUACGAGUAUCUUUACAUUUACCUUAUAAUUCAUGGCUUUAAGGUAAGAAGUAUUAUCAUGGUAUUUUCUAUAUAUAUGAAACCAUCAUGAUAUAUUUUCCUAGUUAUAUACUAGGCCACAUUUUAAACUGUUAAACUAAUCUACAUAAGAUUAAAAGCCUAUUUUAGACUCUCCGAGGCGUAUUGUUCACUUAAUACUUCCUGGAGUCUGUAUUUCAUUCUUUUAGACUCUCCGAGGAGUAUUGUUCACUUAAUACUUCAUGGAGUCUGUAUUUCAUUCUUUUAGCCUCUCCGAGGCAUAUUGUUUACUUAAUACUUCCUGGAGUCUAUGUUUUAUUUACUUUUAGCCAGCAGUGUUACUGCUGAGGUAAAAUAUUAUUUUCCCUAUUACUUUUGCUUGUGAUCUUCUCACAUAUUCUUUAAAGUAUAAACUAUAUUAUGAUAAUGAUAAUACUUUUGGGGAAAAUUACUCCUUAAACAUAAAACAAUUGGGUCUUGGUAGAAGACUGCUUUUAGUAGAGAUACUCCUUGGUUUAAACAUAAAACAAUUGGGUGUUGGUAGAAGACUGUUUUUAAUAGAGAUACUCCUUGGUUUAAACAUAAAACAAUUAGGUCUUGGUAGAAGACUACUUUUAUUAGAAAAAAAUAGGACUUUAUGGAAAGGAUUUUAAUAUUCUGUAAACUCAAAUCACCAUCAUUGUGUGAGAUUUUUUUUGAAGUAAAACAUGUAUUUAUACCAAUGUCAUUAAAUACUUAUGAACUCACCAGCAUUUAAAAAUGCUGAUACUCACUUUCAAAAUAACUUGUAUUCUCAGGUCAUCGGUAGACAGGUACACUUCGGGAGCUUUCGCGAAGACAUCCUUGUACCGAUCUGCAUUAUAUGUUAUUCUAUGUAUUUUACUCUUGAUGUUAUUGCUAAAUGUAACCUAUGUAAAAUUAUUACUAUUAAUGUAAUGGUUGUUGUAAUCUGAUUACUAUACUACAUAUGUUGUUGUGAUACUUGACAUGUCGUCAUCCACCCCAUAACGUUUCCGCCGUUCUCGGUUUUGGGGUGUGACAGAUUGUAUCAGAGCAUUGUUUAUAGUGAGCUCAGUAUAUCUAAUCAUAAAAGAUAUGCAACCUAUAAAUACAUUGGGAUAAAACACUCUGACCAAGAAUUAUACUUUAAAAUAUAACCAUAUUUUACAAAAGUAUAAGAACAUCCAGAAUCUAAACACCCAAACAAAGUAUCACAAGAAGAAUAAGAAUAAAAGUCUUUUGAUGUUGACCACUACCGUCAAACCUGGACAGUUAUGUAAUCGUAAGCUGGAAUAAAUAUAACCUGAUCAACUAUAUUUAUUCGAGAUGCGACUAACGUGUGCUUGGGAGUGAUGGUGAUGUUGCAACAAAUCUGAAACUUACCAAAUAGGAAUGCUAGAGCUAAACAUAAAGUUUAAAAUACUAUAGGAGUAUUUUAUGAUACCAAGAGAUUCACAUAAACCAAGAAGCAUUUUCAGAAAAUAAGAAUCAAGCAAGUAAUUAAAAUACUAUAGGAGUAUUUUAGGAACGAUAAAUAACCUUGUGUGAAAAACUAAAGAGAUCCUUAUUGAUAAACCUAUGAUUACAAAGUGUAUACUUCCAAGAUUAUAUAUAGUAAGGAUCUCAUAGGCUAAGAAUGUGUGGUUUCGCNCAAAGUAUCACAAGAAGAAUAAGAAUAAAAGUCUUUUGAUGUUGACCACUACCGUCAAACCUGGACAGUUAUGUAAUCGUAAGCUGGAAUAAAUAUAACCUGAUCAACUAUAUUUAUUCGAGAUGCGACUAACGUGUGCUUGGGAGUGAUGGUGAUGUUGCAACAAAUCUGAAACUUACCAAAUAGGAAUGCUAGAGCUAAACAUAAAGUUUAAAAUACUAUAGGAGUAUUUUAUGAUACCAAGAGAUUCACAUAAACCAAGAAGCAUUUUCAGAAAAUAAGAAUCAAGCAAGUAAUUAAAAUACUAUAGGAGUAUUUUAGGAACGAUAAAUAACCUUGUGUGAAAAACUAAAGAGAUCCUUAUUGAUAAACCUAUGAUUACAAAGUGUAUACUUCCAAGAUUAUAUAUAGUAAGGAUCUCAUAGGCUAAGAAUGUGUGGUUUCGCUCUACUUCCUUUUCCUUGUUUGGAUGUGGAUAUACAGUAGUAUCACAUAUUCGAAGGCCUAUCAGAUCUAAGUUAUAUAUGAUUUGUAUACACUAUUAAAUUGUAGCAGGACUCGAUAUGGAUCACCCAGUGAAACGUUUUAACAAUCUCUUAGGAUUCUUUAGAUAUUUCCAUUCUCGCACGAACCCUUUAGAAAGCCUUAUCCACUCCAGUGAUCGGCAGAAGAGUCGAUUCAGACCCAGAAGAGGUUCAUUGAGAAGACUUCCAAUUAGGAAAUAAAUGAACAAGGACGAGACUAUUGGAAUAACCAAGUGCCUAUACCUUUUAGGGACAUCAGUGGGAAAUUCUCCUGAACUUCCGAGAUUUUGGUCAUCCAUCAUAAAGUGAUGACACUCAGAGUCAGAAUCAGAAGUAAGGCGGAGCAGAAAUUCAAUAUGUCUACAAGAGCAGAGAACUCUAUAUAGGUACCCAAAGAAAACCAAGGCUUGUUCUAGUCAGGAAUAAGUGGUGGACAGAGGGAGCCAAUGCAUGGAACCCGAGGAGUGUCUCUACUUCUUUAACGUCAUGUGAAUAAAUCCAUAAAAUAAUACAAUUUAGUGAGUUAGUGAUUACGCUAAUCACUCUACGUGUUAGGCAAAUCUUCUUUCCCAUCGCGAUUAAUAUGAAUAGAUCGGAUCUCAAAACCUCGAUUGAGAGUGUUUACCCAUAAUUUUUCAUGAGCCUUUUCUUUCGUGAUCUUCGUUCCGAACUUCUCUCAGGUCUUUUGAAAACCGGAGAGUGAAACUCUCCAGUAUAAAGAUAACUUAGUUAGAACGAUCCCCGAUUUAUGGCUUUCCGAUACGCUUACUCCUACCCUGUUACCCAGACUGCAUCAUAGGGAUGUAGGUCGACGCUCAGAUAAUCGUAGAUCAAGGUGCGGGAAAAUUUAUGCAUAUCAUAAUAAAGAAAGAUACCUCCAGGGUUAACCAUCGUCUCUCAUCAGCUUGUGUUCCUUUUCGUGUAGGAAAAACCAUGCCUUCGAAGAAACGUACCCAAACCGUUAGUAAGACAUCGAUCAUUCAAUUCGAUGACACUACGUUCCGAGCUGCAGUUUCAGCAGCCGUAGCAGCUGUCAUGGCUCACCUGAAUGCUAACAACGCCAAUGUUAGCAGGAGCCCUAUUGGGAAUCCCGAUCAAACCAAUGGACAACAGCAACCAGCACCGGUGUGUAAAGUGAUGGGUUUUAGUCAUAAGAACAUCCUAUGUGCUCAUGCAAACCCUAAUGCUCGGAUCUAGGUUUCUCUAUUGUACAUGCAAUUCAUCCAAGACUAUAAACCCUAAAUCUAGCAUGCAAUUAAUCAUAUUAACGUAAGAAGUAGGUUUAGAUCUAACCUUGAUUGGUAUGUAGAAAUAACAAUAUCAAAUCCUCCUUGUAAUGACUUUAGAAAGCUUAGAGUCACAAAUGUCACUCCUCUAAUGGCUCACAAACACCAAGAGCAAGAGGAUGAAGAAUAAGGAGAGAGAAGGCUGCCCAAAACGUGUGGAAACCCUAGAGAACAAGUUCAACCCGUUUUUGGGGCUUAAGGGUCCUUUAAAUAGUGAGGCUAUUAGGGUUAUCUAAUAAGGAAACCCUAAUUUGGAUGCUUAGGCCCUAAGCAACCCAUGGAAUCCUUCCUUAGAGGCCUUGGACGAUUUCUAAUGUGUUUCCCCAUAGAAUUCGUCCACUCCAUCCUCUAUGGAGUCCAUUAGCCUAAUAUUCAACUAUUACACAAUUGGCAGUUCUAGUCCCUUAAGUUUAAUUAAUGUCUUUUAGUCAAAAACUUAAUUCUUAUUAAUUCUUGACUAAUAUUAAUUAAACAAUAUGAUUUCUCCUUUAAUAUAUUAUUCUCAUAAUAUAUUAAUAAAUCAUAAUCAAUCCUUUCUCUCCAUAAUUCAUCCUAUCAAGUUGCUUUGGUGAAGGCAACCCAAAAGGACCAUGCACCAUCGGGUCAAGUACAUACCAAAAUAGUUAUGGACUUAGACACUAAUCCAACAGUCUCCCACUUGGAUAAGUCUAAUAACUAUUCUACGUAUGACUUCAGAUCCUGCUCUGCAAUCGUAGCUUUCCAAAGCCGCUGUCAACUCUGAUCUUACCAGAUACGCGUGUCCUUUAGAUAAGGGAUCAUAUAUUCCUCCAUUCUAGAAAUCGGAUAGACGUGAGACAUGAACUUAAUCAUUCCCUCUAUACUAUUUCCCUACUUCCGAUUUAUGAUGACUGACAACAGACUACAAUUGAUCCAUCAAUUUAAUCCUGGCUUGGCCAAGCGCUUAGGUGUCAUCACUAAAUCAUCGAGGGGCCCAAAGAUAUCGCUUUUAUCCAAAUGUGGAUAAAAGGAACGGAUAAACUUUGAUNNNNNNNNNNNNNNNNNNNNNNNNNNNNNNNNNNNNNNNNNNNNNNNNNNNNNNNNNNNNNNNNNNNNNNNNNNNNNNNNNNNNNNNNNNNNNNNNNNNNNNNNNNNNNNNNNNNNNNNNNNNNNNNNNNNNNNNNNNNNNNNNNNNNNNNNNNNNNNNNNNNNNNNNNNNNNNNNNNNNNNNNNNNNNNNNNNNNNNNNNNNNNNNNNNNNNNNNNNNNNNNNNNNNNNNNNNNNNNNNNNNNNNNNNNNNNNNNNNNNNNNNNNNNNNNNNNNNNNNNNNNNNNNNNNNNNNNNNNNNNNNNNNNNNNNNNNNNNNNNNNNNNNNNNNNNNNNNNNNNNNNNNNNNNNNNNNNNNNNNNNNNNNNNNNNNNNNNNNNNNNNNNNNNNNNNNNNNNNNNNNNNNNNNNNNNNNNNNNNNNNNNNNNNNNNUCCCAUAUGACCCCAAACUCUGGGUAUAAAAAAACAUUUUAUUUAAUCACCAUAUUGAUUACUCAUUAUUUGUUUUUUCGGGUAAUCAACUUCUUACUUGAAUUAUUACUACACUUGUCCCAUGCUCUCAGCAUGCACAGAAUGUUUACCUACGGUUCUUACAUUGUGAAAUAGAUCAAAUGAACACAUUUCCUAUCAUAUUCAUUUCACAACUCCUAAUCCUUUUUCACAAGUGAAAGAAUAUCAAAUUCUUGCCACUUAUAGUAUAUGUUAGAUUCUAACAUUUUAUGCAAUGAUCCUUUUGUAAUGUCACUGCACUAAGGUCACAAUGACUAUUGCCAAUGAAUUACAAAGCUCUCUAUCGGAAAUUGUUACAAGACAAUUCCAUAGAUGUGAUGUCUCUCACUCAAAGUACAUUCCUUUGAACAUCCUUUUGCAUAAAAGUUUCUAAUCUAGACAUAGAUUCUUAAUAUCCAACUCCCAAUAUGGAAACCUUUCCAUACUUACCAUAUCACAACUCAUUCUUAAUAGAAUCUUAUCUAUUCAUAAUAAUGUCGAUAUGCUCCAUCCAAUAUCAUACUUCCAACUACUCACAAGCGACCAAUCCUUAGCGAGCUUUGGAUCGUCCUUUGAUAGUUGUUUAAUUAUCUUAGUCAAAACCGAUUCUUGUCCUUUUUCCCUCUAAAUGCGCUAGACAUUUGGAAAAUUUUAGAAUGGUCAAAUAUUAUAGCAUUUGCAAUCGAUCCUAUACCCGAAGCGUAUGGGACACGAUGCAUAAUGUCUUACAUAAAGAUAUGAUACUUUAUCAAUCUUCUGCCAUAAUAUUUUAUGUGUCACGUUCUCACAAUUUGAACUAUGAAGAGGGAUGCCAUAAUCAUAAUCGAAAUUUAAGAACACACUAUGUAUCCUUGGCCUAAAUUUAUUAAAAUUUCUCAAUCUAAGCUUUAGAUUUUGAAACGAAGUACAAUAUUCUCUCCCUUAAUUAUAGCAAAACAACUAUUCAACCCUUACGACUUUGCAAAGUAUAACUCUUGUUUUCUAUAAUUAAUAUUGCUAACUUGCAAUACUUGCCUUAAUAAUCAUACAAGCAUAACAUUUAUGCUCCCACUAUCAUGAUGAUUAUUAUAAACAUAACACUUAUGCUCCCACUAGCUUUGACAUGUAUUCAGAAACCAGCUUAACUUCCAGAAAAACAAUACUUAUUGAAUUUCUUAAGUUCAUGUUUCUAAUACCUAAUGCUUUGAUAAUCCUUUAUCUAAGCUUAUACACCUUUCCCUUAGAUAGCUCAUAUGUGUGUCUAAACAAUUCAGACUAAUUGCCAAAUCUCACAAUUCGAAUCAUGGAAAGGGAUACCGUAACCAUAAUCGAAUUCGAGAAUACAAUUUUACAAUCACUAUCUUCUUAAAAUCUCUCUUAGUGAAAGCAUUUCCUCACAAUCAUUUUCAUGAAGGAGGGAAUCUUAUGACACUUAGAUUUUAAUGGUGUAUGUGUUCCUAUCCAUGUGAAUUUGUCAAAACCAAAGUUUACGACAAAUUCAAACUCAUAUGGACCGAACUUUCUUAAUCUUGAUUUCUUGCCUUAUGGUAACACAGCUGCCCACCAUGUCUUCCAAGUAGUUAAGCAGCUCACCCUUUCCUAUCAAUGUACUUUUCAUUGAUCAAGGUGCUUGCCUUUUAUGCGUUCAAAUGAGAACUCAUAGAACUCACAUGCAUAAUUAACUCAAUUGGAAUGGCACAGAAACAAAAUAAUGUCAACACGAUAGGUUGUAAACCUCAACUCGUGUGCUAGUGAUGAUCGAUAAGGUUUAUUUUAAUUUGUUCUUGAAACCUUUCAAGACCAUUAAGACUCCCACUGACUCCUUGACAUAUAAGAUUCUCUUGUCAAUAAACAUUUCUUGACAAACAAAUAUUCAAGAGUUAGUGUAGUUUUUAUCAAAACACUUCAUAAAUUGGUCCUAGUUGGUCUUUGUCUUAUCCAAGACAUCACAACUUUCCACAUUUGAUGAAUGUUAUAAACCUUCUUAAUACUUAUCACUCAAUUUCACAAUCUUAACUCUAAGACUUGUUUUGGAACGAAGUAUGAUUGACUUCUUGAUUUAACCAUUUCUUCAAUUCUUGAUUCCUCUUCUUAGACAUACAAUUGUACUAAGACUCACUUAGAGGAUCAAUUGAGAUAUGGUUCUUAAUCAUUAAGACCUAUCAUAAAACAUAAUAAAAGGUACUCUCCCUUCUUCUUAGAAUAGAGAAACUUUUAUCUUUCUGCCUACUUGAUUCUUCUUAUUCGUUCUGCUAUUGAUUUAAACUCUUUCAAUCAAUUCAGAAUUACACUUAAUCUUAUAAGUAUAAUCAUAUUUACUAAACCUUUAGUAAAUCAUGACGAAUAUCUUUGAUACUUUUGUGGUGGACUUGAUCAACACACAACCUUGUGUACUUGAUCUCCCAGUCCUUCACUUGAAUUAGUCUAAUUUCCAAAUAUGAAAUUUAUCAUUCAUCAUGCAACCAAGUUGUCUCUAUCCAAUAGAAACUUGGGCGAUGAGAAACUUUUCCUAUUUGGUAAAUUCUUCCAAAAAUAACCUAAUUAAGAAUCAAAUCCAUUAUUGCUAAUAAUAGAAACUUACAAACAUCAUUUUUUUCAUACACGCCGUUGCAAGGAUAAAUAAAUAAUAUAAAAUCAAAAUUUUAUUUUAUUGCGGAAAAUUUUGUCCUUACACUGCAAUUCAAUUGAAAAACUAUGUUAAUACAUAUUUCUUAGCAAUCUUAUUCUAACUCCAAGUAGUAGCUCAAGAUUCUAACCUUCAAGUAAUGCGAUCGAAAUCCAUUUCUUCACGAUUAGAUUCCGCUCACUUCUUCCCAUAAGCUUCCUUUCUUUUCUUUGAUCCUACGAAACAUCGAAAUGCAAUCUUAUCACAUCAUGUAUUAAGAAUCUAGAAUAUGAAUUUAAAAGAGUUAGUUAAUGGAUUUUACCUAAAGUAGAGUCAUACGUUUUGACUCUCCCAUCUCUUAGAUCUCUUAGGUAAAUAGGGUAGCUUCGUUUCCAAUGCCCCUUCUCUUGGCAAUAAAAGCAAAUUGACUCUUUUGGAACAGCACAUGGAACUACUUCUGACUUUGCCUUUCUCUUAUGAUCAAACUUUUCGAUCAUGGCAUGCCUUUCAUUGCCAUUGCCUAUAUCCAUAGAGGUCUGGAAGGCAGAUCCACCAAUCAACUUUGCUUUUCCAGUGCACCAAAUCAUUGCUGAUUCAGCAGCAAUAAGCAUAUAGGUGAGAUCAAUGAGGGUUAUGUCGUGGUUCAUCAUAUAGUACUCUCUUACGAACUAACUAUAUGAGUCAAGAAGUGACUGAAGAACCCAGUUAACAGCCAACACCUCACAGACAACAGAUCCCAACAUUCUUAAUCUAUCAAUGUGUGACUUCNAUAAGCAUAUAUGUGAGAUCUAUAAGGGUCACGUUGUGGUUCAUCAUAUAGUACUCUCUUACGAACUAACUAUAUGAGUCAAGAAGUGACUGAAGAACCCAGUUAACAGCCAACACCUCACAGACAACAGAUCCCAACAUUCUUAAUCUAUCAAUGUGUGACUUCAUUUCUAGGAUGUGUGCACACACUGACUUUCCUUCUUUAUGUUUACUUGCCAAAAGGGGUUGAGUGAGUUUGAACUUUUCAAGCCUUCGAACUUGUGGGUUAGGGAGAAUAAUUGGAGGAGGUGGAGGAAGAGAAGCAUGAUCUCGUGUUCCUCGAUCGAAUCGUGGAAUAUCAUCUUCAUGUGAAAAGCUUGUUCCACAGGAUUUGAGAAGACCAUAGUUGUCAUACUUUAACAUCUACAAAACGGGAGAAAAAUUAAAUUCAAGUUAGUUGAUCGAUUGAGUCCUUAGUAAAUCACCCAAAUGAUAUACUAAGGCUAGGACCCAACACAACGUUCUACAACUUAGGAGAGGGAUACCGUAAUCCAAAUUGCAGAACAUUUAAAGGUAAGUGAAUGACGAUUCACUAANNNNNNNNNNNNNNNNNNNNNNNNNNNNNNNNNNNNNNNNNNNNNNNNNNNNNNNNNNNNNNNNNNNNNNNNNNNNNNNNNNNNNNNNNNNNNNNNNNNNUUUUCAAUACAUUUAAGACUUAAUCUAUUUUUCAUUUUUCAUGGUUAAAAAUUAGUGAAUCGUCAUUCACUUACCUUCAAAUGUUCUGCAAUUUGGGUUACGACAUCCCUCUCCCGAGUUGUGGAAUAUUGUGUUGGGUCCUAGCCUUAAUAUCUCAUUUGGGUGAUUUAUUAAGGACUCAAUCAAUCAACUAACUUGAAUUUGUUUUCUCCCGUUUUGUAGAUGUCAAAGUACGACAACUAUGGUCUUCCCAAAUCCCGUGGAACAAGCAUUCCACAUGAAGAUGAUAUUCCACGAUUCAAUCGAGGAACAAGAAAUCAUGCUUCACUUCCUUCACCUCCUCCCGUUAAUAUCCCAAACCCACAAGAUCGAAGAAUUGAAAGGUUCAAUGUCACUAAAUCCCUAUUGGAAAUGAAACAUGAAGAUGGUAAAGUCGUGUGUACCCAUCACUCAUCGAUAGGUUGAUAAUGUUGGGUGCGUCAUUCCCGGAUAAGUUGGCUGUGAACUGGGUUCUGCAGUCACUUCCUGAAUCAUAUGAUGAGUUCAAAAGAAAGUAUUAUAUUAUGGAUCAUGACGAAAACCUCAUUGACCUAACUUACAUGCUCAUUGCUGCUGAAUCAGAAAUGAUUUGGCAAAGCAAUGGAGCAUAUUUGUUGGGAAAGUCAACCAACCAUGCUUCCGAGGACGUUCUAGGAGAAUCGACAUGCGUUUGCUGCCAAGAGAAAGGGCGUUGGAUACGAGUCUGCCCUAAGAGCCUGAAGAAUCCAGAAGAUGGGAGAGUCAAAGAGUAUGGUUGUGCUUCAAGUAAAACCCACUAUCUAACUCCAUUAAGUUCCUAUUUGUUGAUUUUUAAUACAUGAUGUGAUAAGAUUGCAUUUGAAUGUUUUGCAUGAUCAGUGAAAAGAGAGGAAGCUUGAUGAAAGUGCAAUAUGAAUCUAAUCACGAAGAAAUGGAUCUCGAUCGCAUGGAUUUGAAGAUUAGAUUUUGAGCUUAGAAAGUUACGAUAGAAUUGUUAGGAAUAUUUGACUACAUAGUUUUUUAGUUGAUUUUGCAUUGUAAGGACAAAUGUUUUCCGAUGCUUUUAUGAAUAAAAUAAAUUUUGGUUUGACUCAUUUAUUUAUUUAUUUCCUUGCAAUAAAAUCGUUAUGAAAAAUUGAUACUUGCGUAUUUCUACAACAAAUGGAUGUGAUUCUUAAUUAUGUUAUUUGUGGAAAGGUCAAGAAUUUACCAAAUAGGGAAAGUUUCUCAUCGCCCAAGUUUCAGUUGGACAUAAACUUGGAAUCAUGCAACAAGUAUUGUAUGAUGAACAAAAAACUUUCACAUUUUGGAAAAUUAGACUAAUUCAUUGACAAAGUAUCAAGUGAAGGACUAGGAGAUCAAGUACACAAGGUUGUGUGUUGAUCAAGUCCACCACAAGAGUAACAAAGAUAUUCGUCAUGAUUUACUAAGGUUAAGUAAAUAUGAUUACACUUAUGAGAUUAAGUGUAAUUCUUAUUUGAUUGAAAAGAGUUUAAAUCAAUAGCAGAACGAAUAAGAAGAAUCUAGUAGGCAGAAAGAUAAAAGUUUCUCUAUUCUAAGAAGAAGUGAGAGUACCUUUUAUUAUGUUUUAUGAUAGGUCUUAAUGAUUAAGAACCAUAUCUCAAUUGAUCCUCUAAGUGAGUCUUAGUGCAAUCGUAUGUCUAAGAAGAGGAAUCGAGAAUUAAAGAAAUGGUUAAAUCAAGAAGCCAAUCAUUAUUCGUUCCAAAACAAGUCUUAAAGUUAAGAUUGUGACAUUGAGUGACAAGUCUUAAGAAGGUUUAUAACAUUCAUCAAGUGUAGAAUUUGGAAAAAGGAUUUUCNGUCUUAAUGAUUAAGAACCAUAUCUCAAUCGAUCCUCUAAGUGAGUCUUAGUACAAUUGUAUGUCUAAGAAGAGGAAUCAAGAAUUGAAGAAAUGGUUAAAUCAAGAAGUCAAUCAUACUUCGUUCCAAAACAAGUCUUAGAGUUAAGAUUGUGACAAUGAGUGACAAGUAUUAAGAAGGUUUAUAACAUUCAUCAAAUGAGGAAAGUUGUGAUGUCUUGGAUAAGACAAAGACCAACUAGGCAAAAAAAUGAUUUUUAAGGCUUGAACAAAUAACCAAGGCAUCAAUACAAUAGAAACCAAUCUAGGCUCUAAUACCACUGAUGGGUUUUAGCCAUAAGAACAUCCUAAGUGCUCAUGCAAACCCUAAUGCUCGGAUCUAGGUUUCUCUAUUUUACAUGCAAUUCAUCCAAGACUUUAAACCCUAAAUCUAGCAUGCAAUUAAUCAUAUUAACAUAAGAAAUAGGUUUAGAUCUUACCUUGAUUGUUUUGUAGCAAUAACAAUCUCAAAUCCUCCUUCUAAUGACUUUAGAAAGCUUAGAGUCACGAAUGUCACUCCUCUAAUGGCUCACAAACACCAAGAGCAAGAGGAUGAAGAAUAAGGAGAGAGAAGGUUGCCCAAAACAUGUGGAAACCCUAGAGAACAAGUUUACCCCGUUUUUGGGGCUUAAGGGUCCUUUAAAUAGUGAGGCUAUUAGGGUUAUCUAACAAGGAAACCCUAAUUUGGAUGCUUACGCCCUAAGCAACCCAUGGACUCCUUCCUUAGAGGCCUUGGACGAUUUCUAAUGGGUUUCCCCAUAGAAUUCGUCCACUCCAUCCUCUAUGGAGUCCAUUAGCCUAAUAUUCAACUAUUACACAAUUGACAGUUCUAGUCCCUUAAGUUUAAAUAAUGUCUUUUAGUCACAACUUAAUUCUUAUUAAUUCUUGACUAAUAUUAAUUAAACAAUAUGAUUUCUCCUUUAAUAUAUUAUUCUCAUAAUAUAUUAAUAAAUCAUAAUUAAUCCUUUCUCUCCAUAAUUCAUCCUAUCAAGUUGCUUUGGUGAAGGCAACCCAAGAGGACCAUGCACCAUCGGGUCAAGUACAUACCAAAAUAGUUAUGGACUUAGACACUAAUCCAACAUAAAUCUACCCAAGAAACCCGACCAAAUACACUAAAAAAAUUAAGGACGAGGAGGGAAGUACCUCGACUCAAAUACCUUCCGAAGGGAAAUUAGCUGAGGUAGUCAAUACUUCGGUUAACCUUUCCGUCCUGACUCCAAGAAUACCAUACCUAGGAAACCUCCCCCGUUGCAGCAAGUGUAGCUUCCAUCAUCAUGGUAUCUGUCGAGAACUCUUUUGUGUUAGGUGCAACAUGAAGGGGCAUACUGCUCGCUUCUGUAAAACCCCGGUUGAGUUCAUUACAUCAACCACCAAUGUGGAGACCAAUCCAGUAUGCCAUCUAUGUGGAAAAAUUGGGCACUUCAAAAGGGACUGCCCAACUGAAGGAAAUGAAAAAGGCACAGGAGGAGUCUAAUCCUAAUGCCUAGGGGAAAUUUUAAGGAACCCGGUAGAAUUUUGGUACGUCUCUCAAUCCUAAGUAGCUAACCGAGAACUUUAAAAUAAUCCAUUCUAAAUUGUAAUUACUCCCUCGUUAAGGCGAAAGUCGCAGCACGAUUGAAAAACUCAAAAACCCAUCAGGUAAAGCUAAGAUGGCUUCAUAUAUAUACGUUAAGGCCAUUUAUAAUUAAGAUUGAUAGACCUCGAGUGAGUGAUGCUGCCUCAUCUCUUGUUCCUCGUUGGGUUGUAGAUUUAGGGCGGAGUCGCUCAGUCAACAGUCCUUUUUAAUCUUAAUUAUACAUGACUAGUGUAUACUAGGCGAUUAUAGAGAGGCCUCGUGAGAAAUCCAUUCAUGAAAAGUACAUUAUUCGGAAACAUCAGGACCCCUGGAGUUUCGCGUCAAUUCUAUCGGUCCAAGUAUCCGCGAUAGUGAUACCAUGGAUGAAACCCGAGACGCUAAGAACUUGUGUGCCCUGUUCAGCACGUGGUCCUAUCAACCUUCAUGCCAUAUCAUGUCGAUGUUUGUUAAAUUCGACACUACCGUCAAUCAUUGUUCCACUUGGUGCGACCAUGUGAAAAUUCCCUAGUGUUGUGUAAAGAGAACUUUCACCAUAGCCUAUGCGUCAAAUAAAGGUUCUUCCGAACCAAAUAAAAAAACCUAAUGCGAACCGUCAAUCGUCUCCCUUAUCCAACCUUCAGAAGUACACAGGGGAUGGGUACCGCGCGCUGUUAACCAACUCCUCUUUAAACAUUAAAACCAGAAGCGGAAGACACUGCAGAUAUUCCGGAAGACAUUAGUCGUCUGAGGCCUACUCAAUACAUCCCCCAGAAAGGCUAUCCGUACCGCACAAUCAGGUUCGUGAAUCAAAAGAGAUAACUCAUAGGAUUAACUUACUACUACUGAGUAUAUGCAUUAGAGUGGUAUAUAAUUUAGAUCAAUAAGAUUUAAGAUGUGUACUUCCUCCCUACUCCCUGUUCCUCGUUUGGUUGUGGGUCUGGAGUGGGGCCACACAUCUAAACAUCCCAUCAAAUCUCAAUUAUAUACAACUUUCAUACACCGAGUAUUAGUGAUUAAGCCGAGUAUGAGGUUGACCACGAACCUUAUAAUAAGACCCUUCAUCCUAUCCCAUAGAAAAGGAGCUGGAGUCAAGAGAACCACUGCGGUUUGAGCUACUAAAAUGACCACAAAUGGGAAAUUUGUUGUCCUCUCGGUCAGGCCAACAUAGUAGCUAACACCCUCAGUUAGGAAAGUAACUCAAGUCAUAAGAGUCAAGGAUAUUGACUACGACCAUCCAUUCAUGCUUAAUCCCACAAACUAAGCAUCCCAGCAGGAGACCCAGAGACCUGAAAGAUACGACAGGUUAAACUCUGGGGAGAAUGGAUGAAAAAUUAGAGGUUCUGUGUAGCAGGAUCCAUUCCUAUCCAGAUUAAAAUUAGAUAGAGAAAACUCGGUAACACUGGAAGAGUAGUUACAAGGGAUACUCGCACUACUUAGGCACUUCGUCCAUCCCGUUACAGACGAGUAGUGCCUAGGACACACCGCUCCCUCAUGCGAGAAAAGUCACCAUCGCCCUAUAAAUGAUUGACCACAUUCAUCGAAGUGAGUACUAGAAUGCUAAGAACCACAUGACCACCUCCGCAACCAAGAAUACUUAAAUAAAGUAAAAUGGUAUGUUGCGUUAAUCCUUAUAACCCAAAUCAUAAAGAUAUUAUAGAUUCGACACUAGUCUAGGUGUUAGUCGGUGAGUUAUACAAGAACACGUGCUCCUACAUCUAGAGGGAGCAGACGCGAUGGAAAAUGAAGCAAUUCAUAGAGAUUUGUUAGACUACUAGGUGUCCAAGGAAUACUCUCUCAAAAGAGAUAGUAGAACCACCUCCUGAAAUAGUCAAGUGCUUCGGAAAAUCUCUAAGGGAGAAGUUAGCCCUGAUCCGAGACUGCUAUCCAUGAAACAGCGAAGCAAUUAAGAGCAUGAUUCUUUCCGGUUAGGGAUCAUACUCUGAAAGCAUCUAUUAGACGAUGAUGAAAAUUUAAAACUUUCUAAGCAUCGUCUGGUAAAAUCCCCUAUCACACCGACUUUGAGAGUUUCCGUUAGAGACACCUCAAGAGUUAGAAGUGCAGAUCCAUUUUGCACUAGGUCGAGAUAGAUGUCACAUAACCAAUAGAGGCCGGUAUAUAGCCAAUACCUCCCAUGAUCCAGAAAACCUCCGAAAGCCAAUCAUUAGGAAGUACGAAUCCGAAGACGACCUGAGCCUUUUAAGAACCAACUCGGAGAACCACACUCCAGUAAAAGAGAACUUUUUGAGCUUCAGAAUGGCAAUCACACCAAGUGAUGAUCUAACCAUGGAAGUACAUUAUGUUCUAUGUACUGAAAAGCUCUAUCUUCCCAAGAUUUUAGGACCAUCCUAGAUUAUUGAUAAGAAUUGGUCCAACCCCCAUCGGACUUCAACUACUUUUGGAAUUCCAUGAAUUCCACCCAAACCUAUCCAUGUCUUAGACUUGAAAAAGUGCUUGUCCAACGAGACUCUCAAAAUCCCACUCGUCAAGAUCGAAAUCAAUGAGAGCCUAACAUCGUAGAAGAACCUUUAGGGAUCGUGAACCGAGAGGUCAAGUGACCGAAACAAAUCUGCAUCCCGUUAGUAAAGGUUCGCUGGAACGCUAAGCGAAGACCUAAAUUCAUCUAGGAGAGAGAAGACAUGUUGAUUCUAAAGCAUCCUUAUCUUUUGAGUUACUCAAUUGCAUCUGUGUGUGCUUGAACUCUAAUUUCAGGACAAAAUUCCCUCUAACGGGGGGAUGAUGUGACAACCCGAAAUUUUCAUUUGUAUAAACUCCGCAAUCAAGCACAUCAAAAAAUUUGCCAAAUUCAUCUCAAAACAUUUUUGGCCGGAUUUAAGCCUGUUCGAGUAUUUUAUUUUAUAUUUGUCAAGCAAACAAAAAUAAGGAAGUAUACUUUAGAGUUUGCCAUAAAUCACGUAAGUCACAAAACUCCAAAAGUUUGGAGUUUACGGACGUAAACAUGGAGUUUACAGCCGUAAACCCCGAAGAGUAUAAAUAUGACACUUAGUCAUUUUUAGCUCAUUUUUCACUUCCAACUUCAAGAACACAAAGAAUUCUCUCUCAACUAUCAUAAAAUCAUUCUGUCAAAUCUGCCAAAUGUAAGCGUUUUCUUCCUAGAUUUGUUCAUAUAACACUUAAUCUAGUGUUUUUACACGAUUUCAUCCAUGAAAUCUUGUCUUUUCUUAGAUCUUCAAGUGUUCAUCAAGAACAUCAAGAACACCAAUAACACACACUAGUGUUCUUGGCCAAAAUCGACCAUUCAAGCUCCUAGAUCGUAAGUACACUUGCCCUAGCUUCUUGUGUGCUUAAUAUGAACUUGUUUACACUCGAAAAUCAUCAAAAUCCCCAUGUUCAUAUGUGUUUACGGUUGGGGAGACCUCCUAAAACCGUAAACACCUUCAAAGGGUGUUUAAGUGCCCUUAACACCUUCCAAUGCUUGUAUAAGUGACUAGAACCUUGCAUGCAUAAGAUAGAACCACCAAAAUACGAAAUAAAUGGGCAAACAUGAGUUUACGACCGUAAACCCAUGUGUUUACGACCAUAAACUCCCAAGGAGUGGUCCAAGGACCGUAAACUCUAAAGGGAGGUCAUUUCGAGCCCCAAUCACUUCCUAUGCCCUUGAUUCGAGUCUAGCAUAAUUCCUUGAGUGGUAUAAGACUUUUGAACACCCAAUGGCACCAUUUCCAUGAGUUUAUUGCCAUAAACUCAUGGGGGAAGUGGUCUAGAAACCAUAAACACCCCUAAGGGCCACCAUUUGAGGAGUAAACUCCAAUGUGAGGCCAUACUCUCUUUAUAUGCAACCUUUGGUACUCCUAGCACUUGUAGCAAAGUGUUUUCAUGCUUUAGGGUGUCCUUACUUGCAUAAUUAGUUGUUAAAUGACUAAUUAGAUACUUAAAUGUAUCAUUACAUGUUAAAUAGGAUUCGUGUGUGUGUUCAAGUCCUCACUUGACACUUAGCAUCCUAUACCAUCCGUUCAUCCGAAUCACCCACGUCAGGUGAGUUCAUACCCCUUAAUCAACCUUUUAAAUGCUUUUAUGGGGGGAAUACAAGUUGAACUAGUAAGUUAUUAGAUCAAUCAUAUGUGAUUAAUAACUGGCUAGCAAAUAGAUUUCUGCGUGUUAAACUGUUUUUAUCCAGCUAAAGGUUUUCAAAUCUUAUUUUUUAUAAACUGAAAUCAAGUCAUGAAUCCUUAUUUAUAGAUUUUCCAAAGGUUUUACCAAAACUUCUUUUUAUACUCUUAUAUUGUAACGACUCAAGUUUCACGCCCAAAAAUUUUCAUUUAAAAUAAGUGGUUUAUAAAACAUUUGUACUAAAACAUCAUCCGAUCAUAUCAUUUCAUAAAACAUAUCUCGUGUCUAAAAACCCAAAAACAUGAAAAUAAUAAUAAUGUCAGAGUACAAUCCCAGAACAUCUCAUAAUGUGGAAGUCCAAUGUGUGUGUGUAAGAUGUGCCGCUACCGUGCCAGCUCCUUCCCCUUCGCUGAAGAGGUAACUGAAACCAAAACUGAAAACUGUAAGCACGAAGCUUAGUGAGUUCCCCCAUCGUACCACAUGCCAUACAAUAAUAUCACAUACAUACUGCCAUACAUUUCUGGGGUGCCUGACCUACCCAAUACGGCCAUUCUGGGGUGCCGACCUACUCGUACGGCCAUUCUGGGGUGCCGACCUACCCAUGUCAAGCCAUUCUGGGGUCCUGACUACCCAUCGGUCCUAACAUCCGAACCUCGGGGACUAUUUCACCGCACCCGACUACUACUAUCACAUAUAACAUAGCAUAAACAUAAUAUCAUACAUAUCUGGGGUGCCUGAGCUGCCCUUCGGUCAUGACAACCGAACUCUACUACUAUCACAUACAACCUAUCACAAGGACUAUCAUUUAUCAUACGUCUCCUACUGGUGGGCCGGCAUUGUGGCCAUAGACCCACCGUUACUGGAAGGUAACUCACCUCGAAAAGUAGCUGCUGAAAGUCUGCUUGCUAGGCGCCUGACUGCUGAAUCGGUAAUCCUCCGGCUAUAAAUCAUAAACAUAGAUUAGCCAUUCAUACACACCCUUAGGUCAGAUGACUGACCCACCCCUGGUCCAAGGUCAACUCCUUGGUCAAAGUCAACUUCCAGUUGACUGGACUCGCCGAGUCCUUCUCCCACUAACCCGGUCUUACUCUACAAGUACCUCCUCCCACUCACUGAGUUACCCUUAACUCACUACUUGGGACGAUAGAACCGGCUCGCGAUCCGAGUCGCCGAGUCCAAGAACCACUCAUCGAGUCCCCACGAGCAGAUCUCCUGCUCGCUUCCAAAUCCUCACCAGAGCAUCCUUUUUGAGGGUUUGGGUUUCUGGGACUCUUGCUACACGCUAAAUUGCUAAUUCCACGUGCAGAUACGAAGGGUUGGACCCCCAACACUUAAACCCCUCUCACUCAGUAACAGUUCAUCUGACUCGCCGAGUUUGAAGAACAACUCGUCGAGUACCAGGCAAUCUUCAUAGGACUCGCCGAGUUGUUCAUCCAACUCGCCAACUCUAUGGCCAUCUUCAAAGAACUCUUCGAGUUCCACUUUAGGACUCGCCGAGUCGCUUGACCCAUUUCCCAUAAAGACCAAAUCUGAGACAUGCAACGCUUCAAAACCAUAGAUCUAUGUUCCUAGGGCAUGCUUAUCACGUAAAGUUCCACACUUUACGUGCAUGCAUGUCCCUACAAGCUCCAAAAGGCAAUUCCAAUCUCUUUAUGAGGUCACACACUCAAUGGGGACCUCAAUCACUUCAACCACAUAAACUUUAUACUUCUAAUACGUCCAUAAGGUCUAGAUCCGAAGUCCUUUCGGAUCAUUAAGCACAAACACAUGGAGUUUGGUGUUUUAGGGCUUGAAAACCACCAAUUAGGGACAAAAAGGGAAUCUAAUGAACUAGUGAUCAAGGUAGGGACUUUUCUACCUGAAUGGAAGCCUCUUGCAGGGUAGAUGUCGGAUCUACUUCUCCUCCUUGCACUCUUCCACAUCCUUCUUCUUCUCUUAAGCUUCAAACUUCCUUCACAAGGCCAAAAUCACUCACAAGGACACAAAGGGGCUAGGGUUUUGCUCUACAGCUCUUCUGGAAGUGUUAGGGACAAAGGAGGCCAAGUUAGAGUGCUUAAAUAGGGUGCAAACACCCGGCUUAGGGUUUUUGCCGAAACAGGGCCUACUCGCCGAGUCCGGGAACUGACUCGCCGAGUCCGAGGUUCAGACCCCGCGUCUCGUCCCCCUCCUACUCGGCGAGUUGGUCCUUCAACUCGCCGAGUCCAAGGCAAAAUGAAUCAAAUAAAAAUUAUUAAUUACAAGGAGUACGUACCGAGAACCAGGUGCUACAAAUCUCCCCCACUUAUUUUAGACUUCGUCCUCGAAGUCUGUUGCUCGAUCCUGAAACAGCUCGGGGUAGUGCUCCAUCGUCUAUUCCACCGGCUCCCAAGUCCACUCCGAUCCCUUUCGAUGCUGCCAUUGCACCUUCACGAGUUCCACCCAUUUGUUCCUCAGAUCCUUCAACUUCCUAUCGAGGACUGCUAGAGGCCUCUCGAUGUAAUUCAGGCUGCCAUCGACCUGAAUAGCCUCCAAAGGCACCAUUGCCGAGUCGUCCACCAAACACUUCUGCAACUGAGAGACGUGGAAAGUGUUGUGGAUCAGGCUGAGUUCGGUUGGCAGAUCUAACCUAUAUGCCACCUUGCCCACCCAGGCUACAACCCUGAAUGGCCCAAUUUACCUUGGGCCUGACUUUCCUCGCUUUCUGAAUCGGAUGACGCCUUUCCAUGGCGACACCUUCAGAAGAACCAUAUCCCCGACAUGGAAUUCCAAGUCUGAACGACGCUUGUCGGCAUAACUUUUCUACCAACUAUGUGCAGUCUGAAGCCUGCUCCGAACCUGCUGAAUCUUCUCGGUCAUCUCGAGCACCACUUCGGUGCUUCCCAUGACCCUCUGGCCAACUUCACCCCAACAUAUCGGGGUCCUGCAUCUCCGUCCGUACAACAUCUCGAAGGAAGGACGGUCAAUACUCACGUGGUAGUUGUUGUUGUAUGAAAACUCAGCUAAAGGAAGAUAGGUAUCCCAACUACCACCAAAAUCUAGCACGCAUGCCCGCAACAUAUCCUCAAGAGUCUGGAUGGUCUGCUCACUCUGACCAUCCGUCUGCGGGUGAAAGGCAGUGCUAAAAUGCAGAUGAGUGCCCAACUCAUCAUGAAACUAUUUCCAAAACCUGGAAGUAAAACGCACAUCUCUGUCUGAAAUCACUGAUAUUGGCACCCCGUGCCGCGCCACUAUCUCCCUGAUAUAGAUGUCGGGCAACUUCUCGGCCGAGAUGCUUUCCUGAAUCGGGAUAAAAAUGGGCGCUCUUGGUCAAUCGAUCCACGAUGACCCAUAUAGAAUGCACUCCUCGCACGGUCCUGGGAAGCUUCGUGAUAAAAUCCAUUGUAAUAUCUUCCCAUUUCCACAACGGGAUAUCCAACGGCUGCAUCUUGCCGUGCGGUCUCUGAUGCUCGGCCUUGACCUUCCUGCAGGUCAAGCACCGCUCGACGUACCAAGCCACAUCCCGCUUCAUGCAGGGCCACCAAUAGUCCAGACGAAGAUCCCUAUACAUCUUCUUCGCCCCGAGAUGAAUGGAGAAUCGAGAUUUGUGCGCCUCCUCCAUCAAGAUCUGGUGCAUGCCUCCGAGGUAUGGCACCCACACCCUGCGGUGUAACGUCAAUAAUCCCCUACUGUCAUAGUUGAAGGAGGAAACCUGACCCACUAUGCGCUCACUCNAUGUUCCUCCUUCAGGGCCUCCUGCUGGGCCUCCCGAAUGCGCUCCAAGAGUGGAGUCACCACUGUCAUCCGCAUGAAAAUAUCCCUGAUCGGUGCCGCCUUGCGGCUAAGCACAUCGGCCGCCACAUUGGCCUUCCCCGGGUGGUAAAGGAUCUCACAGUCAUAAUCCUUCACCAUAUCAAGCCACCAACGCUGCCUCAUGUUCAAAUUCGGAUGAUCCAUGAGGUACCUCAAACUCUUGUGGUCCGUGUAGAUCGUACAACGAACCCCAUAGAGGUAAUGACGCCAAAUCUUGCGGGCAAACACCACAGCCCCCAGCUCCAAAUCAUGCGUCGGGUAAUUCGCCUCGUGAGACUUCAACUGCCUCGACACGUAGGCGAUGACAUGUCCUCUCUGCAUCAAUACCGCGCCCAAACCUGAGAUGGACGCAUUGCAGUACACCACAAAAAUCCUCUAUGCCCUCUGGCAGGGCUAAGAUUGGCGCCUCACACAAUCUCUGUCUCAGUGUCUCGAACGCUGCCUGCUGCUCAGGCCCCCAUCGAAAGACCACAGCUUUCUUAGUCAGCCGUGUCAGGGGUAUGACUAUCUUGGAGAAGUCCAGAAUGAAUCUCCCGAUAGUAGCCCGCUAAACCCAGGAAACUCCGAAUCUCAGACGGAGACUUCGGAACCUCCCAUCUCAUCACAACCUCUAUCUUGGACGGGUCAACCAGUAUACCGUUCUGGUUGACAAGGUGCCCAAGGAAUUGCACCUCGCGCAACCAAAACUCGCACUUGGAGAACUUGGUGUACAUGCUCUCCCUCCUUAGGGUCUCCAAAACCUCUCUCAGAUGCUCCUCGUGCUCCUCCUGCGUCUUGGAAUAAACCAAGAUGUCAUUAAUGAAAACNGAUACUGUUGGAUUAGUGUCUAAGUCCAUAACUAUUUUGGUAUGUACUUGACCCGAUGGUGCAUGGUCCUUUUGGGUUGCCUUCACCAAAGCAACUUGAUAGGACGAAUUAUGGAGAGAAAGGAUUAAAUAUGAUUUAUUAAUAUAUUAUGAGAAUAAUAUAUUAAAGGAGAAAUCAUAUUGUUUAAUUAAUAUUAGUCAAGAAUUAAUAAGAAUUAAGUUUGUGGCUAAAAGAGAUUAAUUAAACUUAAGGGACUGGAAUUGUAAUUAUAAGAUAAUUGCAAUUGGGCUAUGGAUUACCUUAUAAUAUAAGGUUGGACGAAUUCUAUGGGGAAACCCAUUAGAAAUUGUCCAAGGCUUAUUAAAAAAGGGUUCAUGGGUUGCUUAGGGCCUAAGCAUCCAAAUUAGGGUUUCCUUGUUAGAUAACCCUAAUAGCCUCACUAUUUAAAGAACCCUUAAGCCCCAAAAACGUGGUGAACUUGUUCUCUAGGGUUUCCACACGUUUUGGGCAGCCUCCUUCUCUUCUCCUCUUCAUCCUCUUGCUCUUGGUGUUUGUGAACCAUUAGAGGAGUGACAUUUGUGACUCUAAGCUUUCUAAAGUCAUUACAAGGAGGAUUUGAGAUUGUUAUUGCUACAUAACAAUCAAGGUAAUAUCUAAACCCUAAUUAUAUGUUAUAUUGAUUAUCAUAUGCUAGAUCUAGGGUUUAUAGUCUUGGAUAAAUUGCAUGUACAAUAGAGAAACCUAGAUCCAAGCAUUAGGGUUUGUAUGAGCACAUAGGAUGUUCUUAUGGCCAAAACCCAUCAGUGGUAUCAGAGCCUUGAUUGGUUUCUAUUGUAUUGAUGCCUUGUAUGUUUGUUCAAGUUGCAAAAUCGAUUUUUGAGCUCCCUGCCUGAUGAACUCGGCGAGUACCACAGUGUACUCGGCGAGUAGGCCUCAACUCGGCGAGUACAGUGUGGUACUCGGCGAGUUCGAGCGUCAGAUGGAGCUAUUUUCGGGAUUUCUUGCUGUUUUACUCAUGGAUACUUGCCUUAUCUGUUUUAGGUCAUUAAAAUCCGAUUUUAUACAUAUUUAUGAGUAUAUCCUUGAUUAAACAAAAGAUAAUUACCAAUUGAUUAGAUAAUAACUUCCUUAUAUGAUUAAAGUUGAUUAUUUGUAUUAAUUGGGUAACUUAUUUUGCAAGAAAUUGAAAUUAGGUCAAAUAUAGAUAAUGAUGAAAUUAAUUGUUUAAUUUAUAUUAUUUGUUAUUUGAUCCUUGUGUUAUGAAAAGUUUCAAUUUUCCCCUUUAGGUUUUAUAGUUUAAAUUUGAACUCAAAAGUUUUGUUUUGAAAUUUAAAUAGUUGAAACCCUAAUGUUUUGAAAAGGUUUCAAAACUUGCCCUCAAGUUUUGGAAUUUAAAUUUUGAUUAAAAGUUUAAUUUUGAUGUAUAUUUAAAUUCUAAACCCUAAUGUUUUGAAAUGUUUCAAAACUUGCCCUCAAGUUUUGGAAUUUAAAAGUUGAUUAAAAGUUUAAUUUAGGAAUGUUAAAUUCUAAAACCCUAGUAUUGUUUUGAAAAGUUCAAAUCACACCCUUAUGGUUUUAUUAAUUAAUUAAGGUGUAUAAUUAAAAGAGGUUUAAUAAAUCCAUAAAAGUUUGGGUUUACAAUUUAAUUGAAUUAAAAGUAUAAUUGUUAAAUUUGACCUCCUAGUAUUUUAAAAGUGUAAAAUACACCCUAUACUAUAUAUAACAUUAAAAGUCUAACAUUAUAUAUAUGUAUGAGUAAAAGUCAGUCUUACCGUUAGUAGGCCUCAUUCACGAAGCUGGUCUAUAAGGGGUGUUUAAGGAAAUUGCCUAUAAAAUGGCGAUUGAAUGGGUAUCCACUCUUACCCACCGCACUCUUGACUAGUGGAGGGUCGUUAGCCGAACGGGUAGGAUAGGACAGAAACCUUCCAUUAUAAGUAUAAUGAAGUACAAAAGUAACUAAAUGUUUUACAAAUUCCCAAUCUUAGUUACUUUAGGCAAAAGUGAAUUGAUGCAAUUCCAUGAAAUUACACUUUGUGCCCUUGCGAAGACGUUAGUGGAGCGUGUGUGGUUUACCGGCACACUAAAUGGUUCUAAGCAAAGGUAGCAAAGGGUGACUCAAUGUUUGUCAUAGUUCGGUGGAGCGUGUGUGGUUUACCGGCACAUCGAAUAGGUGACUGUAACAUGUGAGGGCACCAUGUAAGUUUGCAUGGUUAUUCACACCCGCUUUGUGAUCCUCGGCAUCCCAGUCACAAACAAGAGGGGCAUAUCGAGAUUUAAACAUGCCAUUGAAAGUUCAAUGAAUCUCAAAGGAUCUAGGAGUUUUCAUAGAUUUAAAACUUAAAUUUCUUUUUCGUUUUUCAUGGUGGAAAUUAGUGAAUCGUCAUUCACUUACCUUCAAAUAUUCUGCAAUUAGGGUUACGGCAUCCCUCUCCCGAGUUGUAGAAUAUUGUGUUGGGUCCUAGCCUUAGUAUCUCAUUUGGGUGAUUUACUAAGGACUCAAUCAAUCAACUAACUUGAAUUCGUUUUCUCCCGUUUUGUAGAUGUCAAAGUUCGACAACUAUGGUCUUCCCAAAUCCCGUGGAACAAGCAUUCCACAUGAAGAUGAUAUUCCACGAUUCGAUCGAGGAACAAGAAAUCAUGCUUCACUUCCUCCACCUCCUCCAAUUAUUCUCCCUAACCCACAAGUUCGAAGGCUUGAAAAGUUCAAGCUCACUCAAGCCCUUUUGGCAAGUAAACAUAAAGAAGGAAAGUCGGUGUGUGCACACGUCCUAGGGAUGAAGUCACACAUUGAUAGGUUAAGAAUGUUGGGAUCCGUUGUCUGUGAGGAAAUGGCUGUUGAUUGGGUUCUUCAGUCACUUCCUAACUCAUAUAGUGAGUUCGUAAGAGAGUACUAUAUGAUGAACCGCGACGUGACCCUUAUAGAUCUCACCUAUAUGCUUAUUGCUGCUGAAUCAGCAAUGGUUUGGCGCAAUAGAAAAGCAAAGUUGAUUGGUGAAUCUGCCUUCAAGACCUCUAUGGAUAUAGACAAUGGCAACGAAAGACAUGCUAUGAUCGAAAAGUUUGAUCAUAAGAGAAAGGCAAUGUCUGAAGUAGUUCCAUGUCAUGUUCCAAAAGAGUCAAUUUGCUUUUAUUGCCAAGAGAAAGGGCAUUGGAGACGAAGCUGCCCCAUUUACCUAAGAGAUCUAAGAGAUGGGAGAGUCGAAACGUAUGGCUCUAAUAUAGGUAAAAUCCAUUAACUAACUCUUUUAAGCUUCUAUUCUAGAUUCUUAAUACAUAAUGUGAUAAGAUUACAAUUGAUGUUUUGUAGGAUCGAAGAAAAGAAAGGAAGCUUAAGGGAAGAAGUGAGCAGAAUCUAACCGUGAAGGAAUGGAUUUCGAUCGCAUUUCUCGAAGAUUAGAUUCUUGAGCUACUACUUAGAGUUAGAAUUAGAUUGCUAAGAAAGAUGUAUUAGCAUAGUUUUUCAAUGAAUUGCAUUGUAAGGACAAAUUUUUUCCGCAAUAAAAUAAAUUUUGAUUUUAUAUUAUUUAUUUAUCCUUGCAAUGGCGUAUAUGAAAAAUUGAUGUUUGAAUGUUUCUAUUAUUAGCAAUAAUGGAUUUGGUUCUUAUUAUGUUAUUUAUGGAAAGUCGAGAGUUUACCAAAUAGGGAGAGUUUCUCAUCGCCCAAGUUUCAAUUGGACAGAAACUUGGAAUCAUGCAACUUGGUUGCACGAUGAAUGAGAAAUUUCAUAUUUGGAAAUUAGACUAAUUCAUUGACAAAGUGUCAAGUGAAGGACUAGGAGAUCGAGUACACAAAGUUGCGUGUUGAUCAAGUCCACCAUAAGAGUAACAAAGAUAUUCGUCAUGAUUUACUAAAGGUUUAGUAAAUAUGAUUAUACUUAUAAGAUUAAGUGUAAUUCUGAAUUGAUUGAAAAAGUUUAAAUCAAUAGCAGAACGAAUAAGAAGAAUCAAGUAGGCAGAAAGAUAAAAGUUUCUCCAUUCUAAGAAGAAGGGAGAGUACCUUUUAUGCUUUAUGAUAGGUCUUAAUGAUUAAGAACCAUAUCUCAAUUGAUCCUCUAAGUGAGUCUUAGUACAAUUGUAUGUCUAAGAAGAGGAAUCAAGAAUUGAAGAAAUGGUUAAAUCAAGAAGUCAAUCAUACUUCGUUCCAAAACAAGUCUUAGAGUUAAGAUUGUGACAUUGAGUGAUAAGUAUUAAGAAGGUUUAUAACAUUCAUCAAAUGUGGAAAGUUGUGAUGUCUUGGAUAAGACAAAGACCAACUAGGACCAAUUUAUGAAGUGUUUUGAUAAAAGCUACACUAACUCUUGAAUAUUUGUUUGUCAAGAAAUGUUUAUUGACAAGAGAAUCUUAUAUGUCAAGGAGUCAGUGGGAGUCUUAAUGGUCUUGAAAAGUUUCAAGAACUAAUCAAGAAUAAACCUUAUCGAUCAUCACUAGCACACGAGUUGAGGUUUACAACCUAUCGUGUUGACACUAUCUUGUUUCUGUGCCGUUCCAGUUGAGUUAAUUAUGCAUAUGAGUUCUAUGAGUUCUCAAUUGAACGGAUAAAAGGCAAGCACCUUGAUCAAUGAAAAGUACAUUGAUAAGAUAGAGUGAGCUGCUUAACUAUUUGGAAGACAUGGUGGGCAGCUGUGUUACCAUAAGGCAAGAAAUCAAGAUUGAGAAAGUUCGGUCCAUAUGAGUUUGAAUUUGUUGCAAACCUUGGUUUUGACAAAUUCAAAUGGAUAGAAACACAUACACCAUUAAAAUCUAAGUGUCAUAAGAUUCACUCCUUCAUAAAAAUGACUGUGAGGAAAUACUUUC
rnacentral:lncRNA from 1 species